ACCUGUGCAUCUCCUCCAUGCUACGAUCCAACAGGUGCAAUUCCCUUUGCCUUGGCUGCAGCAGUUGCUGCUGCAGCUGCUGCAGCGGCAGCAGCAGCCGCAGAUGCUGCUGCAUUGGGUGUUGAUGGAGGAACAGCACCGGAUUGCGAUGUGCUUUGCGCGGUAACCAUUUGUUGUUGUUGUUGUUGCUUCUGCUGAGAGUUUACCUGAGCAAGCAGGGCCUUGAUCUGACUUCCAGAGAGUGUCUCAUGCUCAAGUAGAGCAUUAGCAAGUGCAUGGAGCUCCUUGCUGUUCAUGGUGAGAAUGGUUUUCGCGUUGUUGUAAGCCCUCUCCAAAAAUUGUUUUACUUCUUCCUCAAUAAGGAGCCUAGUCUCAGUGCUCAUGCUCUUGCCGUUAUCAUCAUAGUUGUGAGUAACAAGUCCCACGUUUCUGCUCAUACCAUACUUUGUAACCAUUGCUCUUGCAAGAUUGGUUGCUUGCUGCAGAUCGGAAGAUGCACCUGAAGUCACUUCAUUUUCUCCAAAGAUGAGCUCUUCUGCUACUCGUCCACCCAUGCAAACAUCCAAACGAGCAAGCAUCUGCUUACGAGAUAUACUUGUCUCAUCCUUGUCAGGUAAUUGGGCAACCAUACCAAGAGACAUUCCACGAGGAACAAUGGUUGCUUUGUGAACUGGAAGGGCCCCUUCAGUAUGGAUAGCCACGAGGGCAUGGCCACCCUCAUGAAAAGCAGUCAGCCUUCGUGAUUCAUCAGAUAUAACAGCUGAUUUCCGCUCGCUUCCCAUCAUGAUUUUGUCCUUUGCAUGCUCAAGAUCAGCCAGUGUCACAGCUUUAGCACCAUCCAUCGCAGCCUUAAGGGCAGCAAUAUUAACCAAGUUUGCAAGAUCAGCACCAGAGAAUCCGGGAGUUCCUCGGGCAAUGAUAGUCAGAUCUACGUCUUCCGCUUUAAGAACCUAUCAGCGAAAAAAAAAAUUUCGGAUUAGAAUCCCCUGCUGAAAUUUCCUUCUCCCAAAAUGUAGAAUUGUCUAAGGAAUGCGCUAAUCAAAGAUAAUUCAAGUAUCAGCCAUGCAUGUCAGAUGGAUGUUAUCCAUAUGCGCAUCACUAUAAUGGCCAGUACAUCAACCAGUAACUUGGCGUAGGAAAGAUUAGCAAAGAUCACCCAUAUAUGUCUUCAAGUAAGUUACAUAUGUAAACUAUAAAGAGAAAUAUUGCAAAAAAGGAAACUUUCAAAUGAAGUACAUGGUGCAGAUGCUUAUGUAAAUUAUGGCAUAUCAAAUGGGAAAUUUGCUCUUGCACAAAAGGAAACAUCCAAACAGAACACAAAGCAGGAGCUUGCCUACAGCACCAGAAUCACGUAUAGGUGAGCAAACGAGUAAUGACCAGCUAGUAUCUCACAACUGAUCUGUCAGGGAUUGAGCACGGCAGAGAAAUACACUUCACCAGGCAAACAAGGGUAGAGAAUUUGAAAUAAGAGCUUAGUGGAAGGAAUUAGAUUGAUUCAUCGAGUUGGUUUAUGAAACCUGUGUUGACAUGGAAUGGGGUGUGGUACGUGGCCAAAAAGAAGAAAGAACAAAGUACAAAUCUUUGCACAAAUCUACAUUGCAAGACUUGAAAAAUGUCUUGAAAAUGGCCAAGGAAAAACACAAGCCACUAAGCCACUAAAAGACUCAGUAGAAUUGUUCUCUUGGACAAAGUCAAUCAACAACAGGCAGAACAAAAAUAACUUUUUGGAGACAUUGCAAGACUUGAAAAAUGUCUUGAAAAUGGUCAAGGAUAAACACAAGCCACUAAAAGACUCAGUAGAAUUGUUCUUUUGGACAAAUUCAGUCAACAACAGGCAGAACAAAAGUAACUUUUUGGAGUAUACUAGGGUCCUAACAUAUCUUCUUUGGCAAACAAAGCUUCUACUUUUUACAUAACAUUGCAAGGGCCCCUCCAUCUUAUUUCUGAAUUCAUCACAUGUAUCUUCUUCCAUUCCAGAUCGCCCUUUGGGAAAUAUGCACACUAAUUCAGAGCCUACAAUACAAAAUUAUCCUCAAUUCGCAAACUAAAGCUCUUUGAUUCAGUAAGUGAAAGAUGAACAAGUGGGACAAUUAAAUGAAAAAACUGGGGAAAGAGUAAAUAAGAAAUAGAGGUUUUUAUCAUCAAAAAAAGCAAAGUACCUUUGACAUAUGUGAUUCCAAGAUCUGUCUCCGUCCUUCAACAUCAGGAUUUGGAACAACAAUAUGACGAUCAAAUCGUCCAGGCCUAACCAGAGCCUUAUCCAAUGACUCCGGGAAAUUGGUUGCAGCAAUCACAAUAAUUCCCUCAUUCUGCUUGAAGCCAUCCAGUUCAACAAGUAACUGAUUCAGAGUCAUUUUCAUGUAUUGCUGGUCCUUUGGGUUGCGGCUCCCACCUAUGGCAUCAAUCUCGUCAAUAAAUAUUAUACAUGGAGACCGUUUCUUUGCAGCAGCAAAGAGAUCUCUAACCCUGCGGGCACCAACACCAACAAAACAUUUCUUCAAACUCACUGCCGCUGCAAGAGAAAAAGGGCACCCCAGCUUCUCCAGCUAUAGCCCUUGCCAGCAUAGUCUUGCCGGUACCUGGGGGACCAACAAGUAGAACACCUUUUGGGAGCUUACCGCCAAGUCGAGUGAACCGCUGCAAUAACAUAAAAGGUGAGCAUAAUGAAGUCUGCAACGCUUCUUGACAGUUUAGGAAGGCUAAUCUAAAAUCAUUAAAAUCAAAGUUCUCUCCCAGAAAAUAAUUCUAAUAUCAUGUCAAUUGCUUGUUGAUCAAGAACCAAAUGAAGGGCAAAAUUUAACCAAAUUUAGGUAGCUAAAUAAGGCUUUGUAGAUCCAUAUGAAUAUUCUAACUUUUGCUAAUGGAAAGAAGGAUGCAAGAAAAACUAUUAACAACUGCAAAUUAUAGAAGUUUAGAUAUUCUGCACAGAAAAACAGAAAAAAUGCAUGAGUUAUUCACUCACAGAUUCAUGUGAUUGGAAAGGGAGGUGAGCCAGCCACCCAAGAGAUUGUUACAGAUCAGAAAGCACAAGCUGCAAUUACCUUAGGGUCUCGAAGAUAGUGAACAAUUUCUUCAAGCUCAGAUUUGGCUUCAUCAACCCCCUUUACAUCACUAAAUUUCGUAUUAGAUUCCAAACUAGGGUGCACCUCUUCAUUCAGACCCAGUCCUAGUAGAAAAUGGUAAAGAGCAUUAGUCAGCAGAUAACCUUUUGUUUGGUUACAGAUUCAUCACCCAAAACCACAACAAUAACACAAAAAAUUAUAAUAAUAACAAAUACAAUAAAAUAAUCUAAGACCUUCCAGCAAAGCUCAUAACUACAAGUACCUUUACUAAUCCCUCUAUCUUCGAUGAGUGCACCAAUGCCUGAGAUUAGAAGGAAGGCCAUACCAAGAGCACGGACUGUCCGCCAUAACUGCUCCUUAAAAUGGCCCCCUUCAGCAGCCACCAUAUGUAUAGGUGCACUAGCAGUACCAAGAACACCUUCCUUUGUAGAUUUCCCCACAUUCCUAAAAGCUGAAAGACCUCCAACCAUUUCUUCUUCCACCUGGGAGCUAGGAGCACCUGUAAUUCCUGUAUAACAUACUUAUCAAAUUCCAAACCAAUGAAACGUCACAGAAUAUCAAAACUCUUCAGUGGUAGAACUAAUCAAGAUAUGCUACAAGAGUAGUAGACCUGGUAAAACUCUAUCCAUGUAUGUAGACCCAAUCAGAAAGAGUACACCACAGAAAGGCCAGAGAGAAGAUAAAAAAAAUAAAUUAAUUAAAAAAAAAUAAUGACACUAGCCUCUCUGCAAUGUCUUGAGCAGCUCACUUUCGUCCAGCCUAUCAACCUUAACCAGUGCCUUGACAUACUCUGCAAGCGCUGUUGGGUUAGAGUGCAGUGAGGGUUGGCUUUCGAACACCCUAAUGACUGCCUCAGGCUCGUUUCGAUGAUAUAGCUCUUUGAGGUAUGCAGCAUCGCUUAAUUCAUCACUUCUCCGAGCUAGGCUAGCAGCAUAACUUGAUCGAAAUCUUUUGGUGUUCCCAAAUGCAUAUCCUGCAAGAAGAAAUGGAGGGAAGGUGAAGAGGAAUGCUUCAAACUUGUGCCAAUGAGCAAGUAAACAAUAUAACCAAGGGAAAUUCAAGAGGAAUCAUCCGCCAUGCAUCAAUUUAUCUUUCAUCCAAAAAUCGGCAGAAUAAUAUUAUUGCACCACAAUCAGAAAACAGGGAAUCUGCCAUAUCAACAAUAAGCGACUUCGAUUGCGUACCUAACUCUUUCUGGGCAUUAGGUGAAGUGCGAUAAGCUCUAACUAAUACAUUGCUCAGUUGCCCAACUGCGACUGCUGUCGUUGAACCUGUUAUAACAAAACACAGGUCCUAACACAAUUAGAAUGAAAUUUCGCACAUAUGAUCAACAUGAAACCAUUAUUAUCAGAGCUAAAGCUCAUAUAACCAUCCCUCCUUAUCCACAUCAAUCGGCAAAAGUCACACCUACAAUACAACCAAAACAGACCUAGAAAAAGCUAACUAGAGUCAUAAAAAUGGAGUCUUUCCAAAACCCAUAUCAUUAAUUGCACAAAAAAAAAACACAUAAAAUCAGCAACUUUCACCACUUUUAAAAACAAAAAAAUAAAAAAAUUUCUUACCCAACAACCCUUUUGGCUUUACACCUAAGACUGAUAACUAAUUACUCCUAAACCCACCAAAGCUUAUACCAAACGAUUAAAUGACCUAUUUCUAGAUUAGGGCUUCAGCAUCCUAUGGAAAAAAAAAAAAAACUAAAAACCUUGGCUUGCAUGUUAUAUUUCUGAUGUUCAUACAAUUGAUAAUAAAAAAAAAAAAGUGUCAAGAACUGACCCGACUGAUAAGGCGAAUUAAAGCCAUUCCCUGUCCCCAAAAGAGGGCUAAUCUCUCUUUCGCCAAACUCUUCCCCUCCCCCUUUCUUUUUCUAAAUCAACUAUCCCUAUCCCUAAAUAUAGAAGUGUAAGUUAUUCAGAUAUUUUUGGAGUUCAGCAGAUACUGCAACUCAGGAGAGGAGGGAGGGAUGGAGAGAGAAUAGAGGGAGCUGGGGAGUGCAACCAGAGAUGGAUUUUUUCCCUGGAUCAGUAAUUUUUAAUGGGCAAAACUGAAGAGAUUUUUUGUACGCAUAUGAAUAAUCCUCAUAAAUCAUAAUACCGUAUAGUAUAGUAAACUUUGGUAAUAUUUGACCUCAGAUCUUGGGAUUUGGUGAGGAAGUGUCCAUGGCUUGUUUAAGUGGACCGGUUCGGUAUUAGAACUUUGGGGAGAACGGCCGAAGAUGUUUGUGGGCUUUAUUCUCCAAAAAACAUCAAUGCUUAGGCCCGUCAACAAGGCCUUGUAAGUGAGUCAGGCUGUCCACAACCUUGAGGUUAAACUUUAGCCCAUUGAACAUUAACAACAACCAAGUCCAAAUUCAGCCCAUUCACUGCAUCAGGCUUUGGGAUGAGAUGAGAAAGGACGGAUUCAAAGCAUUUUUUAAGUCGAACAAACCCAGUUGAGGAAAGAAACAAAACCGAGAAGUUUUUCUUCUCAAAUUCGUAGUGAAUUCUUGAUUGCAUGUUGUUAUUUCUAUAAUUAUAUAUACGCAAAAUGAAGAACAUUAAUCCGAAAACAAAUGCAUUUUAUUUAUGUAGAAAGGGCAGGGCCUCAGUGGGCUUAGGCCUGUUAGUUACUUUUUAUAAGUUUUGGAGUGGACAUGUCCAAAUUCAGUUCACGUAAACAAUUACUGAUUGUUGAAGUCCAAAUUCAGCUCAUAAGUGAUAUGAGGUACAAAUGUGGCUCACAAGGAAGUAAUUACGAUUGUUAGGAAGUUUUGUUGUCUUAAGCAUAAUUUUCACAUGUUAUUCUAUUUAUUGUGUGAAGAUUAGACAAGUCAUUUGGCACUCAGCGAGAGGAGGUAAGUGCAUGCACAAUCUGCAAUCAUGACAAACCUCAAGGGAGAUUUGUACACAAUCCCUUUUUAGUAAUAAAGUAACAAGUCAUUUUCUUAAAAAUUAAUAAAUCUUGAGAAUGAAAUCGUUUCUAUGCCGACAGGUUAAGAGAAAAUCGUUUAAAAUGUUUCACAUUUCGUCAAAUGAAUCUUUUCAUUAUUUACUUUCAAAAUGAUAACUUCUGUCUCUUACAAAAUUGAAACAGUAAAAUUUGGUCCCAAUCUAAGUUUUUUAUCUUUUUUUUUAACCUUGAAUCCAUUAAGCGAAUCAACAUAGUCAUUUUUUAGGGAAAAAAAAAAGGUAAGAUACCAUUUAUCGUUAAAGCAAAUGAUCCGAUCCAUAUUCAAUUUUUUUCCUCAAAAUAAGUGAGAUUAGACCCAAAUCAUAUUCAUUUUUUUCAUUAAAAAAGUGGAUCUGAUCUUCUUGUAGACAAAAAAUGAUUGCAUAUGGAUGACGUAGUGAUUUCAAGAUUAAAAAGUGAUCAAAAUUUAAGUUGGAACUAAAUUUUAUUGCUAAAAUUUGUAAGGAAUACAAAGUUAACAAAGUGAAGGACGAUAAAAUUCAUUUAGCCAAAUGUAAGGGACAUUUGGAACUAUUUCUGUUUCAUUCUAGUUGAACUAACACUAGGAUUAACAAAGUUAUUGCAUUAAGACAAAUCUUACCAUUAACAUUUCAAGAAAUACUUAAAUUCAGAAAAUUUAGAUGAAUCAUUCUUUAAGCGUCGCUGAUGAUACACACUCUACCAUGUCAUUGCCAACAUUUGAAAAGUUAGGGUACCUUCCCUUGUCACCCAACAUCUACCUGCCUCACACCGAGAAGCUUCCCUGUCGGCACGCACAUGUAUUAGUAUUACACCGCCUACGUAAAGGUCACCCCCAUGCUCAUUCAUUUUCUUAUAUCAGGGAAGCAAUACACCAGCACAGGAAGCUUCAAUAUUCAUAAUUUAGCCAAAAAACAAAGAGAAACUUGUGCCGAUGAUGAUCAGUAGAAGUUGCCGUGUUCCAAUGACAAAACAUCAACGAUUCCCGAGCCGAGAUAUCUAUCUUGAUCUUUGUGGGAUUUUUAAUCCCAGGCUCAAUCUGCAAUCAACUGAGAGAGGAAAUGCUAGUUUCAUUACCAAGUGAUUAAGGGUUCAAAAAUAAUUCCUCAUGUGUGAUACUUUUACCAAAUGUUUUAAGGGCCUAUUUGGUUGGCAUGCUAAAAGUUACAAAAUGAUAAAAGGAAUGCAAUCGCGGAUAUGCAAAGGGAACGUAAGAACAACUUUGAUUAGAAUUACUAUCCAACUAUUACCUAUUUUUCUUCCUUCACUUGGGCUCCAUUGAUUUGCUUAAUUUCUUGAGUUGUGCACAUGUAGUAUUAUAUGCAUCUCUCUCCCAAGAGAUCCAAAUCAUUAUUGUUCAAUGCGACAGAAAAAAAAAACAAUUUGAUGCUUCAAAGAAAAGGAAGAUACUGUAAUGUACAACAAACUAUCCAAUCUAGUAAAUUAUGCGAAUGCAGUAGUCGAAAUAUGUGCUUAGAAAAGGGAGAUAUUAAGAAGUUGUAAUGUACUACAUGAGGUAGUUAGCUAUACGCAAAAAACUUUGUAUCAAGAAAUAAUCAUUCGUUAGUUGUUUAUCAUUCUGUAUGAUAACCUUUUACAAACUAAUAUUUUGCAUUAAGUUCUACAUGGCCAACUGCAAAGAACUUAAGGUGCAUUUACGUUCGAAAAAUUGUACAACAUUUUUUUCCCGGUUUUAGAAUGUGGAGGGCAAUUGCGAAGAAGUACAGUACUACAACCUUGUCUGAGUCUAUGACCUGAGGUAGAAUCAGAAUAUUGUUCUCAUAAUUUUUCAUGGUUUUUUCUACCAAAUUAAAGCUUUACUCUAGCUUUUGUUUUAUUUGAUACUUUUUUUUGAAUUAUUUCUUUUCAAUGUAAGUAAAAAAUCUCGAAUUCAAGAUUUCUCACUUAUAUUCCCUACUCAUGUACCAUACAGCCUAUCCCUCUCCCUAGUUUUAUUUGAUACUUUGAUAGUCAUUUGGAAUAAAUUUCAUAAGUCUAUAUAUUUUGCUUUUCAGGGAAUAAUUUCCCAUAAGAAUUUCCCACGAAAAUGAAAAAGAAAAAGAAAAAGAAAAAGGUUCCCAUGAGAAUUCACUUACCCAAGUACUUCUUCCCUUAUAAAGAAAGCAACAAGGGUAAAAUAAAGCAAAUUACCGGAAAAUAAUCACAAAAAGAUGUCUAACUCGAGUGGUCACUCCAGAAUUAACUAAUAUUGUCGGACGUAGUAGUAGGUAUUAAGAUUCUAAUUUGACUGCCAGAAAGUACUACUCCGUCCGUCCCACUUUGAUAGUCCUGUAUUCCUUUUUCAUCUGUUCCAAAUUGUAAUUCACUUUCCAAUUGAAAAAUGUAAUUGUAUUUUAAAUUUUCUAAAAUACCCUUAUUCAAUGUAAGUAGUUGUUACUAUAAACCUACCCCAUUUAAUGAGAGUUGAUUCUUUUUUUACCGUCAAUUCAAGUUCCCAUAAAGUUGUACCAUAUUUAAUGUGAGGGUAUUUUAGAAAAAUAACAAUCUAAAUUUACUUUUCUAACAAAGUUAACUAUUUUUUCUUAAAUUGUGUGAAAAAAGAAACAGGACUAUCAAAUGGGACGGAAAGAAUAGUAAUCAAUGAGAUGUUUAUUGUACCUUCUACAUAUCAAUCUGAAACCUUUUGAUAAGCGGAUUGGAAAAAAAUAAGUAUAAUUUUCACCUUUCAAAUUCAACAGCCAACCAUAAAACUCUCUCUCUCUCUCUCUCUCUUGUCGUACCAAUCAGAGUUCAGUGCCACAUGUACAAAAAUUUAUCGAGUAAUAGUUUCAGAAACAAGGAGAAAAUCCACGAUUAUUAUUCCGGGAUGGAGUAGGUACAUUAAUUAAGAUUUUAGUACGGUUAUUGUUCAAUUAUUGAUUUACACAUAAUUUGGUGUUAACUAACAUUACUUUAUUGUAAACUUGAAUUUUGUUCAUAUACACCAACCCAAUAUAUGAAUCCAAUCACACUAAAUGUACCAAAGCCAAUUGUACACCUACCCCAAAUGCCUACAAGAUGACAAACAAAGCUUACUGGUUGCCCUUUGAUGUUUUUGUACUAUAAUGAGGAGCCAUUAAAUUGAUAAUGAUUCUUUAAUUUAGCGGCAAAACCAAGAAUCCACUUAGUGGUCUAGCCACCCUGAACAAAAAUGUAAAGAUAAAAAAGGGGUGGAUGGGGGAUGAACACACAAGAAAAUGAAAGAUCGCCUUGCUACAGUUGAAAUGGUCCUGCUAAUACAUUGUCUAACACAAAAUGACAGAUAUACCAGUACAAAAUUGCAGCAGCUAGCCAAGGAAUUAAUCUCGAUUGCAAUAACCAUAAAACCUUGUCAUUUGUAAAUGUGAAAAGAACUAGGAACUGGAGGACGGUAGCAGCACAGAUACACAUAUAUAUAUUUAUAUAUGUAUGGGACAAAAUCAACUAAUAACAAUUAACGAACAAAUUAAUAGGAAAGAAGAAAUCUCAUAUGCCCAACAUAAACAUAAUUACUUCAAACUAAAUCUCUACCAUGGUGCUGCUGGAUUGUGAUGACCCUGCUGGUCAUUGAAAGAUGAGCCACCAAGUUGAUGAAGAUCAUCCAGACUAAGAAAUGUUUCUCUAGCAGUAGGGAAGGCUUUUAGACCCAAGAAAUCCCUUGUUAAUCCGUCAUUAAUAUUGUUGCCACGGCCACCAAAUACGCCACCUUCUUUACCGCUAUUACUUCUUCCAUUAUUCCCCUUCUUGAAGUCAAUAACACUUCCUGAAAGUUCUCCCCGAAUCCAUCGUGAUGAUGAGAAUUUACCAUACCCAUCAAAGCUCCUCCUCCUAGAUGAUCAUGAGUUGUUAAUGGACCAACACUUAUUUUGCUUGGUGUGGAUGUUCCAUGCAACCUGCAGAGGUGAUAGCACUAGUUUUGUUCCCAAAAGAUGCCAUCAGCCCGUGAUGAUGCAUAAGCCCAGAUCCAGAACUAGACCCUAUUCCCAUCUGAUCUUCACGUGAGGCCAGACCCAGGCUAGAACCAGCUGUAGAAGUGGCCAAUAUUAUUGAUGUCGAACCCAUCAAACCAGUACUCACGUGAGCUGCUUGGUGGGGUCUCAGCAUCGUUGUUGUCGCCGAGGCAGCGGCCGCCACCUCGUCCGCACCAGCAGCUGAUUGACUUGAUGCAGGUUUGCUGAUUGUAACUCCCAUUUGUGCUGCUUUUUGCAGCAAUGCAGUUGCAGACAUGUGGGGUGAUGCCGAUGCCGCGGCGGCUUGGAAUGAGGAGGAAAGAGUUGGAUUAGGGUUAGGGUUGUUGACAUUUUCAUGAUGAUGAAUCAUGGUUUGGUCCAGUCUCGGGUUGCUGAACAAGUCAUGACUUGUUGGUGGACCUCCCCUGGAUCAGAGAGCCAAGGCGGCAGCUCUGGUGGCCUCAAGUUGCUAUUGAAGCUUUGUUGUCGUUGUAACUGUAACUGUAACUGAUCUUGUUCUCGCUUGAGAGGAAACACGGGGAGGCCGCCGCCAUGGAGAGGAUGGUUUUGGAGGUGGAGUUGGACUGAAGAUGUAGUACUAUUGCCGCCGCCGCCUAGUAGUCCUAGUGGGUGGUUGUUUGUUGUAAUUGCCCGGGCACUCUCUUCUGCCAAGGCGUCGCAGAAAGCUCUAUGGGUGAUGAAACUGUCCCUCCUGACAAACAAAAACAAACAGAAAAAAACAAAAGGAAUAAAACAUCAAAAUGCUGCUGCAGAUUAAACAAUAGACAGUACGGUACCAUAUAUCUAUGAACGAUGCUCCCUCUUUUUCAUCUGAGUCCGUCUCUGUCGUCAACUUUUUCUGCGCUUUCAUCUAUGGUGGCAGCAUAGAUAGUAGUAGAGUACAUGAUUUUUUAGCAGUAAAGUUUUCUUUGUUUUUAGCUUUUUGCAGUGAAAGAAUAAAUAAAGUAGUGUUAGGACAUACUACAAAACUUGUAAUGAUACAAAUUCACUACACAUACGCACAUACACACAAAGACAAAGACAAAACAUUGCAACAACAACACAAGAUUCACAAGGCAAAGAUGUUUAAGGUGGUACCACGUACUAAUUGCCUAGUAAAACUGAAUGUGAGCAAAGUAUUUUUUUUUUUUUGGUCAAAAAAUGCGAGCAAAGUAUUUGACAUUGGGUAUUUUGGUAGCUUCUUUCUAAUGUGCAUGGAACAUCCAUUUGACCCCAGAUUCCUAAAUUAAAAAAGAAAAAAAGAAGAUCGAUUACCUUGAGAAAAGGGUUCCACAGUCACAUCUAUAUUCUCUAGUACCACAAAUCUUGGAAUGAGCUUUCCAAUCUGAUUGAACAGCGUAACGCUUUGAGCACUUUUCACACUUCCAUUUCUUCUCACCAUGCUUUCUGGAAAAGUGUUUCUUGACUCCAGUGAGGUCCCCAAGUGCCCGUGAGGGAUCAUGGUGCACGCAUGUAGUUUCCGGGCAAAUAUACACCUUCUUCCUUAUUACUUCUUUGUUGCUUCUUUGCUUUAACUUCCAGGGUAAAUUAUGUCCCCUCCUGUGCAAUUGGAGGUUUUGAUCCCUUUGGAACCCUUUGUUACAGAUCUCACAUAUAAACCUGUUUGUUGCCAGAAGGGUUCUUGGAGACAAAGCUAUCACUUCUGCCUCAGGGUCUAAUUAAGGAAUUUCCCGAUGGCAAUAGAAAAUCAGGAGAUUAAUAUCCAAGAAGUUUUUCCUUUAAUUUAGUACUGUUUCAGUCUACAAGAGAAGGGAUAUACUGCAAUAGAUAUAUAAUGCUGGACUUUGUUACCUGGAUUGCCUGGAAGAUUUCUCUUUUUCUUUGAAGCUGGUUGAGCACUUUGAUUAGUCGGUGAUGAUGCUAAAGGAGGCAGCUGCUGCUGCUGUGGGUACACAGCACCAAUUUCUAGUCUGUUGCCAGAAGAAAUGCUAGCAUCAUUAGAUCCAGAUGUCAAAUUUGACAUGCUGUCUUCUACCACCAUACCUGCAGCCUUCAUCAUCUUAGAAAAGCCUCCUUUUGAUACAACCUUGAUCUCUCCUUAGUUUCCCCUCUAAAUAUUGGGUAUACCCUUGUAUAGAGCUAUGCAGGUUAAUUAGAGGGUUGGUUUAUAAUCUUGGACUCCGGCCAAUUAGAUUCAUUGAUGAGCAACAGAUGAUAUCAAGCUUCUUUUUUUCUCGAAUCAGACAACAGAAUCCAAUACAAACCCUAGUUAUAAUUCAAGAAGAUUCUAAAUUCAGCUAGCUAAGUGAUGGUGAAAGAGGCACUGAUAAAUAAAAGCUUGUGUAGGUUGAUUUUAGUAGCUUCUUGUAGAAUCAUAUGAAGCUAGCUAGCUCCUAUCUAUUGUUUGAAAACCCUAGACGACUGAUUUGAAAAAGGAAGAAAAGGUUUCUUGUUAUAAGGGUGAAUCAAAAGAGAGAAAGAUUACAAUAUCAAGUGUUGAGUGAAAUCUUACAGUGUCGGCCCUUUUCUUCAAAUCAUAUUUGAAUUAACCAAAAUUGCCUGAUAGCUGUUAGCACCAUCAAGAUUCAAUAAAAAGCCACACAGAUGAAAACAAACAAGACCGCACCAUAUUCCUUUAGCAUAAACAUAAGAGAAGACUUCCGCUGUAUGUGUUUUGCUUUCUCAGUAUAUGUAUGUGUCUUGAGUGUGUGAGAGAGAGGAAGAUAAAGAUGGAGAAUGAGAGAGAGAGAGAGAGAGAGAGAGAGAGAGAGAUGUGGAUGAGAAGGUAUCUCUACUAAGUCCUCCACCCCAUGAAAAACCAUACCUCAGGCCAACAAGCUUAUUCUGACGUUGUCCUUUGUCUUUUUCGUUGUUCCCUUCCCAAUUGUAAAAAACUACAUGUACUUUGCAGCCUCUUCCUUCACUGUUUUUACUUGAUCAAAAUUAUUCCCUUUCAAAAGAAAAUGAUGAUUAAAAUACCGUGCAAGUUUAAAUAAUUUUCAUUAACCAAGUUUGCUAAUUGAUUCCAAAAGUGUACUAAUUAAUCAAGAAAGGAAACCGCAAUACUCAAUCAUGCAUGGCAAAAUGGUUAAAGUGGAGAAUCAUGCAUGCAUGGAUGUUAGAAUGCAAAUGUUGUUGGAGGUAAACAAAGCUCAAUUUAUGGGGACUGUCUUGCAGCUUAAUAGUCACUUCACUUUCUUUCUUUCUUGCUUGCAUCCACGCACCUACUGCCUACAUAUUCACAUGAUUGGUUUGGUGAUUAUAUUCGAAACAAUCAUGCAUGCUCAAGAAAAAAGUUGUUUCAAUUAUUCUUACCGUCCUGUGAUCCUUAGUUUGAAUAAACAAUACUACUGGUACUUGAGAUCAUUAAAUUUUAUAAAAGGUAGAAUAGUGAUUUCAGAUAUGCAAUGAAUAAGGUUCCAUCAACUAUCACUUUAAUACUUCGAAAAACCUGACAAAUUCACGGCUUCUGAACUUAAAAAAGUGGAAAACAGAAUACAGGACUUGGUCCCCCAUGCUGCCAUAUCCAUCAUCACUUGUUACUGUGCAUUACAUAAUCGAGACGCUAGCCCCGUCAAUUUAACUUGAGUGUUUAUAGAAGCAUGUUUUGAAUUAAUACGUGUGAGUGAUCAUCGGAAGAGCUAAUGAAUCGGAGUGGAACCUAAGUAUCUGUCAUGAAAUGUAGAAAAAUAAAGUGAUUAAUACAUGUUGUACAAAUCCUGGACGUUUUGUAUCUUAUUAAGAAAAUUUCUUCAGUUCGUCCUACUUAAUUCUGAUCAAUAUAUAAUAGUGUCAACAAAAUUAACGAAAUAAAAGGACACGCGUACGGCGCAUAUCCAAAUCACUCUACUAAUCAUCAAUUCACAAUCCCUAUUAGUCAUGCAAAAAAGGUGUGCUCUACGCUAAAACAAAUAAUACUAUCAAUUGGAUUUAAGUGGGAUGCAUCUAAGAGGCUAAGAGAUAAAGUAGUUAAAAUUGAAGUUUACAGUACAAAGUGAAAAGAGAAAACAAGUUUGGAGGUGCAAAGUGAAAUUAGUCCUUAAAAAUGUCUUUGCAUUUUUGCUUUUCCUAAUUUCAAUGCUUCAAGAAAAAAGUCCCUUUCUUACCUGACUUGAUAGAUGAAGAGCACUGGCGAGCCACGUUGUUUUCCCUUCUCGUUUUACAAAUUUAAAGUGGCUGUUAAAAUUGGAAUGUGUAACCACCUGUCUAUGACUAUGACAUGUAUGUUUAUCAGCCCUUGAUUUUCUAAAAAUGGCGGAUAUUCUCCCUCUUGUGCUAACAUGCAAUCGAGUGACAGUCCUCUAAUGAGUCUAAAAUGUGAGGAAAUGAUGUUAGCAUUUUCAUACCUAAUGGAGUUGAAUGCCCUUUCACAACCAUAUAUACCUCACUCCAUCGAAGAAUAGACAAUUUUUUGUUAUUUCAGCUAAGGAAAUUAAUUGUGUCACGAGAAGAUGGUAAGAAUGUGGGACAUUUAAUUAACCACCACUUUCUAAUGAUGCAACUAUUUACAUAGGAGAAGUUCUAGUUUUGUAGUUUUGUUUUACGAGAGGGUUAUUGGAAUACCUUUUCUUUUUUUUUCUUUGGCUAAUACAGGCGUACGAAUUCAAUUGAAUAAUUCUAGUUGCCAAUAAUAGAAGCAUAUUCUUCAAAGGGAUACUGAUGACUGGUGGAGAAAAUAGAGAAAGCUGAUCUUGGGCAGCAGGCACAUCACUAAGCGAUUACCACAAAUGCGCAUCCACCUGCAUUUCUUGCAUGAAGAAAAAUAAAGGAAGAUGCUGUUUAGUAUGUCCUCAUUUGCUUCCAAAACAUUGUUAUUAACACGUUAUCCACAAUUUUGAAGUGCUUCAAUCUUUGCCAAGUAAUAUUGCAGGGUCAGAUUCUCAAAUUUUUCUGCAGAUAAACCAUCGUUUUCGGUCUAUUUUCCUUUUUUGUUUGUCCUUGUUUUCCGUCAAGGGAGUUUUAACUCUUCGUUUCAUGAGUUUUAUUUAUAACUUUAUCCCGGCAUUGAAAAAUAAAUUAGCCAGUGAAAAAUAAGCAGAGUACCUUAUAAAAAUUGGAUCCUACGUACUUUAGUUCAUGUUCCUAUGAGAUUGGAAGCAAACAGGGAUUAAGUAAUUGUAGAUCACUUGUAAGCGAAAUUCAUAAUAUCACGACUCCUAGCUGUUAAUUAAAAAGGAAUUCAUGAUCUUUUGAAACUUCGUCUACUUUUAUUGAAAUUCUACACACACAAUAAUUACUUAGUUAUACCAGUGACCAUAUAUCAAUUGCAAAUGGUCUCCAAUGGAAAAAGAGCUUGAAAGAUAGUCAAUUGGAAUCUGACUUUCCUAUGUGCCAUGAUAACUCGGGAAGAAACUUGUUUGGAUUGUAGUUUCCGCAGAAAAUUUUUUACACUUUUCCUGAAUAUCAUUUUUCAACCACUUUUUUAUUUCACAUAUAUUAAAUCUCUACAAUAUAUUUCUCUACAAUGACUGUAAAAGUAUCAAUCCACAUAGGCUCUAACUUGUGUGUGGAAAAUAACAUAUUGAAGCCAUAAGAGAUUCAUGUAGUUGUCUCCUUUUUCUCAUAAAUUGGCUAUAUUAUUUACGAGUUUCUUGAACCAAGCACAGACCUAAAUCUAAGCGAUCAAGAAACAUCUUCUUUUCAGAUUUUACGCAGAGGAAAAUUAAGUUAUGACGGUGACAUUUAUAUGAAGUUAUAUUGCCAAGAUAUUUAGCUGGCCCCUCUAUAAUAGGAAAAAGAACCACAAAAUAAUUCUAUACUCAAAAGCAGAUGACUAGAAAACAAACAACGUGACUCGCUAUGGAGCGACAUUGUCUUUCUGUUUAUUCACGUUAUGAAACAAUUAUUAUUCUUCUUGCAAUAGUAUUAACUAUAUGGAUUAGUUUGUUUUCACUUGAUAUAUAUAUAUAUAUAUGCUAUAAAAACGUCAAUAUUUUAUGUAAACUCUGCAGCAUACAGAUAGAGGGUCAUGCAUGCACGUUCAUGUUUCAUUCCAAAUUCCCUCUGCAGACAGCAUGUCAAGGUGCCACCAGUCUCUCUCCUCUACAUCAAUCUGUACUCUGUAGCAAUUUUUAGCUGUUUGUUUGAAUAUGAGUAUGAUAAAAUAAGAAUACUGUUUGACCUAUUUCUCCUCAAAUCCUGUUGUUGACAUUUCGGAAGAACCGCUAUUGACUCGGGUUUUUUUUUUUUUUUUUUUAUCACUAUAUUAGAGAAUGAAAUUUGUUAGAAUGUAGUUCCACUUUAACUAUUUUAGAGACCUGACAAUGAAGUAAUUCACUAAUAAAAGGCAGACAAGGUUGUCACCAACACAAAAAAAGUCUGAAUGAAAGAUUGAGUAAACAUCACGUAAUUUUUUUUCUUCUUUCGGUAAUGAAAAAUCAGUACUACGUAUUAGAGCAUAUACUCUCAAAAUCAUGAAAAGUCGCUGAUAAAGUUUUCACAAAUCGUUCAUUAAUACAACAUUGAUAUCGACACCACAAUUUGAACGUACGAUCUUUUAUGAACAAAUAGUGUAUUAUCACUUAUUACCAACUCACCUAACUUCUCUUGCUGCCUUAUAUAUGAGUCUACGCAAUGUCAACUAUAGAACUGAUACAUACAAGUCUGCAUAAAAUAAUACCUAAAUAUUACAUCUACAUAUUAUAUAAGAAAGAAAUGAACUUUAGUACUUUGCUUGCUUGCAAGUCACGUGGUUUCCUAAUAGUUUGACAAAUGCUUGUUAAUAUUUCUUCUACAUUGCUAUUCUUGCCAUUGCACUUUUUUUUGGGCCUUUUGUUCAUGCAAAAUCAAACAAAUUUGGCUCUUAUGUUUAUGGGUGUUCUUCGGUCGAUAAUCGAAAAUUCGAUAAAUUUUUUUUUUGAUAAUUUGGGAAUUGAUUUUUUAAGACCAAUAUCCAAUUAGCGUCCAAACCUUAGUUUGAUCAAUUGGAUCGGAGAAUCAAUAGCGAGUUAAAAUAUUUUAAUUUUCUCUUAAAAAAUUGUUAUAACAAAAUAAUAUCCCAUAUGUUUUUCAACAAAAUUAAUCGACUUACUCAAACAAAACAUGAUAUGCAAAAAAAGGGUUCAUAAUCCUCAGUUCUAACUCAUACCUCAAUUCUUAAAAAUAUUGAAAUAAAUAAGAAUUUCAAACUUAAUUGUUAAGCUAAACUCCAAUGUAUCAACUUCCAUUACAAAUUUAUCUCCAAGUAUAGUUAUGGUUAGUUUAACUAAUCAGUAAUUACUAAUUAGUAUUUAGUGAUAGGAUUAAGAUUUACUCUUGUAUUUAGUAAUAUACAUAAGUGGGCAAAUGUUCUACUUUUUGUCUUCUAUUGAUUUUAUGCGAAAAUGGUUUCCACUUAAUUGUUCUUGAAAUUUUAAGUAGGCUAGCUAAGCACAGCCUGAAGUCUGCUAGUCCUUGUUACAAAUAGUGUAUGUAGCUUGCGACGGCUUAUAAUCCAUUUAAAAAGUUAUACAGUGUUCAACAAUGGUUAUCCAGCCUUUCCUUGUAAAUUAACUUUUAAUGAUGAUGAAGCCUUCCAUGGACUAUUUUGAUCUUCCUUCCUGUAUGAAUAUUCAGCUCACCUACUCACCACAGGGGCGAAGGUAGUUCAACUGUUCAAGCUUCACUUGUCUACCUGGUUGAUAAUUUAUUUAAUAUAUAUAAAGUAAAAAUGUAAUGAAAAUGUGUGUACAAAAAAGGUAAAGUUUUUAUGUGAAAAAUCACAAAUCCAGACAAGGCUGGUCGCCUGAAUAUUAGCCCAAUUAACAAAGGCUGAAUUGAGCCCGGGUAGGCUUCCCCAAAAACGGCAGUGGCCGUUCAUGUUUCGGACUCUAUUGAUGUUAUAGUUCAACAUCUUGGGUUGCAUCUGUAGCCCAAUUAAACAAAGGGCCGAAACGUGAGCCCAGUUAGUUUCCCCCAAGUAUGGCUCGGCUGCUUUUUUUUUUUUUUUUUUUUUUUGUGUGUUGUGUGAAAAGAUGUGGUUGUGUACUGCCCUUUGUAGUUUCCAACUUAUAUUUGAUGUUUUAGUUCAGUAUCUAAUAUUGCGUUUGUAGAUGGUAUUUUAAAAUGACUAUAUCCACAUGCAAACAAGAACUUGUGCUGAAAUUUCAUUCUAGUUCAAAUAUUUCUAUAUUGAUUCUAAAUAAUUUUAUUUGUUUUGAUGGUUAUGUUAGUAUUUACUAAAACAUGAUCUUUUUGAAAUUUGAAGAACUAAAAAUACUAAAUAUGGGACAAUCAGAUGUUGGCAAUGCAUAACAUACCGAAAAGGGGAUGAUCUUGGACUUAUUCCAUGCUGCCACAGUUAAAGUUCGAUCUUAGCGUAAGAUUGGUAAAAUUUAGGAUUUUUACUGAUCUUUCAUGAAGCAUUAUGCCAUAAAUUAAGACAGGUUUGAUGGAUGCUUUGGUUGAAUCUGUAGGAGAUAAAAUAUCUAUAACGGUAGUCACUGUUAUAUACUUGUUUAAGGAUACAGAUUCCUUUAAAUGCUCAAUCAUGCAUGAAAUUUAGCCGGCUACGCAAUUGAUUCCUUGUAACCAGAGCAAAUAAGAAAAUAAUUUAUGUUUUGGACGGUUCUCCUACCCAUAUAGGUGUCAAACUAUUGCCAAAAUGUUGCCUGCUGACCUCAUGUGAUACUACUAUAAUUUUCUGUAAAAUAUGAAAAUGCACGUUUUGUAUUCCUUUUGGCUUGAGUGAACAAGUGAACUUCUCUAGAGACUUGAUUGGAGAGGGCCAUAUUUCUUCAAGCUCCAGUACCCUUAAGGUAAUUCUUCUUAUUCGAAGUUUGAUCGAAGAAAAGACAUGGAGCAAUCCUUGUUGUGGGUAACUGUAGUACAGAUUUUCUUAGUGAUUGCCUAUCAAGGCAUAGAUGGGGCAUCUGAUCGAGUUGAAAGCAUUCUGGAUUACAUUCCAACCGAGGAACGAGGGAGGACAGCCUAUCACUUCCAGCCUCCCAAAAACUGGAUGAAUGGUAUGUCUUUAACGUUCUUGGUUUCUUUCUUGCAAUUAAUUUCUUGGCAGUUCUUGUCUAUAAUAUUGUCACUUACUAUAUGUUUUCUUCUUGUGCUGGCAUAUGUUUAUGCAUACUUCUGUCAUUUGGCACUCUGGAAUCUUCUUCUUCUGCUGCCUUCUGUCCUUGGCUUCUUUCUUCUGUCAUUUGGCAUUUAUGAUGGUGAAAAUGGCAAUUGGGUGACAUGGAAUGGAACCGGUAGAUCCAAAUGGUAAGUAUUAUAUGUUUUCCAUUUCUAUUACGCAGUCUUUUGAUCUAUUUUCAAUCUCUGGAAGUCCAAAAUUUGUUUUAUUUUUGUUUCUUUGCCCGUUGAUCAAGUACAAUUAGACAGAUAGCUUCCCCUAUGACUUCAGGAUUUGCAUAUCAGAUUAUGAAGCAGCAAUUGGUAUAGAUACAUGGACGCUCCCAUCUCGGUGAUCACAUGGAGUUUCAGUCCAGUGGUUCAGUGAUUUGCUUUCGUUGAAACUAUCCUCCACAUUUUGAUCUGACAUUUUUCCAUUUUGUAUCAUGCAGGUCCAAUGUACUAUAAAGGAAUUUACCAUCUGUUCUACCAGUACAAUCCAUAUGCUGCAGUGUGGGGUGAAGGUAUUCUCUCCUGGGGACAUUCUAUAUCUUAUAAUCUGGUUGAUUGGAUUCAUCUUGAAGACGCUCUUGAUCCAACGGAUCCCUAUGACAUUAGAGGUUGCUGGUCUGGCUCUGCAACAAUUCUUCCAGGUGGAGAUCCUGCCAUCAUGUACACAGGAGUGGAAUCUACGAACCGUCAAGUCCAAAAUAUAGCAGUGCCCAAAAAUCUAUCUGAUCCGUUCCUUUUAGAAUGGGCGAAAUUGGAUCAAAAUCCUCUGAUGACUCCAGUUGAUGCCAUUGGUUCAGAAUUUUUCAGAGAUCCAACAACUGCCUGGCUGGGGAAGGACAAAAGAUGGCGAGUGGUCAUUGGAAGUGAAAUUAAUGGUCAUGGGACAGCACUUCUCUAUCAAAGUGAGGAUUUUGUACACUGGGCUAAGAGUCAUAAACCCCUUCAUUUCUCAAAUAAAACAGAUAUGUGGGAGUGUCCAGAUUUUUACCCUGUCAGUACCAAUGAUACAAAGGGAAUUGACACUUCUGGUCUAGGUAGAACUACCAAGCAUGUGUUGAAGGCAAGCUUUUUCGGUCAUGAUCACUACAUAAUAGGGACCUAUGAUUCAGAAACAGAUGAUUUCUUUCCUGAUACUGACUUCAUGGAUAGCAAUGUGAAACUGAGAUAUGAUUAUGGUAUAUACUAUGCUUCUAAAACGUUUUUCGAUGGAGCCAAGAGAAGGAGAAUAUUGUGGGAUGGGUAAAAGAGGCAGAUGAUCAAUCAGAUGACAUCAGCAAAGGAUGGUCUGGACUUCAGGUAGUUUAUAGCUUUGACUUCUAUUCUUUGCAGUUAGCCGACUUGAUUCACUCUUCUUUCUGCAUUUUCUGGCUAUCCUCUUCUAUUGUUUUGUUUUAGAAUUUCGGGAGCAUAUCAUUAAUCUGUUUCUCUAGAAGUUCAGGUUCUUCUCUCAGAUUCUCUAUUAGGUUGCUACUAUACAGUUUUCUUGAAAGAAAAUCUAAAUUUGAGUUUUGAAACAGUAGCCUUAAAGUCCUUAGACGCUAUAAUUUGAUUAAAUAACUUCUCAAGACACGCUUUAAAUCUGUGCAUAUCUCUAAACUUCAGCACGAGUGACCCAAACUGUGUUGUAGUCAUUCCCUAGAACUAUCUUGCUUGACAAAAGUGGAAAGCAACUAUCACAAUGGCCAAUCGAAGAAAUUGAGGGUUUGCGCAAAGAUGAAGUUAAUCUUCAGAAUAAGGAGAUAGAGGGAGGUAACAUAUUCGAAGUUACAGGCAUCACAGCCUCACAGGUAAAAGAAUUCAUCCAUCUAAACUUUCUGUUAUCUGGUUGAGUUGACUCGUUGCUGAAGAAAUAACAGAAACUUUUGCUGCACAGGCUGACAUAGAAGUCUCAUUUCACCUGCCAAAUCUUGAUGAUGCUGAGUUAACACAUCCCGAAUGGCUUGAUCCUCAACUUCUUUGCAGCGAAAAGAAUGCAUCAACAGGAGGAGUUAUCGGUCCAUUUGGCUUGCUGAUCUUGGCUUCAGAAAACUUGACUGAAUAUACUGCGGUCUUUUUUCAAGUAUUCAAAGGCCAUGACAAGUAUGCUGUGCUCAUGUGCAGUGAUCAAAGCAGGUAAGCAUGUAAUUCAAGUCCACCUAAAGUCAUGCAAAUCAUAGUUUGUUCCAUCAUAUGUUACAUAAUUUUACAGGUCAUCUUUGAGAGAGGAGGUCGACAUAUCCACCUUUGGGGCAUUUGUCGAUGUAGAUCCUGCAGAAAAAAUAUCACUAAGAAGCCUGGUAUGCUGCCCAUGCUCCAGAAAUUUUCUUUUGCUAAUAAAGUUGAACCAAAGAACACAUAGAUCCCUAUUACUGUCAGGUUUUCUUUACUCUCUGAUCUUGUAAUAUUGUGGGCAAAACUAUAUCUAUACUUCAACAUGAUCGGCAUAGACCCGGAAAUGGUUUACUUUAUCUGCAAUUCAUGAACUGAAACAUCUUUUUCUCGGGUCCCUUUCCUGAGAUUUUUCCUGGGCUAGACAAAAAACACUCAAGGGAUAGAUGUUUCUGCGUUUGCUACAAGAAGUGGAAAACUGAACAUGUUUCUGUUCUUCAGAGUCAGAUUUAUGCUUCACCUUUUCUUUUUUCUUUUUUUUUUUUCUUUUCUAUAGAUUGACCAUUCGAUCAUUGAAAGUUUUGGAGGUGAAGGAAAGACUUGCAUCACUUCUAGAGUCUAUCCAACGUUGGCAAUUGGUCAGGAAUCCCAUCUUUAUGUAUUCAACUAUGGCACAGAAAGUAUCAGAAUCGCCAAUUUAAGUGCUUGGAGCAUGAGGAGAGCUCAAUUUUUCCAGUCGUCCACAAAGGAAGAAAAGCCGAAAUUGAUUGAGGAAUAGAUUUUUGGCGAUCAAAUUCAAGAAAUGCUUCUGAGCUCCUGUUGCUUUAUGAUUCUUUCCAAUAUUAUCAAUCGCAUCUUUGGUAGGAUACCAGUAUGUAGCCAAGGCAUGAUGAAAUUAAUUAAUCCAGGGCAGGUUUGCUAAUAGAUACAUUGCAAUCCGCCACUGGUCUGUAAUGACCUCCUUUGUUACUUUUUCUUUUUAUUUUUUUUUAAAAUGAAUCAUUUAUAUAUGGCCCUACUCAUAGGUAGGGUUUGGAUUGGAUUUAUUUGAUUUAACUUCAUAUCAGACUUAGAUUAUAUAUAUAUAGCAUGAAAAAAAAUAACAUAAACAUAAAAGAAUUAUCAUUUUUAAAUAACAAAACUAAUAUUUUUAGAAUGUUGCAUGCAGUAAUUAGGGAGUAAAAGCAUGAGCCUCUAUCAACUAAUUCUAUCUAACGAAAAAUUUCAUUAAUUCCAAUAUUCUCUUCUUUUUCUUUUUCUUUUUUUUCUUCCAAUAACUUUGUUCCAGUCUAUGUUUUUGUUCACUUAUAGUAUCUGUGAUUUUUCUCCAUCGGCUUUUUUUUGCUGAUUUAUAUGUGCUUGCACUUUUGCAUGUGUGAUGGCAAAAACGGCGAUUGGUUGAUGUUGAACCUGUAGAUCCAAAUGGUAAGAAUUUAACAUUGGAAAUUAUGUUCCUUGGUUAAUUAUAAAGCUACAAUUGUUGUGGGAUAGACGGAACCAAAAAACUCUUAUCCAGCAGAAAAAUUUUUGUAUUAUAAAUGUUCAAAUUAACUAUCAUGCCAACUUUGAAAUAAUUUUAUACAUCAAUGGAUAAUAAUUAAUGUGAUAAAAUUCAUCAAGCAUUUCAUGAAUACAAAAUUAGACCUAAUAACUAAACAAACGUUAUGUAUUUACUUCAAAUUCGACGUGACACUUUGUCAUGGAGCCCUGUUUGGAUUGCCAUUUUCUGCCGGAAAUUGCAUCGUUUUCCAUGAUCACAUUUCCUUAUUAUUUUUUCUCUCAAAUGCAUCAAAUCGUUACAGUAAUUUUUUCAUGAAAAAUGACGGAAAAUACAAUCCAAACGGGAAGUCAAAUAAAUUACUUAUCUAACAAUGAAAACUACGCUAAACAAAGUUACUCUAUUCUUAUACUGAAGACAUAAUUCAAAUUUAUUAAAAGAGUAAAGGCCAUUAUUAGGAGGGAUAGAAACCAUAACAAAAAAAUAAUUUGAUAAGAAGUUAGAAAAAGAAAACGGUAAGACCGAGAUAUCUUUUUCUUUGCUCCUUUUCGAAAAAGUGACCCAAAUAUCUAGUUGACGCAUAAAUUCUCUUCAAUUAGACAUAUUGUUAAGAGGGAGGAAAGAAAAGUUGAUUAAAUUUACAGUUUUAGCAUUCUCUUUUUCUUAUCAUUCUAUCACUCAUAUGAAGUGCAUGUUACAUAAGGAUGUCAACUAAAAUGCUCUGAAUUCUAAUCUGAAACUUUGAUAAUUUACGCACAGUGGAAUAGUACAAGAUUUAAUCCGGUUAGCAAGUAAAUGGCAUGCAAAAAAUAAGUAAAUAAAUUAAAAAAAAAAAACACAUGCUAUAUGGAUGCUUUGGGCUAUGCUAAUUGUAAUCUGCAAAAAAAAAAAGAAAAAGAAAAUUAAAGAUGUUGUUUGCUUUUGGACUAUGCUAAAUGUACUUUACCGAUUUAGAGGAGAAUUGGGUUGAAUGGUAAAGUAGGAGGGAUUGUAAAUAGAGGGAAUUGAAUUGAAAAUCUCCCAUUCACCCAAUAUAUGUAUGUAUACACACACACACACUAGAGUCUAGAUUGCUUGAUACAGAAUCCGUUUGAUUUGGAGUUUUUUUUUUUUUUUUAAAAUACAUAAACAUUCUAUAAACAUGAUAUGUGUGAGGUAAAAAGAUAAUUCAUAAACAUUUCAAAAAAAUUCUAAAAACUUUUUGAGGAAAACUCACAAUCUACAGUGCUCUUAAUCUGGAUUAGCGAAUUUUUUUUUUUGUUACAUCAUAAACAUGUUUCUAAUCACCAUUUUAAAAAAAAUUUUCAAUCACAUUUUUAUUUCACAUACGUUACAUUCCAAAAGUACUACAUUUUUAUUCCCAAAAAAUCUUCAAUCCAAACAUUAAUGUAAUGUGAAAUGAAGAUAUAUGGAUGCUUUGCUUUGCAAUCUAUUUUCUGUAAAGUAAAUAUUGCAAUAUGUCUAUUUAUACUGACAACUUAAUCAUGACUUUUUUUUUGGUUGCGUUUUUUUUGUUUGGUGGUGCUGGGGGGGGGGGGCGGGGGUGUUCCAGGCUUCUUUGAGCUUUUGGGAAGCCAGAAAGGAUACUGUAGCAUGGAUUAUUUUACACGCUUGACCAUGCAUUCAACUUAUUGCUAACUGCCAAUUUGAGGCCUAGUUAUUCAUCCUAAUUUAAACAAUUCUACAAUCAGUUUGACAGUCCUUGGAACCAUGUGGAGGUUAAUUAUUAGUCAAAUCUUGAACUCUAUUUUAGGUUGCAAGUUGCAACUUGAUUGGCUAAUUAGCUCAUCGAGUAUGAUAUACUAUUAAUAUCCUCUUUAAUUCAUGUGUUAUUCUUGUAUGUCCAGUCUUUUUCUCUUUCUUUCUUUCCUUCUUUCUUUCUGCUUGGAUGUUUUGCCCUUCUGUUUUUGGUUGGGGUACAAAUUAGGAGUUGUUAGGUCAAUUUUAAAGACCAGAGAAAUCGAGGCUCCUAAGGAAGCUCAAUUUGUGGAAAAUGUGAGAGAUGAGUAAGUAGUAACAAACAACAAUGGGGUACUUUUUGGUAUCAAUUCAAUAAAUCUAAUGAAUGGAGGGGCCGCCGCCUAAUAUUUGAGUCAAAAUAUUUGGCACAAUCUGUCGAGAGCUGGUUAAGUGAUUGACAAGUUUUGGUAUGUGGAUGAUCAAUUGAUUUGAGGGCCACCUGCCAUACACAAAAUCUCUGAUUGCUGGAGACAAACUGUAAUCACAUUCCCAUCUCCGUGCUUCAAAAGUUUCUGUAUAGAUACUUCCGACAAAUCAUAUACAGACAAAGGGCGAUUGUAUCCCGACACUUGCCUCGAGCCAUUAGGGAGUAAUCUAAUUUUACCAAGUAGCCCAAGGCCACAAGAAAGUUUCCUAUAGAUGCAGCCUGUGGCUUUCUUGUACUCCUUACUUCCUUUCUAAUCGAAAUUUAGUACUACUUUCUUUUCUUGCAGUACUUCCUAGUAUGAUAAUGACAAUGAGUGUGUUUGGAUGGUAAAUCAUUUGAGAUAAUUUUGUGAAAUUUUUUUUUAAAAAAAAUAAAAUAAAAUACUGUAGCACUUUUUAAAUGUGAUGUAUAUGAGAUAAAAAAAUGAUUGAAAAAUGUGUUGACGAUACAAAUAAGUCAGUAUAGUCAGAGUAUAAAUAAUGUGCAAUCCAAACAAAUUGUGCGCGAGCACAAACACACUCAUCGAUAUCUUUGCGUGAACCCAAAUUGGCCAAUCAUCCAUUUUAAAAAUUUUUGUUUGUCGGAAUCCCAACGGUCAUUCGCAUAGCCCAUAUCUAGUGUUGGCCCAAUACGUUCUUGGGGUUAGCUACGAAGCCCAACAGGAAUUCACAGCAUUCGUGCGUGGUCCAGAUGUUUCCUUUAACGUGUUCUUAAUCGUUUAGAACUAAAAGCUCGAUUAACUCUCCAUAAUGUCCAGAUUCGACGGCAACUAAAAGAUAAUCAAUCGCCAUUCUAGGUUCUUAUCAUUUGGUUUGGCCUAAUUAGAUUCCUACUGGUUUAGUCUUGGAAAAUAUUUCAAACUCAAGUAAUUAAGCAUUAAGCAUUUGAUAAGUUCUCCAGUCAAUCUGUCAAAAUUAUUUUGAUAGGUUGGAAACCAAAAAAAUCAAGGGGCAUAUUGGUCUUUUAAGGGACCAUAUUAAUCCAUCUAACAAUGGUCAGAAUUGUUAACUUGCAUAAAUUAGUCAUAAUUGAAUAUUCCGGAAAUUAAUUUGAACAUGAUAUUACUGGUCUUGUAUUCUAUGGUGGGGCUAAAUCCACACCCUUAUAAUCAAGUCGAUCAAAAAGCCCGUAGCAUUUAUGGGGCUUAGUAGAAAUUUUUUCAAUAAAAAAUUAAUCUUUUUUUUUAAUGAAAAUGGAUGGUGCUAAUUUGAAUUUAAAAUUUACAUCAACCAGAAUGGUCUUAAAUUUUCCAACAUUUUUUUUUCAUUCCCUUUGAUGAUAUUUAUGUUUCCCUCUUAUUUGGUAGAGAGAAUGCUUUUCUCUCUUUUUAUCAUGUAAGAGGAGAUGAGAAGUUUUUUUUUUUUUUUUUUUAAAUUGUGUUAAAAAAACAUUUUUACCUUUUUGCCAUGUUGCACUUCAAAAUUGAUUGAAGUAUAAUUUUAGACGACACUAUCAGAUCAACAAUUAAGAAGAUGGUAUGAAAGAAUUUCAAUUAAUUAAAAUGUGUAAUUGACUUUUAAAACAUCCCUUGUCGUGUGAAUACCAAGUUUUUAUAUUGAGAAAAAAGUAUGUAUCAAACACUACAGAUCCUAUGGGCUUUGUUGUCAUCUUAAUGCUAGGGUUGGGUGCAUGGACUUAGAUUGAGGGGUGUAGAUUUAGUCCCCUCCUAAUCCUAUACUUCAACCAUGAGAUUUCAACUUAUCCACCCUUGGCAAAAGUAGCUUCCAUGGUCUUAUAGUUAAUAUUUAAACCUUUGCUUUUAAGUUACUCUAAUUGAAGAAAAAAAAAAAAGGUAAUUCUAUCUUAUAACGAGAUUGGUUUUCACAAAACAUCUAAAGACAAUUAAUGUACAUUAAAUUUCUUCACUUUUUUUGCAACCUAUUUCUACUUAGUAUCUUAAAGUAUAUCUUUUAAGUUUUUUUUUUUGAGGGAAUAUCUCUUUAAGUGCUAGGCUCUAGGGUUAGAAGAGCAGAUUGGUAUUGUGAUGAGAACUCUCUAACCUCUUAAAUACUAGCAAGCAGCUGCUGUCAUUCAAUAUCCUCAGUGAAUCACCAAGCGGAUGAAUCAUAAUCAAAUCAAAUCGGUUAACAAGUAUGCUCAAAUGAUGAUGCACAAAAAUGAAAUCUUGUAGGCGUGGGGAAAAAAAUCAAUUUAAUUUACAACUGGGGAAAAUAAAGUAAAAUUUCUAGUUUCUCCAACUAUUAAUUUGUAAACCAUAACCCGAAGGAGAUCCGUGCAAAUAUAAAAACUAUGUGCCGCAGAAGGAAAAAAUACAAGUCUCUUCUUUUGUACUUUGCUUCUGCUAUUUAUUUUGUUCAAAUUUAACAAAACAACAAACAUCCGUGAGGAAAAAAUGGAAAAGAAAGAAUUUUUUAAAAUAUAACCAAUAGUAUGCCGUCAACAUUGGCCUAAUGUUGGUCCACUUUUGUCAAGGCAACAAAAUUGGACAUGCAGGUAGAGCUGUAAACGAGCUGAAUUGAAUCGAGUAUUUCAUGUUUGAACUCUGUUCGUUAAGCGAUUCGAACAACAUUCGUGUUCAUUCGUUAAUUUUCGAACUCCAAACCUGUGUUCGUGUUCGGCUCGUUAAGCAAAGUUCAUGUUCGAGUUCGUGUUCGUAUUCAGCUCGUUUAACAUAAAUGAGCCGUUCGCGAACAUACUCGAAAUGCUCGAUCCAAAUUAUUUUAAGCCUUAAAUAUGCCAUAUAAAUCAUAAUCAUUCUAAAAAAUAAUUAAAGCACUAAAUGACUAAAUUCUAUUGUUCAUUAACUAUAUAACUAACAUUAACAUAAAAAUAAUAAAUAAAACCCUCCAAAUAUAAAAGUCUAGCCAUAAAAUUAACCCUAAAAUUUGUCAAGUGAUAAUUAUGCUCGUGUUCGUGAACGUUCGUUAAAACUCACGAACAUGCUCGUGUUCGUGUUUGCUCGAUUAUUAAUCGAACAAAAAAAUUCGUUCGAACUCUGUUCGUUUAAGGUUUCGAAUGAGUCUUUUAUGAACACGAACGUAUUGAAACAAACCGAACUACCGCAUAGUUCGGUUCGUUUAACAGCUCUACAUGCAGGUGACUCAUAAACGCUACUAUUCCAAAGUAACCCUCUAAGAACUUAGGGCAAAUAUUAUUGAGAAACCCAUAAUCAAGUUGCAUCCUCGAUGUUUUCUUGCUUAGGCUGUUUUGGAAUAUUAACUUCAUCUUUUGGCUCCUCGUCUUCACUGUAGGAAAAGAAAAGAUUUGAAUUAACAAAAAGCUUAAAAAAAUUGUAAAAGAAAGUAGCAUCUAAAUAAAAUUGAACAUAGAAACUUCCUUUAACUAGCAAAUCAAACAAGUCAAUAAAUUACAUAAACAAAUUUUAAAAAAUCUUUUCAUGAAAAGCUAAGUAGUUAGUGGGGAGUUAGCUGCAAACCUUCAUGCAAAUGAAGACUAAGUGAGGUUAUAAGAAAAAAAAAAAAAAGAUGGUGACUUCCUAUAAUAUUCCUUCUACAAAUGGUGGAGUUCUGGUUGUAAUUGAAGUUUAACGAACGAAGAUUUGGUUCGAGAAAACAGUUUAAAGAACGAAGAUUUGGUUCGAAAAAACAUGUAACUUCGUGUUGUACCACCUAAGAUACUGACUCUCACUCAACUAGUUGCAUUUUUUACUUUUAAUUCAGUUUUUUUAAGUGUUUCUUCACGCCUAUGGAUUAGCAUAAUUAUAGCAAUGCAAUCAAUACAAUUUUAAAAUCUUCCGUCAAUAUAAUAAUUAAUAUAAUUGUAAGAAAUCUGCUAAUAUAUUUAAGAUUUGACAUGCUUCCUAAAUGAUAAUUCAACCUUUAUAUUUUCAAAUCUUCAAAAAUCAUUUCAAAAUCUUUUCGAGGCAUAUUUUUCCGCAUCACCUUUUGAAUUUCUUAUUUUUAUUUCCUAUUUUAAGUAGGCAUACAGUUAUAGGUAUUAUUCAUCUUAUUCAGCUCACCUUGAACACCAUGAAAAAACUAUUAAUUGAUUGAUAAUAGAAUGAAAAUGAAACCAUUUGAAAGAAAUGACAGUACCUUGACAGAUUUAAAUUUUUUGACUCGAUUAGAUCGUGCUUGAUAUCUUCAUAUACAUCAAACAAAACUUUGAUAUCCUCAGAUCCAUCGACCAAUAAUGGAGUUGGACUAAGAUGAACAUACGACGUACUGGGAUUAAUAUCACCCUGGAUAUCUUCAUCUUUAUGCCCUGCGUACAAAUCUGCAUAACCACCAAAGUCUUCAGGCUCAGGCUGGAUAUGCAUGGAUUGUGCUCCAGCAACAUACAUGCCCGGAUUGAUGGGAUUGGGUAAAGGUUCUUCUGCACCGGUCCCGGCGGCGCUUCGAAGGCUAUGAAUAUGGGCCAAUUGGGUAAGAACAAGGUCCAAUUCAGCCCUACAAAAUUGUAUUUGUUUUUGCAUCUCUUGAAUGACUCGAUGACAGCCGCCAACAGGAUCACUUGCACGUAUAUUGGCUUGAAUAAUCAUUGAUUGCAUCGCACGAUGUCGGUCGUUUGGAUUAACAGUAUUAUAUACCUUCAUCAUAUUCCUCAACCCAAACAAUUUGUGGGCAUUUAGGAACUGCUUUUGGUGGUCGGGAGGGAAGUAUCGGGCCAAGGGACAACCCGGAGCACAUUUCCUGCGGUGGUAUUUGCAUGCAGCACAAGCCCUUGUGUCACUAGUGCUUGCACCAGCGGUUGUACGCUUAGUAUUAUUGCUAUUGCUACUGCUUGGUUCGGCUGUGUUGUUGAGAACUUUGCUCUUGUUAUCUUGGUGGUUAUUAGUACCAUUCAUGGUAGAAGUGGCAGUAAAGAUCGGCAGCAAAUGUGCCGAAGGAGGAUCCCUAUCUUUUCUCCACUUCGGUUUAUGGGAGAAAAGAGAGAGAAGAUCGAGGGAGAGAGAUCUCAGUUAUGAUAUGGAUGCGGGGAGAGGCAUAUGCCUAUCGUGUGUCGUGGGGAGGCAUACUGGGGCUACGACUCUUUUCUUUUGCAUUGAAUGGAAAAAAGGAUAUCAAUCAAAUAUUUUUGUUCAAUUAGCAGGCUACUUUCCUUUCCCCUUCUUCUCUAUUUCUCUUCUGUCUGCUUUCUUUCCUUUUUGUUGUAGUUUUUUUUUUUUUUUUCGGGUAAACCCUUUUUUUAGUUUCUUUAGUGGCAAGGAACAUGAAAUUAAUCUAUAUCACCAGUCAAAAAAAUCAAGAUUUAUUUUCUUUCAUUUUAUUUCUUACCUACUUUUUAACCUUAUUAAUCCAGAAUUUUACUAUAUGCCAAUAAGGAAGAAAUGAAAAGAGGGUGUUGUCUGCUAUGACAAAAGCUUUCAAUGGGGGAUUAUUAUUGUUGGCUUUUGACUUUGGAAACCACAUAAACCAACAUGUCUAUCAUGGUACGAUCACCUUAAAAGUUUUUAAAAUUUUAAAGCACAUGCUCUAAAGGCUACCAAAGCUUUAGUUCAAGAAAACCUCUCUUCCUCGUUACGUAGAAUACAUUUCCAACCAGAAUGAUAUAAACUAAAAAAAUUAGGGUGAGAUAAUGAGACAGUAAUUUAAGGUGAUAUAAACUAAAAAAAAAAGGGGUGAAGUUUAAAAGCUAGUGAUUAGAAGUACAAAAUUUUGGGGUUCGAUAAUUCUGAUUACUUCUUAUUCGAGGUUAGGACUUUUGCAGCUAAUUAAGAUUGUCCUUCAACAACAUUAUCCUUAUCUUGGUAGAUCUAGAAACGAAAUUUGCCGUCAAUUUGUAUGGUAGAGUUUAGACCACGGCCUAUUUGGACCAUGACUUAGCAUCUGCAAUUACCUUUGAUUUGCAUGCGUCUUAAUAUAUCGUUGGAGCCUAUUUGGACCAUGACUUGGGCUAAAACUUGUAGUACUCUGUGUUGUUGGAAAAGCUAGUACUAUAAAUGGGCAUAAUGCAAUGCAAAACAACAUGAUGGUGAUCCCGUCUUAUGACCAUAUCAUAUCCCUUAUCUUCACUGAAAUUUUGUUCGAGUAGAAGUUUAGGUACAGUUGAUUUGUUGGGAGAGAUUUUGUUCGAGUAGAAGUUUAGGUUCAAUCGAUUUGUUGUGAGAGAUGGUAAAGUGUAAAUUGGAGAAUUUGUCCAUCCUUAUAAAAGAGGUAAGUAAAAGGAAACUAGGAAGUUGAUAUACGGAUUAGGAUUAGGGACCUCUAUUCAAUCAUUGCAAAGUGGAUUUCAAACAGCCCAGGGCCAGGCCUUACCCACGAGCAAGAGUCGGACUCUGUGGGCGCAACCCGGGCCUAAUCUAGAUUAGUCUGAGCAAUGGCUCUCGAUACCGGGUGGUCUGACAAAAAAAAAAAAAAAAAAAUAGAGUUGUACAAGUGAACAGUUUAAUGACAUUUCGUGCAAUUUGCUCAAAUAGUAAUUAUGUACGCUAAUACAAAAAUAUAUAAAUCUUGAAUUUUGUAAAGUACCAUCAUAUAUAUAUUAGCAUAGUAUUGUACACUAAAUACUAAUACAAUAGAUACGUGCCCUAACCCUAAGUCCUAGGGUACCGAUGUACAAAACAUUAACAUUUAUUUAACAAUUUUUCCGAGUUUUUUCUUUUUAUGUAAGUGAGAAGUUUUGAAUUCGAAAUCUUUCACUUAUAGUCUCUUCUUCCGUACCAUCUUCUCUACCCCUUCUUACCCUGAAAAAGCAGGGGCACCUUACGUUCUUGAACCGAUAACCAUCUUUCGGCUAACCUAGCCUCCUCCGUCCCUCGGGACCGACAAACGGUAGUACAGGAAUAUUCACCUGUUGUCCAUCGACUACGCCUUUCGGCUUGAUCUUAGGCCCUGACUCACCCUCCGUGGACGAACCUUGCGGAGGAACCCUUAGGUUUUCGGGGCAUUGGAUUCUCACCAAUGUUUGCGUUACUCAAGCCGACAUUCUCGCUUCCGCUUCGUCCACCACUGCUGGCGCGGAGGCUUCUCUCUAAGGCGGAACGCUCCCCUACCGAUGUAUUUUUACAUCCCACAGCUUCGGCAGAUCGCUUAGCGUUCAACCCAUCCUUUCCUUCCUUUUUUUUUUUUUGAUUAAACAAUCAGAGUUGUUCAAUUCAAAAAGUACUUAAUCUAAACCAUACACUACACUUCACCAUCCUAUUUGCAACCGUAGAGACUCCUUAACCAUCGAUAUGUAUACUUGUCCCUCAAACCAACAGCUAAAUUCUUGUAUUAUUCUAGCAAACAGGUAUGUUAGCGACCAAGAUUUUUAGGUCUUGCUGGAUAGACUAGGUUUAAUUCCAUACCGUAUCGUUUAAACUCAAAAUUUAGGUCCUAAAUUUAUAAAAUGAAUAGAGUUCCAAUUUAAUGUCUAUAAAGCUUUAGUAAUAUUCUCAACAAAAGAUAUAUGGUGCAUUUCAUAAAUUUGAAAUCUAAAAUUUGAAAUCUGAAUCCAUUAAGUUACUGAAUUAUUAAGUACUAAAUUUGAUAUAUUUAAAUAUACAUCACAUUAAGGGAUAAGUGAAUGGUUUGUCACUUAUUUUUGGAGCAAGUUCUACGUAGAAGUGUCAUUUAAUUUAUUUAAAAGUUAUAUUUUAAGUUAUCAAACAUGUCUGAAUAUGUUAAAAUCUUAAUUCAUUAAACAUAAAUAUUGAAUUAGGUUAUUAAAUAGGACCAAAACGUUCAUUAAAAAAAAUUUCCCUAAAAAUAUAUAUUUUCUAAAGAAUAGGAAUAAAAUCUUUGUUGAAGAUUCAAUUCAAACAAAAGUCAUCUAUUAUUUUAUUGUACUAAGGAUUUGUUUAACGAAUCCCUAGGAGUACUUGUUAAUUGGAGUUUUUUGCAUUAAUGUAAUGAAAAAGUACGACUAAAGCCCUAUAUGAUAAUUCAAUUUACCACCUAAAGUUAAUAGAUUUAGAACUUCAUAUGUUCAAACAUGUUUGAUAGUAAGAAAAUAGAAUGUCUUAAUUAAUUAAGUAGCUCUGAAUUAUCUAGAUGAAACUUACUACUUUAAUAACUAAGUGAUAAAAUGUUCACUUAUCACUUAAUGCAGAAUACGCUCAAAUAUUAAUAUUUUAGUAUUUCAUAAUGCAAUAAUUUAAUAUAUUCAAUUUUCAAUUUUCAAUUUUAUCAAACGCUUCUAAAUCCAAAAAUUUGCUGAACGCAAUGCGAAAUAAAAGCUAAGAUUACUUGUAUUUAUAUGGAAUGUUGUAAGCGUUAAUAAGUGCCCAUUACAAAAUUUAAACUCAAACCCCGCUUGAGCUGACCCCGUGUGUAUUUGGAAUGCAAUGGGCUUGCGUCUAAAUUUGGGUUAUAUAGACUUGGACUUUACCCAAGCCAGUGAUUGACUUACCAGCCGACAGAAAUUUGAAAAUUGAGGCCCAAAUUCACAAAAACUGUGAUAGCUUGGGAUGCAUUUGAAUAAUAUUCAAACCAGUGACAUGUUGCCAUGAUCAAUAGACAAUGAAAAAAAUAGGGUACAUGAAUUUGAAAAACUUGGCCAAAUUCACAAAACUAUGAUGGUUUUAGGCCCCAAUAUUUGGAUAGAAUUGACAUUACUGCAAUAAUCAAUAAUCACUUGGAUAAAAAAAAAUAAAAGCUAAAAGAGAUGGGAAAUAAAAUGUUGACUUAUUAAUUACAUCUAUAAGGCACAGAGAACUUUCCUUAGCAAAUAAUAUUAGAGUAUAUUUUUUAUGCAUUGUCAGUAUAUACACAUGCGUGCGAUAUUAGGUGUAUGCCACGUAGUUUAAUCUCAAAUUUGAAAUUUAGUUUUCGUACAAAUGUCAUACAUUUAUAACUGCUAGUGUAAAACUCUUUACAUUGACAGUGUAUAAAAACUUAAUUCAUAAUAUGAGAUCAACUUCUCACUUAUAAUUUGGGGGCACACCAUUCAAUGAUCCAGUACACAUCCUUAAAUUCACACACUUAUCAGGAUGAAAACUAGACCAUCAUGCUCUCUUAUGUUCCUUUUUUUUUUCUUUCUUCUUUUUCUCUCGGGCUAGUAUUUUCAUUAUUUUCUAAACCUUGGAAACUAGGCCUUCCGCUUACAUUUAAAAAGAAAUAUAUUUUUAAAAAAUAAGUAUUAAUCCUCGUCAAUAUGUCAAUUUUCUCUAGCCUACUUAGUGGCUCCCUGAUUAUUCAGAAGUGCAAGAAGUUCCAUCUUGACAUAGAAUUGAUUCAACAUUGAUACCAAGGUAACUAAGCCAGAAAAUUGCAAGUCUAUAGCUGAAAUACAUUUGUUUUAGCUCACGGACAUAGAAUUGAUUCAAUAUUGAUGCCAAACUAACCCCAAAAAUUGCAGAUCUAUUGCUGAAAUACAUUUGUUAUAGCUUGAAAACAAAUUUGUUUUACCGUCAAUUUGUAUUGUAGAGUUUAGACCACAGCCUAUUCGGAAAUUGGACCAUGACUUAGCAUCUGCAAUAACGAUUAAUACCUUUGAUUUGCACACGUCUUAAUAUAUCCUUGGAGCCUAUUUGGACAAUGACUUAUGCUAAAACUUGCAGUCCUCUGUGUUGUUGGAAAAGCUAGUACUAUAAAUAGGCGGGAAAAAUGCAGUUUUCAUCCCGAGUGUUUGGGUGAGAGACUAAUUUCAUCCUCAAAAUUUUAGUAAUAGCACAUUUAAUCCUCAAUCAUUGUCAAUUUUGGUCAAUUUAGGACAAUUGAUAGAAAACUCUUGACAUUGGACGGAAAGUAGUCACAUGAGGUACAUGCUCCGUUAGUGUAAUUUAUUGCAGCCAACAAAAAAAAGGAAAAAUUGUCUUCUUUCUCAUUAUUUUGUCCUUUUUUAACAAUAAAGAAUUUUUCCAAUAUUCUCACUGUCGUCAAUCGGACAAUCAGCUGACUACUGGUUAGAAGAUCGGUGAAAGUGGACCCAUGAAGAACCCCAUUGAAGAAAAAUGUCCUUACAAAAAAAGAAACUAAAUGAUCGGUCACCCCCAAAACAGGGAUCUCAUUGUAAUCAUAUUGAACAUUGCUAUAUGUAAAAUAGGGAUUAGCUCAUUGUUCACUUUGGAUUUACUUUUUAUUUAUGGUCCCCAACUCAAUAGGACCAUUUAGAAGAUUAUAAAUGAUGGUGUCAAUUUGCUCCAUUGGUUUUCAUAAUCCUCUAUCUUGCUUUCUCUGGUUUUCAUAAUCCUCUGUCUUGCCUUCUUUUAUUUUUUUUUCUACAACUCAUUAAGAAUAUAUAUACGUGUAACUAUUAUCAGAAUUAAGAUUGCAAUUGUACAAAAUUGGGAACAAAUUGUGUGACCAGAAUCAUAUGUCAAAAUUGAGAUUUUAGCAAGUUUUCAUACACAAAAUAGCUUCUUUAGAAACAGAAAAUGUCCACUUCGUACGCAAAACGUACAUAAUUGAUCAAUCAACAGCUGGUUUUCAUACUUCUCUGCCGCUACUUCAAUCUACAUUUAUCCUAAAUCCUACCUCUUACAAACAAAGGAUUAUCCAACUAGCAUUCUAGCAAACACAUUUGUUUCCACAAAAUACAAUCACAGCCUGGCAAAUUUAGCAAGAUUUCAUACUAGACUUGGCAACAACUUGCCCCAGUUUCUAUUUGCUUUGCCUGUUCUCCUCCAACUCAAAACCAACAACACCAUUAAGACCACAAUAAUGUCAAUGAAAAUUUUCUCCCUCUUUCAUAUCUUUUCAACUAUUUCUUUCAACUUAUUCACCUUUUAUGGUAAACCAGCUAUAAGUACCCUUCCUCUUGGACCAAUUUCCUCUUCAGCCUAUCAAAAUACUUGCACCUGUCGAGCCUCUAAUAAAACAUGAUUCAAAAAUUUGUUAAAAUCAAAGUUUUACUGGUGUGUCAAUAAUACAAUGAGUUCUUACCGGCCACAAAGAACAACCAAGAAUCUUUUUUCGAAUUGUCUCCUCGCUAAGAAGUUGUUAGUUUUGUCCUUAACUCACAAUUGCAGACAGGUAUUGAUGAAAUCGAAGAAGCAGAACUUCUACUUCUUAUUUUAGCACUCUAGGUUCUCUAUGCCUCCGCUAUUAUAGGUAGAAUAAUAGGUAUUUACCAUGGUGAAACUUUGCCUGCAAAACUUAGGGCUAGAAAAAACAGAGCAUAUACUCAAGAAAUGAGAAAUGAAUGAAAAAAGAAGAUAGUUUUUCCCAUUUUAUUGGCUGCAAUAAAUUAAACUAACAGAGUAUGCUUCUCACGUGACUACUUUCCAUCCAAUUUCAAGAGUUUUUUGUCAAUUGUCCUAAAUUGAUCAAAAUUGAUAAUGUUUGAGGAUUAAAUGUGUUCUUGUUGAAACUUUGAGGACGAAAUUGGUCGCUCACCCAAACAUUGGGGGGGAUGAAAAGUGUAUUUUUCCCAUAAAUAGGCAUAAUGCAAUGCAAAAUAAUAUGAUGGUGAUCCCGUCUUAUGACCAUAUCAUAUCCCUUAUCUUCACUGAAAUUUUGUUCGAGUAGAAGUUUAGGUUCAAUCGAUUUCUUUGGACAGAUGGUAAAGUGUAGAUUGGAGAAUUUGUCCAUCCUUAUAAAAGAGGUGAGUGAAAGGAAACUAGGAAGUUGAUAUACGGAUUAAGGACCUCCAUUCGAUCAUUGCAAAGUAGAGUUGUUUAACGAAUCCCUAGGAGUACUUGCUAAUUGGAGUUUUCUGCGUUAAUGAAAUGAAAAAGUACGACUAAAGCCCUAUAUGAUAAUUCAAUUUACCACCUAAAGUUAAUAGAUUCAAAACUUCAUAUGUUCAAAUGUGUUUGAUAAUAAAAAAAAUAAAACGCCUUAAUUAAUUAAAUGGUUCUGAAUUAUUCAGAUGAAACUUAAUACUUUAAUAACUAAGUGAUAAAAUAUUCAUUUAUCACUUCAUGUAGAAUAUACUCAAAUAUUAAUAUUUUAGUAUUUCAUAAUGUAAUAAUUUAACAUAUUAAAAUUUCAAAUUUUAAUUUUAUCAAACGCCUCUGAAGCCAAAAAUUAGCUGAAUGCAAUGCGAAAUGAUAGCUAUGAUUAAUUGUAUCUAUAUGGAAUGUUGUAAGCGUUAAUAAGUGCCCAUUACAAAAUUAAACUCAAACCCCGCUUGAGCUGACCCCGGUGUGUAGUUGGUAUGCAAUGGGCUUGCGUCUAAAUUUGGGUAAUAUAUGGACUUGGCUUUUCCCAAGCCAGUGAUUGACUUACCAUUUGACAUGAAUUUGAAAAUUGAGGCCCAAGUUCACAAAAAAUUGUGAUAGCUUGGGCUGCAUUUUAAUAAUAUUCAAACCAUUGACAUGUUGCCAAGAUCAAUAGACAACGAAAAAAGUAGCGGCCAUGAAUCCAAAUUCACAAAACUAUGAUGGUUUUAGGCCGCAAUAUUUGGAUAGACACAAACAAUUGACAUUACUGCGAUAAUCAAUAAUUACUUGGAUUAAAAAAAAUAAAAGCUAAAAGAGACGGGAAAGAAAAUGUUGACCUAUUAAUUACAUGUAUAAGGCACAAACAACUUCCCUUAGCAAAUAAUAUUAGGAUAUAUUUUGUAUACAUUAUCAGUAUAUACACAUGCGUGCGAUAUUAGGUGUAUGCCACGUAGUUUAAUCUCAAAUUUGAAAUUCAGUUUUCGUACAAAUGUCAUACAUUUACAGUUACUAGUAUAAAACCUUUACAUUGACAGUGUCUAAAAGCUUAAUUCAUAAUAUGAGAUCAACUUUUCACUUAUCAUUUGGGGCACACCAUCCGGUGAUCCAAUACACAUCCUUAAAUUCACGCACUUAUCAGGAUGAAAACUAGGACAUCAUGCUCUCUUAUGUUCCUUUUUUUUUCUUUCUUCUUUUUCUCUCCAUGCUAGUGUUUUCAUUAUUUUCUAAACUUUGGAAACUAGGCCUCAAAUUUUUAGUUGCUAACGACCUAGACAGGAAAAAAUUGACCAACCACUAAGGACUUCCAUUCCAUGUAAAUGAUUGGCCUCAAUUUUUAAUGUACUAAUGUACCUUGGUGCUAAGAUAAACAAAAUUUCAGUGUGCUUGAGAUAAAGGAAACAAGUACUAAUUUGGUUGGGGGGGAAGGGUUGUGUAGUUUGGGGAGAGGGAGUAUAAAUAAGAGAUCUUUGUUUCAAGCCUUCCGCUUACACUUAAAAGAAAUCUAUUAGAAAAAACAAGUAUUAAUCAUAGUCAAUAUGUCAAUUUUCCCCAGCCUACUUUGUGGUUCCCUAAUUAUUCAGAAGUGCAAGAAGUUCCAUCUUGACAUAGUAUUGAUUUAACACUGAUACCGAGGUAACUAAGCCAGAAAAUUGCAACAGCCUACUUAGUGGGUUCCCUAAUUCUCCAGAAGUGCAAGAAAUUCCAUCUUGACAUGGUUAUGAUAGUUAGUGGGUUCCCUGAUUCUCCAGAAGCGCAAGAAGUUCCGUCUUGACAUAGAAUUUAUUCAACAUUGAUACCGAGGUAACUAAGCCGUCUUGACAUAGAAUUUAUUCAACAUUGAUACCGAGGUAACUAAGCCAGAAAAUUGCAAGAAGUUCCGUCUUGACAUAGAAUUGAUUCAACAUUGAUACCGAGGUAACUAAGCCAGAAAAUUGCAAGUCUAUUGCUGAAAUACAUUUGUUUUAGCUCAUGAACAUAGAAUUGAUUCAAUAUUGAUACCGAGCUAACCCCGAAAAUUGCAGGUCUAUUGCUGAAAUACAUUUGUUUUUAGCUUGAAUACACUUUUGUUGGUUAGUAUCAUCCUUGACUCUUGUGGUUGGGAGGUAGGGUUACAAACACUCAAGUAUACUUCCAAAGAAUGUAGCAUACAUUGUUAAUAUUGACCAUUUCAGUAAUCAACAAAUUGAAACCAACAUUGCAAAGGAGGAUAAGAAUACGAGUAGAUGCAGACCAAGCCAAGGAUGACUAAAAAUUCGCCACUAAGUUCCUGGACCAAUUCCCAUUCCAGCAUGGCACUUCCUACCACAUCCUGUCGACGUCAAAUUUGUUGUAACCAUUUGCACAGCUAUUUCAUUGAAUCCGUCUUAUUUCCAAGACAAAAAUAAUUUAUCUUAGUAAUUAGAAGACUGGAUACGAUCCAAAGACCACAUGUUUGGAUCACAUGACUUGUCACUGAGUUGAAGUUUCCUAAGCAGUUUUUCUUGCUGACGAGACACCAUAACAACACAAAACAAAAGUUUAUUACUUUAGCAGCAAAAGUGAAGGGAUAGUUAACUGUACGUGGUGGAAUAAGGAAGAAAUGAGAGCUAUAGCACUUGCAAGUAGAAAAAGGCCGUCCGAAAAGAUAUGACCUGAUCCACAGCCAACAUUAGCUGAUAUCACUCAAAUGCAGAUUGGAGACAUUUAUUCAAAGCCUCCAAAAAAUGGUAGAAGAUGGACCAUAUGAAUGUGUCUGACUAUUACACAUAUGAGAUGGGAAAUGUUUUCCUGAUAUCACAAUCAUAAAGCAUGAAAGAAUGUAAUGGAGAGACUUAAUCUCGCACCAAAAGCUGCAAUAACCAUAAAUAAUUUGACUUACAAAUUGUGACUAAAAAUAAAGCUUUAAAGAUUUUGCUCUCAACCGUGAGUAUUAACGGCUUCCCAGACUAGAUUCUUUGGAACAGGCUUGGUGAAAUCACGAGCCUGCAAUGCUGCAUUUCUAAGUGUCUUGCACGUCAUCACGUUGGCCUCCCAAAAUGAUGCAGCAUUAUAGGGCAAACCAUGCUUCUUGCAGAGCUCCUUUACAAAAGGUGAAAUUUUCCGAAGUUGGCAUCUGGGCAACCUGGGAAACAAAUGAUGCUCGGUCUGAAAUUGCAAGCCACCAUGAAACCAAUCCAUCCAGGACGGGCACAAAAUAUCAAGAGUUCCACUAGUUUGCUUCUCAAACCAAUCAUGUCCAGUAGGUGGCCCAACAUAAACGCUAGUGGAGAAAUGGUUCAAGCAAAAUUGAACAUGCUGAAUUCCAGUUACCGAGAAACUAGCCACAACAAACAUUAGCCUUUCACCCCAGUUGGGCAAACAAGACACCAGAAGUGGGUACCAAAUCCAAAAUACAAGCAGCCCCAAGAGCUCCUGACCCCUUCGUGGCACGCUUCUCUUGGACGACGACAACAAUAUAAAUGAUUGAGCAAACAAAUUGAUUCUAGCAAAACACAUAACAGGAUAAAAUGUCCAAUGCUGAUUACUAACUAGGAACCUAGCAACUGAAUCAAAAGCCAUCUUCCUCUCAUAAAAAUAAGAAGUGAGUGAAUUGAAAAGCUUGGGAGAUACCGCAAAGAAAGGCAUGUGUUGAAGAUCAGGGUCAAAUUCAAGACUGUUGCAAGCAAUGUGAUGAGCAUUAUGGUUCCACUUCCACCAAGCAAUACUGAUUCCUGCAAGACAAUUCCCACUCAGGAUCUGAGCGAAUCGGUUGAUGCCACGAGUCGUCAUUACCUGAUAAUGCCCUGAAUCAUGCCCAAUCCACCCACUCUGAAUCCAAAGGAACCCCAUCAAUCCACCACAAAUCAAAUGAACCAAAACCCUUUCACAGCAUAAAACACCAUAGACACUCAAACAGAACAGCACUGCCAUGAAGCACAUGCUCAAUAAAACCCCGUGCCCUUUCUGCUCAAACAAUCCCAUUUUGUUAAACUCAUAAACGAGCUUCCUGUAAUCCUUAGACACCUCAGAGACAGAAUAGUCUUUCAGAUAAAACCCAUUAAAGAACUUAUCGAGGAACUUCCAGGCUGUACCUGGAUGAAAUGCUACAAAGGCAUCAGUCGCAUCUUGGCCUGAAAGAUUCAAGAGUGGGAAUGCACCACCUGGAUGUUCUUUCACCCAAUCUGAGACAUCAUAAAUCUUGCCCUGAAUGGAGAUCCACAGAUCCCCUGGUUUGUUAUGCUUCUUGAGCUCAUCAGAGGUAAUGUAGCUCUUAGAUUCAGCCAUAGAUCCAAGAAGGGAACACAAUUAAAAGUCCAAACCUUUUUAGUAGUAAAAUGAGAAAGGGAUCCGAGAAGAACCCUUUUGUUUCUUCUCUUUCCCCCUUUCUUGAACUGAAGAAAAUGCGAAAAAGUAGAAGAAAUUUUUUAGGUCAUUGGAAGAAGGACGGAGGAAGGAUCACUUCUUAGAGCGAAGCGGGGUGAGGCGGAGUGUGAUUGCACAAGUGAAGAUAUCUGAUAUAGGGUGUGGGGAUUUAAGAAGCGCCACAGAAUGCUUUAAAUGGAUAUAUGUCAUGUUCAACAAAAGCAGAGGAGAGUGGGCGUCAGCUGUGCAAAUAACAAAUCAGAAUGGCAUCAUGAUUUACAAAAUCUUUGCCCUUACUAAAUACUACAGAUUACUUGAAAGUGGUAGUAUUUAUUAUUAUUAUUUUUUGUUUCCUUUGAUAUGGCUUGUACAACUUUUCUCAUAAAUUGGUACAAUUAGCUUAUGGACCGAGUGUGUGUGGAUAGGAGAUUAUUUGAAGUAAAAACUGAAACAUUUUUUAUGGUGUGAUAUAUAUAAGAUAAAAAGGUAAUUAAGAAGAUAAAAAUAUGUGUUUAAAAUUGCGUUUGUGAUGCAAGUAAAUAAUAAUAGUUAUUCAAAGUAUAAAAAAACUUUUUCAAUAAAAUUUUUUUUUUACUUGUAUCAUAAACACGUUAUUAAACCCUCUUUUUAAAAUUUUCAACAUUUUUUUAUUUUAGAUGCGUCAUAUAAUAUCACAUCAUGAAAGUAUUAUAAUGAUUAUCUAAAAUAAUGUUUCAAAUAAUAUAUUAUUAUAUCCGAACUAAUACUAAUGCAAUAUUAGGAUACAAAUUCCACCUCAAGAGUUGAUCCAAUAACUUCAUAUUUUUGGAGGUCAAGACAUUAAUUGCGUUCAUGUUAGUGAAGAAGAAGUGAUGGUAGAUUAACAUCUAAUCAAUUCAUUUUCAUGCAUUAAGCUCUCUAUUCGAGAAGGUAUGAAGAUGGAUACUCUUGCAUUAAAUUGAUGUGUGGAGAAAAAUAUCAAUUUGGGAGCUAUAGUAUCAUGGAAACUUUUGAUGGCAUCAUAGGGAGUACUUUUAACAGGAAAGGAUAUCACAAGAACUCAAGAAGUAAGAAGGAGACAUAUUUAGGACUUGUUAAAUCCAUACUUAAAUCGGACUCAUUAUUUGAACAUGUCAAGUGUUACCCCUUAAACAUCAAAACUUUAUAUACAAUACUUACUUAAUUUGGACUCAUAAUUUUUUUUUUUUUUUAAGGAAUUGGUCUCAUCAUUUGAACAAGUGUUACCCCUUAAACACCAAAAUCUUUUAAUACUUUCUCGGGUCUUUGGCUGCUUUAUCCGGAGGUGUUUGCUUCGCAUUUUAAAAAUCAAUAUCAGAAACUAUAAAAAAAAAAAAAAAUCAAUAUCAGAGUCAGGAAGAUCAAACCCUAUAUGGGCAUGGGUAUAGGUUAUCGACAAUCCCCAUGAAAUAUUUGGUUUGAAAGUAAUAUCAUUUUUAUCCUAUUAAGAAUCAAGAUAGAUUUAAGUGUUAAUUUCUUCAAAAACAAGUAUAAUUAUUUCUUCAAAAACAUGAUAAAUUAGGUGGAAAUACAUCAAAUGCCCAUCCAUCAAUUUGAAACCUAAAUAAACUAAGCAAUAAUAAACGGUUUUUCUAACGGAUGUUCGAUAUGCAGUUGUUAAUACAUUUAAAUCAUAGCUAACCUACCGUGUAAAUACAUAUACUAGCAAUUAUUAUCUUCAUUUGUAUCUAUACACUUUUCCUAAUUAAAUUUACAUUUUCAAAAAUUAACACUCGAGCUAUUUCCUAAUGAGUGACCAUUGGAUACUUCUAAUUCUACCGAAUGAUUCACCAAAAAUUAUUGGGCACUCUUCACACAAACCAAUAAUAAAUUGCAACAAUUAACACUUCUAGACUCUCUAUUAUUGAAUGAUUUUGGUAGUCAUCUAGGAACAACAAAUACCCUUAUCAAAUACCCUUUAAAUGAUACACCCCAUCUUAUUAGGGUGACAGUCUCUAACAUGAUCCUUCAUUUUGUAUGGGCGUACACACCAAAAGAUGUAGGUGAGGAUCCAAAACCCCUGCCGAGAUCUGAAACUUGUGUUUGGAUUGUAAUUUUUUUUAAAAAAAUUAUUAUAUUUUUCGUGGACAUAUUUUUUAAUUGUUUUUUUAUUUUAUAUAUAUCAAAUUAUUACAAUAUUUUUUCUAUAUAAAAGGUCCAGAAAAAUACAAUACGAACAAAGUCUUUAAUUUACUGUGAUCCUGUCGAAAUUCGUCCGGAUUUUCUUUGAAAUGCAAGAUUUCCGGGGGCGUUUAAGACGGUUGAACCGUGAAAUUGGUAGGGCGGAGUUGAAUGGUGGUUCGGCGCAGUUUUGUAUGGUUCUGCAAUAACAGGUCAGACUGGUCAGUGACUUAGAAAUGCACGUGGGUGGGGUGGGAGUACGGGACAACGUUGGACUUGCGCGGCUGGCGUCUACAGUUACCUGUUCCCUACUUUUUUGCCACAAAAAGUAUAAGGUUUAUUUAACAAUUUUCCGUCGUUUGGAGUUGGCACGAAUGAUUUCGGGAUAACUUAAUUACGUUCUGUGAUCGUACGUUCAAGUUACCUCUUUAUCGCUUGUGUAUCUUUGGGGAUAAGGUGCACAGACAUAAAAAAAUUAGUCUGAUAAAACUGAAAUACUCCUUAUAUCGAAAAAAAAAUUUAACAAUAUUUCAAAUGAGUAUUCCUUAUUAUACCUAAAUUAUACUACAUGACUUGUUAUGUUAAUAUACACAAUCACAAUGAACACACAUAGGCCUGUCAACGGUCCAGGUCUAGACCCGGACUCGGAUUGGAUCUGUGAAUUUUUUGCGGGUACGGGUAGGAAUUUAAUUCUGUUACCCGGACUCGGAUCCGGAGUCGGAUACGGAAUAUAGUAUUCCGACCCGUAUUAGACCAGCAUUCGGAUAUAAAUGGAUUAAUAAUUUUAAAUAUAUAUAUUUAUCAAUAUAAUUAGAUUAGGGUGAUGUAUUUGAAUAAAGUCAAUUUGAUUUCUUUUCUUAUUUAGUUUUUUUGUAUUAAUUAGAAAUUAGUUUACAAAUAUAUUUUUUCUCAUUUUUUAUUAGAAGCCCGACCCGGAUCCGAAUCCGGAACAUAGAGUAGGAGAUCUGUCGAGUAAAUGGGUCGGAUCCGGUUUCGGAUCCGGUUCCGAUAUGAUAUGUUGGGUCUGGGUCCGAAAUAAUAAAUUCUAGCCCAGAUCCAAUCCGGAUCUGAAACAUAGAGUAGAAGAUCCGUCAAGUAAAUGGGUCGGAUCCGGAUCUGAUAUAAUAUGCUGGGUCCGGAUCCGAAAUAAUAAAUUCUGACCCAGACCCGACCCGUUGACAGGCCUAAACACACACCCCUUACAUAGAACAGAAUAUUGAGGCUAUUUAGGCAGACUGUGUUAUUGAAAUCUACUUAUAGUUUUUUUGUGGUGACGCAAAUUAAUUCGGAAAAUGACAUAAGAAUUACUUUUUUAUUCUUUUAUUUUAAUUCAAAGGAGAUCCUAAAGUUUACAAAGGGAAAAAAAAUAGAAGGGAAGACUUGAGAGUUAAACUAAGGAUGCCAUGGUCUCUAAGUUAAAACUGGGUUGGAUCUUAAAAGGACGUACAGAAUCAUGUAUGUUUAGCAACUUAGCAUUUGCACAUAAUGUUUGGAGCUUUACAAAAGACCAUUUUCAUAAACUAGAAAGCGUUGCGGAUGGCAGCAAACAAACUCUCUUACUAUAAAACCAGGAGAAUAGGCUUUUUGUCCUUUUUUUUGGUUGUAAGUAAAACUUGACGAGUGCAGGUUUUUCCUCUUGAAACAAUUUUAUCACAAGCUCUAAAAUAGUGCUUCAAAAUCAAGUGCUGUCACAAUUGUCCUGAUUUGGUAGAUAUUUGAUGCCAAACCAAAGAUAAUUUUUAGACAAUUAGAGUAAUAGCUGUCUUACCUAAUCAUCCCCGAGAGGAAAAUAAAAACCCAAAAAAAAAAUUUGACUGUUAGAUAUUGUUCAUUAUGGAAAGAAGAACUCCAUCAAGAAUUGGCUCAAAUAAGGUUGAUCUUGAUUCUAUCAUUUUUUUUUUUACGUGUGACAAAUACUUUUGGAUAUCAAAUUUUUUCAAAUAAUAUUUCACUUAUAUCAUAAUCAUAUCUUUAUUUUACAUAUAUUAUAUUAUAAAAAAUAUUAUAAUAAUUAUUUUAAAUAAUAACUCUAUUCUGUCCACACAAACUUACCUAAUUAUAAAAGGCUGUACUGACCAUACAACAAGCUUUGGUUGCAUGGCUGUACUGACCAUACAAAAUUAAAUGACUGCAACUUGCAAGAUGGGAAUAUGCCUCUUGCAUGUGCUUUCCGUCUAUGAAUGAAAAACAUCUGUCCAAAGGCAAAGAAAUUUCGUGGUAGGUGGGAUACAGUGAUAGGAUGGGACAAGAUCUAUAAGUAAUUUUGGCUUUUUAUUGUGUUUGGCACUGGUGUCAAUGUUGAGGGAGGUUUCGUGACAAGGGAGGUUGAGUGUCAGUCAUGAAUCUUGCCGGGGGACACGAUUAUGCAAAAUGAUUUCCUUGUACUAUGUUAAGGCUUGACUAAUCAUUUGCAAUUGACCUACAAAAACAUCAAAGGUAACUAAAAAUCACCUUAGACUGUGCUUAGCAGUAGAAUUUCAAUUAACUCUAAACGUUAAUCUAAUUUUGUUGUAUGAUUUCAAUUAUUGAAAAAAUCAAGAAAUUUGGUAAGGCAGUGCUCGAGGGAGGGGAUGGAUCAUCCAUCCCACAUUAACAGAUCGUGGAUAGUUACCCUGGAUUUAAAGUUCUCAACUGCACUUUCUCAUCAAGGGAAUUGUGGGUUCAGUUCCUCAAAGUCUCCAAGUUAAAUUUUAUGGUAUUAUAUUAGUAUCUUAUUGAUAUACUUUGCCGUACGUAGUUUAGGGUUGUUUUCACUUCAAUAUGGUAACAAGAAGAAGAAGAAGAAGAAGAUGAGGAGGACGAGGAGAAGGAGAAUUGUUGCAACUUGCAAAGCCAAUGAGCUGGUGGUGCUAAAUCAAAUAGUUUAUAGUUCUUUUUUUUUAAGUAGAUUUUUUUUUUAUUUUCUCAAACGCUCGUGUGUUUUCUUUAACUUGAAAAUUUGAGGUCAUCAACCAGAAUUGUCACUCGUGUGACCUUCAACCUUUUGGGUAAAUGAUAUAAACAUUAUUGAAGAUUAAUAUUAGUGGCUGUGAGAGUUCAGAAAUGAGAAAUCCUGAUGGAGACUAGAUACCAAAUGACGGGGGAAUAAGUACGAUUGUUAGUACAAGCGUUCUUGAAUAAUGUAAUUAUUAUUGGGAGAAUGGAUGGGUUGGGUGGUUUGAAAGGAAGGAACGUAAGUGAGAGAUUUCGAAUUCAAGCAUUCACGCUUACACUAAAAGGACAAAAAAAAAAAAGAAAAGAACAAUGUAAUUGUUAUUAAUUAAACACACUGUAAUGCACUAUAAACUAUAUGUAUAAUUUUAUAACAUAGAUAUUAUACUUACUAAUGAGUCCUUAGAUUUGAAAAGUUUUGAAUCGUAAAACGUUAUCAAAAAGCAAUGGAGACACAAAAGGUGCAUUUGUCAUCAUAUUAGUAAACACUUAUCUAUUAUUUUGUACAUUAAUUGAUUAAACUUUCGCUAAUAUGUUUAUAACAUCGUGCUAACACCAUCCAGUUUUUGAAUUCCAGUUAAACCCCCUUCGCCUCUGACUCCUAAGCUUCACCGAUUCGCCUCCUAGUCCAUGAUUAAAAACAUAGGCUCACACUUCACACAAAGUAUUUUCUUUUCUGUAAACAGUGCUUCAAUAUACUUUUAGUAAAAUUAAACAUAUUGUUUGCUCAUUCAUUUCUUUUCUUAUCACCCUAUACUCAUCUCCUUCCUCCUUCCCCACCAUUUUUUAUUUAUUAUUUAUUUUAUCAAGAAAAGGGCGAGAUACAAAAAGUACCGGAAAUUCUAAUUUCAAGGGUCUCAACCUCUCUUCCCCCGGCCAAUGGGCGCUGUAAUAGAUUAACCAUCAUGAUACUUGGUAGUAUUUAUUAGUGAUUCAAAUUUUAUUAAAUAACUGAUGUAGAGGAGGAGGGAUGAAUUGGAUGAUUUGGACGGAGGGAAUAUAGGUGAGAAGUUUUGGAUUCAAGUCUUCUUAUUUACACUUAAAAACAAAAAAUUGGUGUAAGAAAAGGUGGAAUCUAUUCCAGAAGAAGUAGAAUUUUAGAAAAAUAAAAAGUAGUGGAACUAACAAAAUUGUUCGGGCCAGCCCAACCAAAGAUGAGAAGACAACAAUUCAAAAGUGCUUGGGCCUAUCGACUAAGUAAAGUGAAGGAAUUCGAGGGAACUGUCUUUCACAGUUGGUUUGUUGUUGUUUGGAAAAAUGAUGAGUAGGAUGAUUCCACUUCUGAUCCUCGGCCCUCCUCACUCUUCAAAUCCUGACAAAUUCGUGAUUUAGACACAAGGAAAAUGGCAGCGGAAAAACCACAGCCGGUUCAAGUUCCCUACUGCCAGGUUUGCACGUUACCUGCAGAGUACUGCGAAUUCGGGCGGGAUUUUGAGAAAUGCAAGCCCUGGUUGAUCCGCAACGUUCCCAAUCUCUACCCACACCUCCUCCAAGGUUGCACUAAUCCUUUUAAUUUUUUUCCCCAAUAAACAUUUUCUCUUUUUUAUGCUAGAAUUAAAUACCAUACUUGCUCACCAGUUUCAUUUUUUUUUUUUAAAUUUUAAUUCUUUUGGGGGGUUUUGUUUGGUAGAGGCGAAUGAUAAAGAAGCAGAGAAGCUAUCAGAGCAGCUUCAAGGGUCUGGUAUAUCCCCAGCUGGAUCACCAGCUGCAACCGCUGGUGAGUUUUUUUUUGUUUUUUAAUAUACUCGUGAUCAAGCACAUUUUUGAGAUUUUGUUUUGUUUUUAUAUUUUAAGCAAUUGCUAAUUGGAAUCUGUUAUAAUUUAGAUUACUAGAAUGCUGAAAGUGGAAAGUUUGAAAAAAAAAAAGAAUGUUUAAGGUAUAGAUAUCUGUAUUGUUUCAGCCAUUGUUAUGCAUCUGCAUCUUUCAGCAAAUUUUUACAACAGGAAAGAAGUGAUUUUUUUUUCCUGUGGAAAAGCUUAUCAGAGAGAGAUGAAUUGGCAUCUUAUUGAAUCAUAUGUAGAAUGAAAUUUCUAUGACAAGCAGAUUAAUACCUGAAACCAUUUUGCCUUCAAAGUUUAGUUUCUAAGUGAGCAGCUUGUAAUCUGGCAAACUGUAUAUCUAAGUUGUAGCUGAAGAGUAUCUUUACCAGACUAGAGAUGUCUGUAUUGAUUCUGGUUAUACUUUACCAAGUUUCGGUGCAUUUUAGGGGAACCUUCAGCCAGCAAGCAAGAAGAUGUCAAACGACUUCCUGGUGGAAAAAUUAAGAGAAAGGUAAGUCUUAUCUUCUAAGCACCGUCAGUUUUGGUUGUUUAGCUAGCUGGCUAAAAUGUUUUGGCAAGAAGAAAGUUUUUCAUAUCAAUAGCUAAUCUAUGAAAUAGGGUGCUGUUUCUUUGGUUAGAUAAAUAAUUUUCAAUAUUAAGAUGCGAAUUGUACAUGUUCAGGAAGGUUGCAUAACAAACUACAUGCAGGAUUAUAUAUGAAUCUGGCAUAUACUAUUGUUUACAUGUCUAUAUGGUGGAAAUUUUGACAUAUAUGUGAACAUCAGUUAAUUUCACACCCACAUCUAUUCAUUUUAGUCAUGGAUAUCCAUGGCUUCAAAUUCUUCAUGCUGGGAUGUUUUCAUGCUCACUUGUUUUACACUAAGCCUGAAUUCUGAUCAGAGUGUGUAACCACGUUAAUUUGUGGUGUUGUUUGGCUUUAUGUCAUGACUUUUAUGUGGUUUUGCUUGAUAUGAACAGCACAUUGGGUGGUAGUGACUCAUGAAAACGGGGAUUUAAUGUAUCUGAAUCGACGGCAUACGUAAUGAAGUUUUUUUUGAAAAUCUAUUUUAAUGCUUUAUUAUUCAAAUUUUCUUUUCGAGCUAAUAAUCCAAAAUGUCUUCUUGCAAUUGCUACCUGAUCUGUUUAUUCACAACAAUUAGUGAUACAUAAACUUUGUAAAAUAUUAGAGCAAAUCAGUUGUUACUUCCCCCCCCCCCCCUUCCUCCCAAAAAAAAGGGAAAAAAAUCCUUCUUGUACUUUAUUGUUGUUUGGUCGAUAGAUUCCCAUUACUCAGAUACAGUAUAUGUGCAAAUGAUGGAAUGCUGUUUCUGUUAACACUUUUGUGUUUUUUGAUGCUUGACAUUUUGGCCAUCAAGGAUGGUUAAGUGAUGAUGAUUCUGCUGGAAAACUAACAAAGACUGACACAUGCUGAUGGAGAUAUUUUGCAGGAGAAACAAGAAGUUGUUAUUGAAAAGAUUGUGCGGAAUAAACGCAAAUGUAUCACCACAGUAAAAGGAUUAGAACUAUUUGGUAAGUAUGAUGCUGAUUUCAUUCUAUGAAAACUUGAAAUUAAUUUGAUGUGGAGUUCAGACAUUGUUAAUACAUGUUGCAGGUAUUAAACUUAGUGAUGCUUCAAAGAAGUUUGGAAAGAAAUUUGCUACAGGUGCAUCUGUAGUUAAGGUAAUAGCUAAUUGGGUGAUGCAUUUGUAGCAUUAUAUGUGUUGGUUGACUGUACCAUUUGUUGCUGGUUGUAGGGACCGACUGAGAAGGAUCAAAUUGAUGUUCAAGGAGAUAUUGCUUAUGACGUAGUAGACUUCAUUAGAGAAACAUGGGCUGAGGUAACUUCCUGAGACCGCUUCUCUUUUAGUUGGAUUUUGAUUCAAAAGACUUGAUUUUGCGAAAUAGGAAGACACUUUUGUGGUAGAAAAACAUUGACAGUUAAAUGUACUCCUGCUGAAUCAGAAGGCUAUAUAAAUUGUUACUGGAAAUUGAUAAAGGCGCAUAAGGGUUAGUCCUUGCUCCAUAAUGUUGUAUAUGACAGUUCAUUUGAUAUUCUCGUAUGUUUUUUGUUUAAAUGUUGAAUGUGCUCGUAGCAUGCCGCUAGUCUGUUUUUCGUUUUUGGUUCUUGUAAAAUUGCAUCAACUGUGAGAAUUAUUUAAAAAGGAAUACAAUUCCUGAAAAUCCAGGUAUUUUUGUUCAGUCUAAAUUAUUCUCUUUAUGCUGUGCCAUUCCAGGUGCCAGAAAGCGCUAUAUUCUUUAUUGAGGAUGGGAAAAGGGUAUCUGCAGCUUGAGCUUUUAGUUUGUGCCAUGAGGAGUUGAUGCUAAAUUUUGGUCGCAUGCUAGCAGAGAUUUUGAGUUGAUGACAUGCUGGAAAGCAAUCUCUCUUUUGUGCCUGUUAUUAGGCCUGUCAAUCGGGCCUAAUGAACCGGGCUUUGAUGAGUUCAAACUCAGCUCAUUUAAUUUGAGACAUUUUCGGGCUUCGGGCUAUGAGUUUCGGGUUCGUAAAUGUGAAGCUCAUACUCAGCUCACAUAAUAUUCGGAUUGUGAGCCUUAAUCGGGCUUAGCCCAAGCUCACUUAUUACUCCUGAAUUUUCUUAAUAUAAUUGCUAUAACUAUUAAGUUGUAAAACUAAUUUAACAUUUACAAGACUAUAAUAUUAAAACUAAACAUGAACAAAUAAUAGUUCUUAAAAAGUAUAUAAACCAAAAUUUUUUCAACAAUAUUUAUAUGUAAUCCGUUUAAAAUGCAUGAAAAAUAGUAAUAAAACAUGCAAUCAUAAGCCAAUACAUCUUUAAAAGUUGAAACUUUUUUUUAUAAUCUUGUGAUUUAAAUCCAAAUAUGCUUGAUGAUUUUUGUGUUUGUAGACCAAAAAAAAAAAAUCAACCAAUAAUAUGCCAAUACAAAAAGUUACUCAACCAAUAAGAAAAAUUAGAGAUUUAGUUAUGCAUUACUAAUAUUGGCUCUCAAGAAAGUUCAUGAAAGAGUCUUUAGAUGUGUUUUUGUGUUUUGUAAUUUAUAUAUAUAUUUAGUAUUUAGCAAAAAUAUAUUUGGAUAUAUAAUUAUACAUAAUAUCAAAAUAUAAAUAUUAUAUAUAUAGGUAAUUAAAGGGCCGGGCCUAUAUCGGGUAUGAGCCUAAUAAGGCCCAAGCUCGGCUCACAUUUAAUUCGGAUCUAAUUUUUAGGCUCAAGUUCAGACCGGCUCACUAAAUGAUCGGGCUCAUCGGGCUUUCUGUCGGGCCGAACGAGCCGAGCUCGGGCUGGCCCAGCCCCAUUGACAGUCCUACCUGUUAUGACAGUUAAUUCAGAUGUCAAAAUUUGCAAGAUAAUAUCUACUUUAGGUCUAGGUAAACGACUUACAAUUACAUUAGCCCCUCCAUUCUUCGAUAGAGAUGUUAAAAUUUGCAGUUGGGGUUUAUAUACAGAGCUUUGUACAGGAAGAAGAAGAGAAUCCAAUGUACCGGUGUACCAUUUUUGGAUAAAACAUGGUGUCGUAUUUUUCAUAGGAACGUGUUCCUUCUUAGUUAAAACUUUGAAUGUCUUAAACAUGUAACUAACCAUCAAGAACCCAAAUUUGUACAGAUCGAUAUUUCUCAGCACAGAAAAAGAUAAACCUUAGCUGACAAUUGAUCUAUUUGGUCUUCAAAGAAUCCCUUCCUGCUAAUGGAUUUUUUGUUGCUGCUGGUAUUUGCUGCUGCUGCUUGGUAAUGCAUAUUUUCUGUUGCUAAAAACCCCUAAUUUGGAAAUUCUACGCCAAAUCUAAGGGAAUUCCUUCUAGUUGCUAUUGUUUACCUGUUAAUAUUAUUGUUUUGGGAAUCACAUUUUCGGCCUUCGAUUUCUUUGUGUAAGUUCUGAGCAAAAGAACGGACGCAAGGUUUCUUUUGACAGAAAGCGGUGGCUUGUAACUAGGGGUGCAAACGAGCCGAGUCGAGUCGAGCUUUGGCCUUAUCGAGUCGAGCCUUAACUUAAUUUCAUCGAACUCGAGCUCGAGCUCGACGAGCUGGUAAUUUUCAAACUCGAGCUCGAGUUCGACUCGAUUCGAGCCCAGCUCGAGCUCGAGUUCGAACUCGAAAAAAAUAAAAAAUAAUUAUUUAAUUUUUUAAAAAAUAAAUAAAAUAAUAUUUUUUCUUAAUAAAUAAUAAAAUAUUAAGGAUAUUUAUGUAAUUUUACUAUUAAAAAUAAAAAUAAAAAAAAUAAAUAUAUAUAUACUCGAGCUCGCGAGCCUAACGAGCUUAAUGUUUUGAGCUCGAGCUCGAGCUCGACUCUAGCUCGAGCAGCUCGAGCUCGACUCGAGCUCGACUCGAGCGGCUCUAGAGCGGCUCGAUUCGUUUGCACCCCUACUUGUAACUCGAAUAUAAUGUUCAAAAUAGAUGAAAGACCUCAGCAGAGUAUUGGGUUCGACUCCGAGUGACUAUUCUCAGCAGUAUCAUUGCUGCUGCCUCAAGCAAUGAAGUGUGGUUGAAAUUAUUUGAAGUCUAGUCGUGUCUUGCGAACCGCCAAAACCUUUCUCUGUAGCUGGGAAUCGGGGUCAGCAAAGCAACAAAAAUUUCGUUACUAUAUUUCGCGGCCAGGAUCAACGAGCCAAAUGUUACAUUCAUCCAUGCAGUAAAGUUACCUUGUUUGAUUGUCAUUUUUAUUUUAAUUUUUUUAAAAUAUUUUUUAUGAACAUAUUUUUCAAUCGUUUUUUUAUUUCAUACAUAUUAAAUUGUUACAGUACACUUAAAAAAAAAAAGCAAUUUGAAAGGGCUCGCAAUUGAAGGUUUAAAUCAUACUCUUUUUAUUAAAUUUACCUCCUAGCACCGAAGAAAUAAAUAAGAACUUUGGGGGAAUAAGAAGAUCAGAUCAAAUCAAAUCAUGAGAAAGUCAACAAAAUGAGAAACCCAGGAAGCUCAGUAGCCACCGCCUUUUCUGGUGGGGUGGGAGGUCAGUGGUUCAACCCUUGUCUCCCAUCAAAUUGUCUGUUUCUUAUGGACAACUCGGUUAAUCUCAGCAAUCCUCCUUAGGAGCUGGUGUCUAGUGCCCGCAAGGGUCCGAGUCCUGUAGUUAUCGUGUUCGGGGGGAUGGGGUCUCUCCUUCCUGACCAAAGUGAGAUUAGUCGGGCCCGUAAAAAUUGACCGGAACACCCACUCCGUCAGCAAAAAAAAAAAAAAAACCCAGCAGGAAGGUUUGGAAAAGGUAAGGGUACAAAUGUAACUUAACAUCUAGCAUUAUACUAUCGAGCAUAUCCAGAAUAUCCCCUUGAGCCAUUGCUAUUGAUGCUCCCGAAAGGACGGACCAGUAGUAAGUACCUUGAAAAACACAGCCGAAGGAAAAUCCAUCCCCCUGGAGACUUGAGUAGAGCUCGUAGACACUGAUGUGAGUGAUCAAUUUUCAUCUGGAAGUUGGAUUCUUGACAGACCCUUUCGGAUUUGCUCUCUGAUUCUUCUGUCGUAUUAAGGUAAAUAAUUGUCCAACUCGACUAAUUCUCAUCAAUCUCUCUGGCUCUGAAGUUUCGGUAGCAUGCCUUUUGCUGCCGUUGCUCUCUCUCUUCUCUUUCUCUCAAUCUGUUUAUGUAGUCCAAUUUUUGCUGGUCUGUGAACCGUAAUUUUUGUAGCACAGCUUGGUUAAUUCUUGACUUGGAUAGUAGGCUGAAGACUUGAAAAAAAAAAAGAGAGUAAAGCAGGGGUCUUUUGUUCUUGUGAUGGACUGGGCAUUCAAAUAGCAAUGGACUAGUUAAAGAAUGCAGAACUGUUGGAAAAGAAGUAAAAGGCUUACUCAUUAUGCAAAUUUUCAUUUUGCUUUUUACUAAUCUCAGCGUUGCAUUUGAACUUUGGAGUUGGUUAACUUAAAAAGUUGAAUAAAAUGGCUUGUUUUUUAUCACAAUGAUUCUUUGUCAGUCUGCUUCUUGUAUUUAUAUAGAGCAGCAAAGUAGUGACUUCGAAGAUUGAUUUCGAGUUUAAGUACAAACUCUGCAGGUUUAAUACAGUUAAGAGUACAAUUGGCAGCUACUAUGGCGCACUUGCUUUCUACCUCUUGUUCUUUGAAUAUCCCUCCGAGCUGCAAAAAGCCAAAAUGCUUGUUAGUGAAUCAGUGUUCAUCAUCGGGAUUUCCCGCAUCUUUUAGUUUGCCAACUUCAACCUCUCGUUCGAAAAUGCUCAUCCUGCAUGGAAAAGGGCCAAAAAGAUCCUCCACCAUCUAUGCUAUGGCUGUUUCUCUGAGUCAAGAAUCCAAAGCUCAGCCUGGCUCUAGCUUUCCUCAAGAAACCGGUGAAGCUGGUAGUCCAAAGAAGGUCAUGGUUAUUGGUGGUGAUGGUUACUGUGGUUGGGCUACUGCACUCCAUCUAUCAAACAGAAACUAUGAAGUUGCUAUUGUUGACAACCUUGUUCGUCGCCUUUUUGACCACCAGCUCGGUCUUGACUCCCUCACACCUAUUUCGUCUAUCCAUAAUCGUAUCCGUUGUUGGAAGUCCCUUACUGGCAAGGAUAUCCAACUUCACAUCGGGGAUAUAUGUGACUUUGAGUUCCUGGCUGAGACUUUUAAGUCAUUUGAACCUGAUGCUGUUGUCCACUUUGGAGAGCAGAGAUCUGCUCCUUACUCCAUGAUUGAUAGGUCAAGAGCUGUAUUUACCCAACAGAACAAUGUCAUUGGGACACUUAAUGUUCUGUUUGCCAUAAAGGAAUAUAGAGAUGAGUGUCACUUGGUGAAGCUUGGAACCAUGGGAGAGUAUGGGACCCCAAACAUAGACAUUGAGGAAGGUUAUAUUACAAUUACUCAUAAUGGAAGGACAGACACUCUGCCUUAUCCCAAGCAGGCAAGUUCUUUCUAUCAUUUGAGUAAGGUUCAUGAUUCCCAUAAUAUUGCAUUUACUUGCAAGGCGUGGGGAAUCCGAGCCACUGAUCUAAACCAAGGAGUAGUUUAUGGUCUGAGAACAGAUGAGACUGCAAUGCAUGAUGAGCUAUGUAAUAGAUUUGAUUAUGAUGGAGUUUUUGGAACUGCGUUAAAUAGGUUUUGUGUUCAGGCUGCUGUCGGUCAUCCACUUACUGUCUAUGGCAAAGGGGGCCAGGUAUUUUCUCCUUUCAUGUCUCUGUCACAUUAAUCAUAUGAUAUUUCCUGCAGAACUGGAGAUGCUUCUCAGCUGCAAACUGCGAGUAGUUAUAUUGCAAUAGGCACAGUCUAAUAUCUAUUUCUUUUCCUGUGUGAAAACAUCAUGAAUCGAUAGAUGGGUAGUUCCUACUGUUAUUAGUCACUGGAAACAACAAAUUUAAACUCUUAGCACAUUCAGCAAAUAAAACUGUGCAACACAUAUUGCAUAAGCCUCCUCCAUCGGAUUACAUGGGACCUAAUAGGUUUGUCUGUCACGUGCUUCAUAGAUCUACAUAUUGAAGCAGUAUUAUGUUCUGAAAUGGUAUAUUAAUUGACAAAGUCUUGAGUACCUAGGUAAGAUUAGUUUUUAUAGUUCACAUUUUUGGUAUGGUUUUGCUAGAAGGCAGCUGAAGCUUCCUCUUGAAAUCACUUAUAAGUCCAUCCCUAUUUUAGGCUAGUUAUCUGGAACUUCCGAGGAAAGUAUGUAAUAACAUGAACCUGCCAUUAUAAUGGAUAAUAACCGAGUUGCUGCCUGUUGUCUCGAGAAGGUUAAAUCUGGAUAUUGAACGUAUAGUUAUGCUGAUUUGGAGAUUACAUGACCUAGGUCCAAAGUACUCUUGGCUAACUACCUUCUGAACUUGGAUGUAAAUUGAUGCCCAUAGACGAUAGUUUGAAAUCUGCUGAUAUGAUGUUGGGUUUGGAUGGGAAAAAUGAGUUUUUUUAUCUGGAUUGCCAUAAUCUUUAUGCAGCCUCUGUAGGGUAAGCCACUGCUGGAGAAGCUACUCCAGAUUCCUUUCUUAUUUUUUAAAUUUUCUAAAUUUCUUUGGCUGAGACUCACUGAAGUAUUCUGACUAUAGGGCUUGAAUUUGGAAAUGCAUCAUUCUGAUGUUAAUAGGAACUAGGAAGUGCUUUUUGUUUUUGGCUGCAUAAAAAAAAAAAACGAAGGGUGUGGCACUUGAAGCUAGGGUGGUUUUGCAGUCACCAACUCACUCAAGUGCUUCAAUCGAUACUUCUAACUUUAUUUCAUCUUCAUCCAUGUUCUUUUGUGAUCUACUGAAUAUUUGUAAUGCAUUCUUUUUGUACAAUGCAGACCAGGGGAUAUCUAGAUAUAAGAGACACAGUUCAGUGUGUUGAGCUUGCAAUUGCUAAUCCAGCACAGAGAGGAGAAUUCAGGGUCUUCAAUCAAUUCACGGAGCAGUUUUCUGUCAAUGAACUUGCAGCCCUUGUCACGAAAGCUGGAGAAAAACUUGGCAUUGAGGUGAAAACAGUAUCUGUGCCCAACCCCAGAGUAGAGGCAGAGGAGCAUUACUAUAAUGCCAAACAUACAAAACUCAUUGAGUUGGGUCUCAAGCCCCACCUUCUCUCUGACGCUCUUCUUGACUCGCUGUUGAACUUUGCCAUCAAGUAUAAGGAUCGUGUUGAUCCCAAACAGAUAAUGCCCAGUGUUUCUUGGAGAAAAAUUGGUGUCAAGCCAAAAACUGUUGCAGUAUAAAAGAGUGUUGAAUGGUACUAGUUUCAGUACUGAUUGUCUACUAUUAUACUGCUGUAACCGUUUCUGAUGGGGUGUUGUAUCUUACUGAACUCCUUGCAUAUUGUCGGCAUUAGCAUCCAGCAGCCUUCCGACUGUAAAUUUUGGUAGGACGUAGAAAACUCUAGCAGUAACUCCAUCAUCCCUGUAAUGUCAGUAACCUAGAAGAGUCUUUGGUGUAUCACGUUUAUUAAUUUUCUAGAUGAAUAAAGUUGUUUUCUAAAUUUGUUGAAAAUUGAACAAAUGCCCUAUACAUGCGACUACAAUCUUAUACUCCAAAAAUUUUUCCUGUCUUCGACAGAUGGGGGGACAUGUAUGAAUACUCCUUUCCUUGACGAUGAAAAUACAGCCUACGGCAGAACAAGCAUCCGGUUGAAAUACAUAAUCGAAGUGCUUAGCUGUUCUGUUGAUUUGAGUUGGUGGAUCUUGUUUAUAUUCAUAAUGCAUAUGACAUGAAUUGCUUGUAACUGGUAUUGAGAAUCAUAAAGCAAAACUGAAUACUAAAUUUGAAUCUUCGACUCACUGAGGAAAAAACAUAUGAAAGAGAUGGUUCAUAUAUUUUAUCUUCUGCACAGCGUUUUUGUUUUUUUGACAUAUUGUGCUGUAACAUGUUUUUCAGUAAACUACAGUCCAUGUACUAAUCCCUAGUUCUUAAAGACCCUAACUGCAUCAUUAUCCAUCGAGGUAGUCUUCAGCUAUCACCGUUGGUUGGUACCAUGAGGGGGGAAUCAAUGUUGUCAUCCAGGAACCAUGUUACGGUUGGUAUGAAGCAACAGAGUCAGACAUGUAACUGGAUUCUCUUAAAAUCCAUUUGUCCAGAACCAUAAUCACUAUCCUCGUAUCAGAAUCGGGAAUGGAUAAAUCUAUGCACUCUUCUGCAUUCUGUAAGCCCAUUCGUUACAAAAUCCAGUACAACUGAAGCCAAUUCAUGUUGAUGCGAAGUGAAAUAAUGAUCUGCGCCUUCAAAAAUGUGUAGUAUAUGAUUAGGUAUGUGCUUUGCAAACUCCUUGGCAUCACUGACAGGAACAAAUUCAUCCACGGAACCUUGAACUGUCAACACCCUACAUACACGUACAGAAUAUGGAAAGAUAAUGAAAAUAUGUUUCAUAACGAAGAUCCUGAUAUAGAAUACUCUUCAAAAUUGAAUUGAUAACAACAGUUCAAUCAUAAUUCGAUAAACAAGAAUCACCAAUCCCUACCUGCAGUUUCUGUCGAUCUUUUGGCAAGCUGCACGAGUAUCAGUUGCUAGACGGUCCAUCAAACUUUCCUUAGAUACACGAUACUUGGUCUUUCCUACAUAGAAAUACCCCAUGUGAGACAUAACUUGGCUCGAAGGCAAUUAUUUAUUUCCUUACCUCUCAUACACAAUUUUUCCAUAAGUGAUUUCUUUCUGGACAAUACAAGGAAACCAACAUGCAGCACUUGAGUACAAAACCAAACUCAUACAAGAAGAUGAAUCACGGUCUUAGCUACCCCUUCUGUUCUUGACGUCAAUAAAUCCAUUCUGCUCAAUUUUCUCCAGAAAGUCUUUACCCAAGCGACCUUCAAUUCCUCGCUCAAGAUUGAAGCGGCCAGCGAUAUUGACAAUAAUUUGUAUGUCAUUAUCCCUUGAAGCAUACAACAGCACAGCAUUUCCUCCUAAAAAAUCUCAACUGAACAGCUUGUCAGGUGACUGGAAGGAAUCUAGAAGUUCGGACAGUAAAUCAAUGUUUGAACUUAGUCGAAUAGCUUAUGUACCUUUACUAUGCCCGACAAGUGCAGCUACAAAACAUUUCUCUUCCUGGAAGUGUUGAAUUACUGCACGCAAGUCAUCUGCUUCUCUAUGGUAGUUACCAUACUGAAAUGAUCCUUCACUUUCUCUGGGAAGCAAGAAUACCACAUGUUUGUCAUGAAUGAGUUCGUACAAAAAUCAACUAAAGAAAAGAAUGUGGAGAUAGCUUUUUGUGCUCAAAUGAAGAAAUAUUGUCUUCUUCAACUCUUUUACAAGCUUUUGCACCAAUCUUUGGCUAUGUAUUGGCUCCAACCAGCUUAAGUUCUAAUAUGUAAAGGUUUGAGAAGUGAGUGCCCUACUACUUUGCAUCAAAGAAAAUGAAAGGCCUGUUAGAAAGAAAAUCAAAGAAAAAUUACUUAUCUAGUUCCAUUUUACAAGCCUUUCUGCUAGGUACUUCUAUUUAGAUCUAUUUACAAGGUUGAUCAAACACUUGUGAAAAGCACUCAGGAACUAUGUGACAGUGAUCAGAAGUAAGAUAAGCAUAUACAUGACAACUCUCAAGAAAGGUUCCUAUAACAAACUAAGCAGACUGUCAUUUACUAAUUGCACAGAAACUUUGACUAAAUGUUCAAAAUUCAUGAUUUGAAGGGUGGACAGUAUGUAAAUUACACUGCAUUUACACAAGUUAAUAUUGUUUCCCUUCUUUAGCCGUCUUGGGUAAUGUUCCUCUCAAUCUUUUACUAGCACUAGUAGGUAAGAUCGCCCCUAUCUUGUGUUGCAUUACACACCUUGAAGAGUUUGAUUAAACAUAUCUACAAAAUGACAAUAUAGAAGUAAACAUUUCCAAGAGUUUCCCCAUAUAUAUUUUGUCCUACAAGAUCCUCUUCAGAAAAGUAAAGCAAGCAUCAUAUAAAAAAUUAGGGAAAUGGUAAAUGUUAAAAAAGACAGAAUGUACUUGAUCCUUUGUACUCUGAAAAUCUGCUAAAAGGAUCAUUCCAUAGGAUGAAGAGGGAACAUAAGUAUACAGCCAAUUUAUGUGCAGGAACCCAAAUCUGGAGGGCAAUAUUAAUCUCUAUCUUCACACCUAAUUUUCACUGAAAAGGGUCUCAGAUUGAAGAUAUAGUACAAUUUUAUUCUUAAAUUUUUUCUUCUCUUAGACCAUUGUUUGAAGAGGAUGUGUCAAAUUUUAAUCUAAACAUGCAUUUUUUCUCAAGAUGUCUGAUGUCCUGACUGGGUCAAGAACAAAAAUUUUGGUGAUAUUUCUGAAGAGACAUGUCGGGAGGAGUAGCGUGUCAGUGGCUAGUCACUUACCCAUUCCCAGCAAAAUCAAAGCGGAAGGCACUAAUUCCUUCUUUUUCAAAAGCAGCUGCUAGAUUCACCAUGGGAAUGCGAUCCUGAAGUUUAUGAGAAGGGAACAACAUUAAUGGAUUGAAUGAUCAAGGUAGUCCUUAGCAACAAAUAUACUGUAGCAAUCAAAAAGUAAUGAUACAAUGAAAUUGAUUUAGAAAUGGGAUCUUCCUGAUGAUCAUACAACAAAGUGCUUGUAACAAAAUACAGAAAAAAAGACACUUCAGGCUCCCAACACAUACUUACAAGAACAUGUUACCUCUCCACUGUUACACACUUACAAAAAUUUUGAAGAUUAUAAAAACUGUAUGUGAUUUGAGUGUAUAAUAUCAGGGAUAUAAUAAGACCAGGCGUUUAUGUUUUAGACAAGUUCAGGCAGGCAGGAAAAUAGACUUUUUUUUUUGGAGCAUGGGACCCGUCAACAUUCCUUCUUCAGAAGUUUUGGCGAAUGCCAUCUGUAAGGAGGGAUGCAGAUAAAAUGUUUGUGCAUAUGACAUGCAUCUAAAAAAAAGUUUUGUUAUUUUCAAUUCAUCUACAGCACCAAAUGGGAUGGAGAUUGCAAAAUUUUUGCAAAGAUGCUCAUCAGAUAAUGCUGAAAAUGAGAUUGCAGAUAAUUCCACCAAGUAAAUAAAGAAGCAAACAGAGCAUUAGAGUGGAGAACUACCAAAAUAUAGAAAACUUUCUCAUCCUAAAACAUCCAGUUAUAGAGAUGGCAAACACCAACCUUUGAAGAUCUAAAUCCAUGACAGAUAAUCACAACCUCCUUCGACCCCGUUUCAUGCAAUAUCCCCACAAGCUUCUCACCAUAUCUGUUCUGUAUACGUACUCUCUUUUGUUCAUGGGUCCCUGCCAAGAAGUUAACAAAGAAAUGAGUCCUGAUCACCUCAAUAGGUCACCUAAAUCCAGCAAGUUGCCAACUUUUAGGGGAUCAUCACUGACAAGUGAAUUAACUGAAGAACUCUGUAUCAAACAUGUCUCGCUAUAUGCACCGGGACCAAUCCCAAAAGAGACCCUGAUAAAAGAGCGAGAGAGAUAAAAGAGACCCUGAUAAUAUUUUUUUUUGCAAAAUUGUGGGAAUUCCCCAUAAAUCAAGAAGCCAAUAAUCAGAACCAAUUCCAGCACGCAAAAUUACACAAGAAACCAGGAAUAGCUAAAAGAAGAUAAUUCAUUUUGUAUAGAACCCAUAAUUUGUACAAAGUAGAAAAUGCUACGGAAGCCGUGAUCACCAGCAAAUUUGAUAAUGUUUGAACAUUUUCUUGAAAGGUUCUGCAAAAAGCAAUCAACUUUCUGAUUGCCCCCUUCUUCUUGUACCCCAGUCUCUCAAUUGUACUAUAUAGUAUCUUUUAUUUCUUCACUUAUUUUUGUAUUGGUGUGUUUACCUUACACGAGAAUAUUAAUGGACCUACCCGGCUGGUGGCUGCUGUCGUUGUGGUGGUGAUGGUGCUCUUUGCCUUCGUGGACUGCCAUUUUAGCUCCUGUAUUUGACCUUUCUGGAUUACUACAAUGAUUCAACUAUACUGCUUUUCUGCUCCUGCAACUUUUCUUUUUUUAUUUAUUUAUUAUUAUUAUUUUGGACAACCUUGCAGGACCCAUCGCUUACGAGCAAAAUAACUACCCUUGUUUGAAAAAACAAAAAGGGAAAAUUUUUUUGUAUGUACACAUGUUUAUGUGGGAUGAAGCGAUACAACACGAGUUGGAGGAAACCUACCUAAACUAAAAGGAUAGAAAGAGAUGGGAAUUCGAACAUAAUUUUUUUUUUUAUAUCAUAAACACGUUUUUUAACAUAUUUUAAUAUCUAUUUAUGUCAUAUAUAUUGUAUCAUUAAAAUAAGUACUACAGUAUUAUUCUAAACUUAUUAAUAAAUCAUUUCUUUGAAUGGUAUAACAUCUACCAUGUUCACGUAAAAGUGAGUUUUUAUAAGAGUGAACGCUUGAAAUAAGCGUUUUUUUUAUAUAAGUGUUGAAAUUCACUUUUUUUAAUUUCAUUUACUACUAAUAUGGGAGAGAAGUUUAAACAAGUAUUAAUUAAUUUUGGGGCAAGAAUGAGUUGGAUAGUUCAAAAGAAAGAAUAUAAGCGAUAAGUUCCAGUUUUAAGCCCUUCCAUUUACAUAAAAAAAAUUAUUAAUUAAUUUUAUUUAAGGUCACCUUGCAACUGUCCCUACGUAUAGAUCACGUAGAUGUCUAAGAUAAACAAGUAAUUCUACCAUCCCUUCGUAUUAAAUGGCGCGGCAAAAAAAAAAAAAGACGUUUCUUUAAGAAUGGAAUUCCAGAAGUGGAGAGGUGCACAGGAAAAUACACAGAAAAGUAGACAGCUCUUUGAUCGAGGAGCACCUCCUUAUCAAUGGAUUGACAAGCCAAGAAUCCAAAAUUCGAUUUCAGUGCCUUCAAUUGCAAACCAGCGUCCUUGAACUGCUGGUCCUAAUUGUGAUGGUUGAGUUCUGAGCAGGAGGAUCCUGCAUUCACUUUGCAAUUGCCAGUUGUUAACGAUCCCCAUUCAUGUGGCAACUGUUUCUAUUUUUGUUCAAGUUUUUUAGUCAUAAUUUUCACUCUUUCUGCGUAUUUCUAGCAUGCAAACACCAUCAAAUGUCUGAAUAUUCUCAUAUGACGGAUCCUUAGUACGCAAAUCUUUUCACUAACAGGUUGGAAGGAAGCAGUCUAAUCUAGACUUAAAUGAGUUAAAAGAGCCAAAUCCUCUUAUGUACUCGUUACACUAAUCCCGCAUUUACACCCCUUCUAGCCCUCGCCAGGCUCCAAUACAACCUUCCGCAGAUUCUACAUUUGUAUAGCACAAAACAAGCACGUGGAAAGAUUCACCCGGACUUGUUAUCUUAGACUAAUAUUGCUGACCAAAGCAUCUCGAAAAGAAAAUUUGCAGAUUCCUGAUUUCGAAUCGCAAGACAAACAGAGGCCAAUGGCAUGGAAACCAUUUUCUACCGCCUGAAUACAAAAUGUAUAGCAAACAAACUGGCCUUGCCAAGGCACUAACAGCAUCACAAGGACCAUUCAAGAAAUAUAGCUACAACCACAUUUCUCAACAAUGCAGCAUCAUGUUGACUGAGAGUUACACAGUACAUCCACUGCACAGCAGGAGUCCAUCUAUCGAACUAACAAAAAUGCAAUAAAGAAUAAGAAAAUAAAAAAUAACAGAAAAACAUAAUGCUAUACUGAACCCACUGUUAGCUAUGUGGUCAAGUAGGGAGAACGGACGAUAAAAAGUCAUUGAAUAGAACUCAAUGUAAGUGGUACACCGAAAAUAGCACUCCCUGCCAUUCAUCUUCUACACAUUCCAUUCAAAAGCAUACAUAAACAUCACCUUGGAGUCCGCAAUUAGCUACAUUGUUUCUCACAGGUUAAAAGGUUUCCAUGUGAAACACAAUAUGCACAUUAAACCUGAUAGUUAUGAAUAAGGGACGGGAUUGACCUGUGCAUCUCCUCCAUGCUACGAUCCAACAGGUGCAAUUCCCUUUGCCUUGGCUGCAGCAGUUGCUGCUGCAGCUGCUGCAGCGGCAGCAGCAGCCGCAGAUGCUGCUGCAUUGGGUGUUGAUGGAGGAACAGCACCGGAUUGCGAUGUGCUUUGCGCGGUAACCAUUUGUUGUUGUUGUUGUUGCUUCUGCUGAGAGUUUACCUGAGCAAGCAGGGCCUUGAUCUGACUUCCAGAGAGUGUCUCAUGCUCAAGUAGAGCAUUAGCAAGUGCAUGGAGCUCCUUGCUGUUCAUGGUGAGAAUGGUUUUCGCGUUGUUGUAAGCCCUCUCCAAAAAUUGUUUUACUUCUUCCUCAAUAAGGAGCCUAGUCUCAGUGCUCAUGCUCUUGCCGUUAUCAUCAUAGUUGUGAGUAACAAGUCCCACGUUUCUGCUCAUACCAUACUUUGUAACCAUUGCUCUUGCAAGAUUGGUUGCUUGCUGCAGAUCGGAAGAUGCACCUGAAGUCACUUCAUUUUCUCCAAAGAUGAGCUCUUCUGCUACUCGUCCACCCAUGCAAACAUCCAAACGAGCAAGCAUCUGCUUACGAGAUAUACUUGUCUCAUCCUUGUCAGGUAAUUGGGCAACCAUACCAAGAGACAUUCCACGAGGAACAAUGGUUGCUUUGUGAACUGGAAGGGCCCCUUCAGUAUGGAUAGCCACGAGGGCAUGGCCACCCUCAUGAAAAGCAGUCAGCCUUCGUGAUUCAUCAGAUAUAACAGCUGAUUUCCGCUCGCUUCCCAUCAUGAUUUUGUCCUUUGCAUGCUCAAGAUCAGCCAGUGUCACAGCUUUAGCACCAUCCAUCGCAGCCUUAAGGGCAGCAAUAUUAACCAAGUUUGCAAGAUCAGCACCAGAGAAUCCGGGAGUUCCUCGGGCAAUGAUAGUCAGAUCUACGUCUUCCGCUUUAAGAACCUAUCAGCGAAAAAAAAAAUUUCGGAUUAGAAUCCCCUGCUGAAAUUUCCUUCUCCCAAAAUGUAGAAUUGUCUAAGGAAUGCGCUAAUCAAAGAUAAUUCAAGUAUCAGCCAUGCAUGUCAGAUGGAUGUUAUCCAUAUGCGCAUCACUAUAAUGGCCAGUACAUCAACCAGUAACUUGGCGUAGGAAAGAUUAGCAAAGAUCACCCAUAUAUGUCUUCAAGUAAGUUACAUAUGUAAACUAUAAAGAGAAAUAUUGCAAAAAAGGAAACUUUCAAAUGAAGUACAUGGUGCAGAUGCUUAUGUAAAUUAUGGCAUAUCAAAUGGGAAAUUUGCUCUUGCACAAAAGGAAACAUCCAAACAGAAGUACACAAAGCAGGAGCUUGCCUACAGCACCAGAAUCACGUAUAGGUGAGCAAACGAGUAAUGACCAGCUAGUAUCUCACAACUGAUCUGUCAGGGAUUGAGCACGGCAGAGAAAUACACUUCACCAGGCAAACAAGGGUAGAGAAUUUGAAAUAAGAGCUUAGUGGAAGGAAUUAGAUUGAUUCAUCGAGUUGGUUUAUGAAACCUGUGUUGACAUGGAAUGGGGUGUGGUACGUGGCCAAAAAGAAGAAAGAACAAAGUACAAAUCUUUGCACAAAUCUACAUUGCAAGACUUGAAAAAUGUCUUGAAAAUGGCCAAGGAAAAACACAAGCCACUAAGCCACUAAAAGACUCAGUAGAAUUGUUCUCUUGGACAAAGUCAAUCAACAACAGGCAGAACAAAAAUAACUUUUUGGAGACAUUGCAAGACUUGAAAAAUGUCUUGAAAAUGGUCAAGGAUAAACACAAGCCACUAAAAGACUCAGUAGAAUUGUUCUUUUGGACAAAUUCAGUCAACAACAGGCAGAACAAAAGUAACUUUUUGGAGUAUACUAGGGUCCUAACAUAUCUUCUUUGGCAAACAAAGCUUCUACUUUUUACAUAACAUUGCAAGGGCCCCUCCAUCUUAUUUCUGAAUUCAUCACAUGUAUCUUCUUCCAUUCCAGAUCGCCCUUUGGGAAAUAUGCACACUAAUUCAGAGCCUACAAUACAAAAUUAUCCUCAAUUCGCAAACUAAAGCUCUUUGAUUCAGUAAGUGAAAGAUGAACAAGUGGGACAAUUAAAUGAAAAAACUGGGGAAAGAGUAAAUAAGAAAUAGAGGUUUUUAUCAUCAAAAAAAGCAAAGUACCUUUGACAUAUGUGAUUCCAAGAUCUGUCUCCGUCCUUCAACAUCAGGAUUUGGAACAACAAUAUGACGAUCAAAUCGUCCAGGCCUAACCAGAGCCUUAUCCAAUGACUCCGGGAAAUUGGUUGCAGCAAUCACAAUAAUUCCCUCAUUCUGCUUGAAGCCAUCCAGUUCAACAAGUAACUGAUUCAGAGUCAUUUUCAUGUAUUGCUGGUCCUUUGGGUUGCGGCUCCCACCUAUGGCAUCAAUCUCGUCAAUAAAUAUUAUACAUGGAGACCGUUUCUUUGCAGCAGCAAAGAGAUCUCUAACCCUGCGGGCACCAACACCAACAAACAUUUCUUCAAACUCACUGCCGCUGCAAGAGAAAAAGGGCACCCCAGCUUCUCCAGCUAUAGCCCUUGCCAGCAUAGUCUUGCCGGUACCUGGGGGACCAACAAGUAGAACACCUUUUGGGAGCUUACCGCCAAGUCGAGUGAACCGCUGCAAUAACAUAAAAGGUGAGCAUAAUGAAGUCUGCAACGCUUCUUGACAGUUUAGGAAGGCUAAUCUAAAAUCAUUAAAAUCAAAGUUCUCUCCCAGAAAAUAAUUCUAAUAUCAUGUCAAUUGCUUGUUGAUCAAGAACCAAAUGAAGGGCAAAAUUUAACCAAAUUUAGGUAGCUAAAUAAGGCUUUGUAGAUCCAUAUGAAUAUUCUAACUUUUGCUAAUGGAAAGAAGGAUGCAAGAAAAACUAUUAACAACUGCAAAUUAUAGAAGUUUAGAUAUUCUGCACAGAAAAACAGAAAAAAUGCAUGAGUUAUUCACUCACAGAUUCAUGUGAUUGGAAAGGGAGGUGAGCCAGCCACCCAAGAGAUUGUUACAGAUCAGAAAGCACAAGCUGCAAUUACCUUAGGGUCUCGAAGAUAGUGAACAAUUUCUUCAAGCUCAGAUUUGGCUUCAUCAACCCCCUUUACAUCACUAAAUUUCGUAUUAGAUUCCAAACUAGGGUGCACCUCUUCAUUCAGACCCAGUCCUAGUAGAAAAUGGUAAAGAGCAUUAGUCAGCAGAUAACCUUUUGUUUGGUUACAGAUUCAUCACCCAAAACCACAACAAUAACACAAAAAAAUUAUAAUAAUAACAAAUACAAUAAAAUAAUCUAAGACCUUCCAGCAAAGCUCAUAACUACAAGUACCUUUACUAAUCCCUCUAUCUUCGAUGAGUGCACCAAUGCCUGAGAUUAGAAGGAAGGCCAUACCAAGAGCACGGACUGUCCGCCAUAACUGCUCCUUAAAAUGGCCCCCUUCAGCAGCCACCAUAUGUAUAGGUGCACUAGCAGUACCAAGAACACCUUCCUUUGUAGAUUUCCCCACAUUCCUAAAAGCUGAAAGACCUCCAACCAUUUCUUCUUCCACCUGGGAGCUAGGAGCACCUGUAAUUCCUGUAUAACAUACUUAUCAAAUUCCUCAAACCAAUGAAACGUCACAGAAUAUCAAAACUCUUCAGUGGUAGAACUAAUCAAGAUAUGCUACAAGAGUAGUAGACCUGGUAAAACUCUAUCCAUGUAUGUAGACCCAAUCAGAAAGAGUACACCACAGAAAGGCCAGAGAGAAGAUAAAAAAAAUAAAUUAAUUAAAAAAAAAUAAUGACACUAGCCUCUCUGCAAUGUCUUGAGCAGCUCACUUUCGUCCAGCCUAUCAACCUUAACCAGUGCCUUGACAUACUCUGCAAGCGCUGUUGGGUUAGAGUGCAGUGAGGGUUGGCUUUCGAACACCCUAAUGACUGCCUCAGGCUCGUUUCGAUGAUAUAGCUCUUUGAGGUAUGCAGCAUCGCUUAAUUCAUCACUUCUCCGAGCUAGGCUAGCAGCAUAACUUGAUCGAAAUCUUUUGGUGUUCCCAAAUGCAUAUCCUGCAAGAAGAAAUGGAGGGAAGGUGAAGAGGAAUGCUUCAAACUUGUGCCAAUGAGCAAGUAAACAAUAUAACCAAGGGAAAUUCAAGAGGAAUCAUCCGCCAUGCAUCAAUUUAUCUUUCAUCCAAAAAUCGGCAGAAUAAUAUUAUUGCACCACAAUCAGAAAACAGGGAAUCUGCCAUAUCAACAAUAAGCGACUUCGAUUGCGUACCUAACUCUUUCUGGGCAUUAGGUGAAGUGCGAUAAGCUCUAACUAAUACAUUGCUCAGUUGCCCCAACUGCGACUGCUGUCGUUGAACCUGUUAUAACAAAACACAGGUCCUAACACAAUUAGAAUGAAAUUUCGCACAUAUGAUCAACAUGAAACCAUUAUUAUCAGAGCUAAAGCUCAUAUAACCAUCCCUCCUUAUCCACAUCAAUCGGCAAAAGUCACACCUACAAUACAACCAAAACAGACCUAGAAAAAGCUAACUAGAGUCAUAAAAAUGGAGUCUUUCCAAAACCCAUAUCAUUAAUUGCACAAAAAAAAAACACAUAAAAUCAGCAACUUUCACCACUUUUAAAAACAAAAAAUAAAAAAAAUUUCUUACCCAACAACCCUUUUGGCUUUACACCUAAGACUGAUAACUAAUUACUCCUAAACCCACCAAAGCUUAUACCAAACGAUUAAAUGACCUAUUUCUAGAUUAGGGCUUCAGCAUCCUAUGGAAAAAAAAAAAAAAAACUAAAAACCUUGGCUUGCAUGUUAUAUUUCUGAUGUUCAUACAAUUGAUAAUAAAAAAAAAAAAAAGUGUCAAGAACUGACCCGACUGAUAAGGCGAAUUAAAGCCAUUCCCUGUCCCCAAAAGAGGGCUAAUCUCUCUUUCGCCAAACUCUUCCCCUCCCCCUUUCUUUUUCUAAAUCAACUAUCCCUAUCCCUAAAUAUAGAAGUGUAAGUUAUUCGGAUAUUUUUGGAGUUCAGCAGAUACUGCAACUCAGGAGAGGAGGGAGGGAUGGAGAGAGAAUAGAGGGAGCUGGGGAGUGCAACCAGAGAUGGAUUUUUUCCCUGGAUCAGUAAUUUUUAAUGGGCAAAACUGAAGAGAUUUUUUGUACGCAUAUGAAUAAUCCUCAUAAAUCAUAAUACCGUAUAGUAUAGUAAACUUUGGUAAUAUUUGACCUCAGAUCUUGGGAUUUGGUGAGGAAGUGUCCAUGGCUUGUUUAAGUGGACCGGUUCGGUAUUAGAACUUUGGGGAGAACGGCCGAAGAUGUUUGUGGGCUUUUAUUCUCCAAAAAACAUCAAUGCUUAGGCCCGUCAACAAGGCCUUGUAAGUGAGUCAGGCUGUCCACAACCUUGAGGUUAAACUUUAGCCCAUUGAACAUUAACAACAACCAAGUCCAAAUUCAGCCCAUUCACUGCAUCAGGCUUUGGGAUGAGAUGAGAAAGGACGGAUUCAAAGCAUUUUUAAGUCGAACAAACCCAGUUGAGGAAAGAAACAAAACCGAGAAGUUUUUCUUCUCAAAUUCGUAGUGAAUUCUUGAUUGCAUGUUGUUAUUUCUAUAAUUAUAUAUACGCAAAAUGAAGAACAUUAAUCCGAAAACAAAUGCAUUUUAUUUAUGUAGAAAGGGCAGGGCCUCAGUGGGCUUAGGCCUGUUAGUUACUUUUUAUAAGUUUUGGAGUGGACAUGUCCAAAUUCAGUUCACGUAAACAAUUACUGAUUGUUGAAGUCCAAAUUCAGCUCAUAAGUGAUAUGAGGUACAAAUGUGGCUCACAAGGAAGUAAUUACGAUUGUUAGGAAGUUUUGUUGUCUUAAGCAUAAUUUUCACAUGUUAUUCUAUUUAUUGUGUGAAGAUUAGACAAGUCAUUUGGCACUCAGCGAGAGGAGGUAAGUGCAUGCACAAUCUGCAAUCAUGACAAACCUCAAGGGAGAUUUGUACACAAUCCCUUUUUAGUAAUAAAGUAACAAGUCAUUUUCUUAAAAAUUAAUAAAUCUUGAGAAUGAAAUCGUUUCUAUGCCGACAGGUUAAGAGAAAAUCGUUUAAAAUGUUUCACAUUUCGUCAAAUGAAUCUUUUCAUUAUUUACUUUCAAAAUGAUAACUUCUGUCUCUUACAAAAUUGAAACAGUAAAAUUUGGUCCCAAUCUAAGUUUUUUAUCUUUUUUUUUAACCUUGAAUCCAUUAAGCGAAUCAACAUAGUCAUUUUUUAGGGAAAAAAAAAAAAGGUAAGAUACCAUUUAUCGUUAAAGCAAAUGAUCCGAUCCAUAUUCAAUUUUUUUUCCUCAAAAUAAGUGAGAUUAGACCCAAAUCAUAUUCAUUUUUUUCAUUAAAAAAGUGGGAUCUGAUCUUCUUGUAGACAAAAAAUGAUUGCAUAUGGAUGACGUAGUGAUUUCAAGAUUAAAAAGUGAUCAAAAAUUUAAGUUGGAACUAAAUUUUAUUGCUAAAAUUUGUAAGGAAUACAAAGUUAACAAAGUGAAGGACGAUAAAAUUCAUUUAGCCAAAUGUAAGGGACAUUUGGAACUAUUUCUGUUUCAUUCUAGUUGAACUAACACUAGGAUUAACAAAGUUAUUGCAUUAAGACAAAUCUUACCAUUAACAUUUCAAGAAAUACUUAAAUUCAGAAAAUUUAGAUGAAUCAUUCUUUAAGCGUCGCUGAUGAUACACACUCUACCAUGUCAUUGCCAACAUUUGAAAAGUUAGGGUACCUUCCCUUGUCACCCAACAUCUACCUGCCUCACACCGAGAAGCUUCCCUGUCGGCACGCACAUGUAUUAGUAUUACACCGCCUACGUAAAGGUCACCCCCAUGCUCAUUCAUCUUUUCUUAUAUCAGGGAAGCAAUACACCAGCACAGGAAGCUUCAAUAUUCAUAAUUUAGCCAAAAAACAAAGAGAAACUUGUGCCGAUGAUGAUCAGUAGAAGUUGCCGUGUUCCAAUGACAAAACAUCAACGAUUCCCGAGCCGAGAUAUCUAUCUUGAUCUUUGUGGGAUUUUUAAUCCCAGGCUCAAUCUGCAAUCAACUGAGAGAGGAAAUGCUAGUUUCAUUACCAAGUGAUUAAGGGUUCAAAAAUAAUUCCUCAUGUGUGAUACUUUUACCAAAUGUUUUAAGGGCCUAUUUGGUUGGCAUGCUAAAAGUUACAAAAUGAUAAAAGGAAUGCAAUCGCGGAUAUGCAAAGGGAACGUAAGAACAACUUUGAUUAGAAUUACUAUCCAACUAUUACCUAUUUUUCUUCCUUCACUUGGGCUCCAUUGAUUUGCUUAAUUUCUUGAGUUGUGCACAUGUAGUAUUAUAUGCAUCUCUCUCCCAAGAGAUCCAAAUCAUUAUUGUUCAAUGCGACAGAAAAAAAAAAACAAUUUGAUGCUUCAAAGAAAAGGAAGAUACUGUAAUGUACAACAAACUAUCCAAUCUAGUAAAUUAUGCGAAUGCAGUAGUCGAAAUAUGUGCUUAGAAAAGGGAGAUAUUAAGAAGUUGUAAUGUACUACAUGAGGUAGUUAGCUAUACGCAAAAAACUUUGUAUCAAGAAAUAAUCAUUCGUUAGUUGUUUAUCAUUCUGUAUGAUAACCUUUUACAAACUAAUAUUUUGCAUUAAGUUCUACAUGGCCAACUGCAAAGAACUUAAGGUGCAUUUACGUUCGAAAAAUUGUACAACAUUUUUUUUCCCGGUUUUAGAAUGUGGAGGGCAAUUGCGAAGAAGUACAGUACUACAACCUUGUCUGAGUCUAUGACCUGAGGUAGAAUCAGAAUAUUGUUCUCAUAAUUUUUCAUGGUUUUUUCUACCAAAUUAAAGCUUUACUCUAGCUUUUGUUUUAUUUGAUACUUUUUUUUUGAAUUAUUUUCUUUUCAAUGUAAGUAAAAAAUCUCGAAUUCAAGAUUUCUCACUUAUAUUCCCUACUCAUGUACCAUACAGCCUAUCCCUCUCCCUAGUUUUAUUUGAUACUUUGAUAGUCAUUUGGAAUAAAUUUCAUAAGUCUAUAUAUUUUGCUUUUCAGGGAAUAAUUUCCCAUAAGAAUUUCCCACGAAAAUGAAAAAGAAAAAGAAAAAGAAAAAGGUUCCCAUGAGAAUUCACUUACCCAAGUACUUCUUCCCUUAUAAAGAAAGCAACAAGGGUAAAAUAAAGCAAAUUACCGGAAAAUAAUCACAAAAAGAUGUCUAACUCGAGUGGUCACUCCAGAAUUAACUAAUAUUGUCGGACGUAGUAGUAGGUAUUAAGAUUCUAAUUUGACUGCCAGAAAGUACUACUCCGUCCGUCCCACUUUGAUAGUCCUGUAUUCCUUUUUCAUCUGUUCCAAAUUGUAAUUCACUUUCCAAUUGAAAAAUGUAAUUGUAUUUUAAAUUUUCUAAAAUACCCUUAUUCAAUGUAAGUAGUUGUUACUAUAAACCUACCCCAUUUAAUGAGAGUUGAUUCUUUUUUUACCGUCAAUUCAAGUUCCCAUAAAGUUGUACCAUAUUUAAUGUGAGGGUAUUUUAGAAAAAUAACAAUCUAAAUUUACUUUUCUAACAAAGUUAACUAUUUUUUCUUAAAUUGUGUGAAAAAAGAAACAGGACUAUCAAAUGGGACGGAAAGAAUAGUAAUCAAUGAGAUGUUUAUUGUACCUUCUACAUAUCAAUCUGAAACCUUUUGAUAAGCGGAUUGGAAAAAAAUAAGUAUAAUUUUCACCUUUCAAAUUCAACAGCCAACCAUAAAACUCUCUCUCUCUCUCUCUCUCUUGUCGUACCAAUCAGAGUUCAGUGCCACAUGUACAAAAAUUUAUCGAGUAAUAGUUUCAGAAACAAGGAGAAAAUCCACGAUUAUUAUUCCGGGAUGGAGUAGGUACAUUAAUUAAGAUUUUAGUACGGUUAUUGUUCAAUUAUUGAUUUACACAUAAUUUGGUGUUAACUAACAUUACUUUAUUGUAAACUUGAAUUUUGUUCAUAUACACCAACCCAAUAUAUGAAUCCAAUCACACUAAAUGUACCAAAGCCAAUUGUACACCUACCCCAAAUGCCUACAAGAUGACAAACAAAGCUUACUGGUUGCCCUUUGAUGUUUUUGUACUAUAAUGAGGAGCCAUUAAAUUGAUAAUGAUUCUUUAAUUUAGCGGCAAAACCAAGAAUCCACUUAGUGGUCUAGCCACCCUGAACAAAAAUGUAAAGAUAAAAAAGGGGUGGAUGGGGGAUGAACACACAAGAAAAUGAAAGAUCGCCUUGCUACAGUUGAAAUGGUCCUGCUAAUACAUUGUCUAACACAAAAUGACAGAUAUACCAGUACAAAAUUGCAGCAGCUAGCCAAGGAAUUAAUCUCGAUUGCAAUAACCAUAAAACCUUGUCAUUUGUAAAUGUGAAAAGAACUAGGAACUGGAGGACGGUAGCAGCACAGAUACACAUAUAUAUAUUUAUAUAUGUAUGGGACAAAAUCAACUAAUAACAAUUAACGAACAAAUUAAUAGGAAAGAAGAAAUCUCAUAUGCCCAACAUAAACAUAAUUACUUCAAACUAAAUCUCUACCAUGGUGCUGCUGGAUUGUGAUGACCCUGCUGGUCAUUGAAAGAUGAGCCACCAAGUUGAUGAAGAUCAUCCAGACUAAGAAAUGUUUCUCUAGCAGUAGGGAAGGCUUUUAGACCCAAGAAAUCCCUUGUUAAUCCGUCAUUAAUAUUGUUGCCACGGCCACCAAAUACGCCACCUUCUUUACCGCUAUUACUUCUUCCAUUAUUCCCCCUUCUUGAAGUCAAUAACACUUCCUGAAAGUUCUCCCCGAAUCCAUCGUGAUGAUGAGAAUUUACCAUACCCAUCAAAGCUCCUCCUCCUAGAUGAUCAUGAGUUGUUAAUGGACCAACACUUAUUUGUGCUUGGUGUGGAUGUUCCAUGCAACCUGCAGAGGUGAUAGCACUAGUUUUGUUCCCAAAAGAUGCCAUCAGCCCGUGAUGAUGCAUAAGCCCAGAUCCAGAACUAGACCCUAUUCCCAUCUGAUCUUCACGUGAGGCCAGACCCAGGCUAGAACCAGCUGUAGAAGUGGCCAAUAUUAUUGAUGUCGAACCCAUCAAACCAGUACUCACGUGAGCUGCUUGGUGGGGUCUCAGCAUCGUUGUUGUCGCCGAGGCAGCGGCCGCCACCUCGUCCGCACCAGCAGCUGAUUGACUUGAUGCAGGUUUGCUGAUUGUAACUCCCAUUUGUGCUGCUUUUUGCAGCAAUGCAGUUGCAGACAUGUGGGGUGAUGCCGAUGCCGCGGCGGCUUGGAAUGAGGAGGAAAGAGUUGGAUUAGGGUUAGGGUUGUUGACAUUUUCAUGAUGAUGAAUCAUGGUUUGGUCCAGUCUCGGGUUGCUGAACAAGUCAUGACUUGUUGGUGGACCUCCCCCUGGAUCAGAGAGCCAAGGCGGCAGCUCUGGUGGCCUCAAGUUGCUAUUGAAGCUUUGUUGUCGUUGUAACUGUAACUGUAACUGAUCUUGUUCUCGCUUGAGAGGAAACACGGGGAGGCCGCCGCCAUGGAGAGGAUGGUUUUGGAGGUGGAGUUGGACUGAAGAUGUAGUACUAUUGCCGCCGCCGCCUAGUAGUCCUAGUGGGUGGUUGUUUGUUGUAAUUGCCCGGGCACUCUCUUCUGCCAAGGCGUCGCAGAAAGCUCUAUGGGUGAUGAAACUGUCCCUCCUGACAAACAAAAACAAACAGAAAAAAACAAAAGGAAUAAAACAUCAAAAUGCUGCUGCAGAUUAAACAAUAGACAGUACGGUACCAUAUAUCUAUGAACGAUGCUCCCUCUUUUUCAUCUGAGUCCGUCUCUGUCGUCAACUUUUUCUGCGCUUUCAUCUAUGGUGGCAGCAUAGAUAGUAGUAGAGUACAUGAUUUUUUAGCAGUAAAGUUUUCUUUGUUUUUAGCUUUUUGCAGUGAAAGAAUAAAUAAAGUAGUGUUAGGACAUACUACAAAACUUGUAAUGAUACAAAUUCACUACACAUACGCACAUACACACAAAGACAAAGACAAAACAUUGCAACAACAACACAAGAUUCACAAGGCAAAGAUGUUUAAGGUGGUACCACGUACUAAUUGCCUAGUAAAACUGAAUGUGAGCAAAGUAUUUUUUUUUUUUUGGGUCAAAAAAUGCGAGCAAAGUAUUUGACAUUGGGUAUUUUGGUAGCUUCUUUCUAAUGUGCAUGGAACAUCCAUUUGACCCCAGAUUCCUAAAUUAAAAAAGAAAAAAAGAAGAUCGAUUACCUUGAGAAAAGGGUUCCACAGUCACAUCUAUAUUCUCUAGUACCACAAAUCUUGGAAUGAGCUUUCCAAUCUGAUUGAACAGCGUAACGCUUUGAGCACUUUUCACACUUCCAUUUCUUCUCACCAUGCUUUCUGGAAAAGUGUUUCUUGACUCCAGUGAGGUCCCCAAGUGCCCGUGAGGGAUCAUGGUGCACGCAUGUAGUUUCCGGGCAAAUAUACACCUUCUUCCUUAUUACUUCUUUGUUGCUUCUUUGCUUUAACUUCCAGGGUAAAUUAUGUCCCCUCCUGUGCAAUUGGAGGUUUUGAUCCCUUUGGAACCCUUUGUUACAGAUCUCACAUAUAAACCUGUUUGUUGCCAGAAGGGUUCUUGGAGACAAAGCUAUCACUUCUGCCUCAGGGUCUAAUUAAGGAAUUUCCCGAUGGCAAUAGAAAAUCAGGAGAUUAAUAUCCAAGAAGUUUUUCCUUUAAUUUAGUACUGUUUCAGUCUACAAGAGAAGGGAUAUACUGCAAUAGAUAUAUAAUGCUGGACUUUGUUACCUGGAUUGCCUGGAAGAUUUCUCUUUUUCUUUGAAGCUGGUUGAGCACUUUGAUUAGUCGGUGAUGAUGCUAAAGGAGGCAGCUGCUGCUGCUGUGGGUACACAGCACCAAUUUCUAGUCUGUUGCCAGAAGAAAUGCUAGCAUCAUUAGAUCCAGAUGUCAAAUUUGACAUGCUGUCUUCUACCACCAUACCUGCAGCCUUCAUCAUCUUAGAAAAGCCUCCUUUUGAUACAACCUUGAUCUCUCCUUAGUUUCCCCUCUAAAUAUCUUGGGUAUACCCUUGUAUAGAGCUAUGCAGGUUAAUUAGAGGGUUGGUUUAUAAUCUUGGACUCCGGCCAAUUAGAUUCAUUGAUGAGCAACAGAUGAUAUCAAGCUUCUUUUUUUCUCGAAUCAGACAACAGAAUCCAAUACAAACCCUAGUUAUAAUUCAAGAAGAUUCUAAAUUCAGCUAGCUAAGUGAUGGUGAAAGAGGCACUGAUAAAUAAAAGCUUGUGUAGGUUGAUUUUAGUAGCUUCUUGUAGAAUCAUAUGAAGCUAGCUAGCUCCUAUCUAUUGUUUGAAAACCCUAGACGACUGAUUUGAAAAAGGAAGAAAAGGUUUCUUGUUAUAAGGGUGAAUCAAAAGAGAGAAAGAUUACAAUAUCAAGUGUUGAGUGAAAUCUUACAGUGUCGGCCCUUUUCUUCAAAUCAUAUUUGAAUUAACCAAAAUUGCCUGAUAGCUGUUAGCACCAUCAAGAUUCAAUAAAAAGCCACACAGAUGAAAACAAACAAGACCGCACCAUAUUCCUUUAGCAUAAACAUAAGAGAAGACUUCCGCUGUAUGUGUUUUGCUUUCUCAGUAUAUGUAUGUGUCUUGAGUGUGUGAGAGAGAGGAAGAUAAAGAUGGAGAAUGAGAGAGAGAGAGAGAGAGAGAGAGAGAGAGAGAGAUGUGGAUGAGAAGGUAUCUCUACUAAGUCCUCCACCCCAUGAAAAACCAUACCUCCAGGCCAACAAGCUUAUUCUGACGUUGUCCUUUGUCUUUUUCGUUGUUCCCUUCCCAAUUGUAAAAAACUACAUGUACUUUGCAGCCUCUUCCUUCACUGUUUUUACUUGAUCAAAAUUAUUCCCUUUCAAAAGAAAAUGAUGAUUAAAAUACCGUGCAAGUUUAAAUAAUUUUCAUUAACCAAGUUUGCUAAUUGAUUCCAAAAGUGUACUAAUUAAUCAAGAAAGGAAACCGCAAUACUCAAUCAUGCAUGGCAAAAUGGUUAAAGUGGAGAAUCAUGCAUGCAUGGAUGUUAGAAUGCAAAUGUUGUUGGAGGUAAACAAAGCUCAAUUUAUGGGGACUGUCUUGCAGCUUAAUAGUCACUUCACUUUCUUUCUUUCUUGCUUGCAUCCACGCACCUACUGCCUACAUAUAUUCACAUGAUUGGUUUGGUGAUUAUAUUCGAAACAAUCAUGCAUGCUCAAGAAAAAAGUUGUUUCAAUUAUUCUUACCGUCCUGUGAUCCUUGGUUUGAAUAAACAAUACUACUGGUACUUGAGAUCAUUAAAUUUUAUAAAAGGUAGAAUAGUGAUUUCAGAUAUGCAAUGAAUAAGGUUCCAUCAACUAUCACUUUAAUACUUCGAAAAACCUGACAAAUUCACGGCUUCUGAACUUAAAAAAGUGGAAAACAGAAUACAGGACUUGGUCCCCCAUGCUGCCAUAUCCAUCAUCACUUGUUACUGUGCAUUACAUAAUCGAGACGCUAGCCCCGUCAAUUUAACUUGAGUGUUUAUAGAAGCAUGUUUUGAAUUAAUACGUGUGAGUGAUCAUCGGAAGAGCUAAUGAAUCGGAGUGGAACCUAAGUAUCUGUCAUGAAAUGUAGAAAAAUAAAGUGAUUAAUACAUGUUGUACAAAUCCUGGACGUUUUGUAUCUUAUUAAGAAAAUUUCUUCAGUUCGUCCUACUUAAUUCUGAUCAAUAUAUAAUAGUGUCAACAAAAUUAACGAAAUAAAAGGACACGCGUACGGCGCAUAUCCAAAUCACUCUACUAAUCAUCAAUUCACAAUCCCUAUUAGUCAUGCAAAAAAGGUGUGCUCUACGCUAAAACAAAUAAUACUAUCAAUUGGAUUUAAGUGGGAUGCAUCUAAGAGGCUAAGAGAUAAAGUAGUUAAAAUUGAAGUUUACAGUACAAAGUGAAAAGAGAAAACAAGUUUGGAGGUGCAAAGUGAAAUUAGUCCUUAAAAAUGUCUUUGCAUUUUUGCUUUUCCUAAUUUCAAUGCUUCAAGAAAAAAGUCCCUUUCUUACCUGACUUGAUAGAUGAAGAGCACUGGCGAGCCACGUUGUUUUCCCUUCUCGUUUUACAAAUUUAAAGUGGCUGUUAAAAUUGGAAUGUGUAACCACCUGUCUAUGACUAUGACAUGUAUGUUUAUCAGCCCUUGAUUUUCUAAAAAUGGCGGAUAUUCUCCCUCUUGUGCUAACAUGCAAUCGAGUGACAGUCCUCUAAUGAGUCUAAAAUGUGAGGAAAUGAUGUUAGCAUUUUCAUACCUAAUGGAGUUGAAUGCCCUUUCACAACCAUAUAUACCUCACUCCAUCGAAGAAUAGACAAUUUUUUGUUAUUUCAGCUAAGGAAAUUAAUUGUGUCACGAGAAGAUGGUAAGAAUGUGGGACAUUUAAUUAACCACCACUUUCUAAUGAUGCAACUAUUUACAUAGGAGAAGUUCUAGUUUUGUAGUUUUGUUUUACGAGAGGGUUAUUGGAAUACCUUUUCUUUUUUUUUCUUUGGCUAAUACAGGCGUACGAAUUCAAUUGAAUAAUUCUAGUUGCCAAUAAUAGAAGCAUAUUCUUCAAAGGGAUACUGAUGACUGGUGGAGAAAAUAGAGAAAGCUGAUCUUGGGCAGCAGGCACAUCACUAAGCGAUUACCACAAAUGCGCAUCCACCUGCAUUUCUUGCAUGAAGAAAAAUAAAGGAAGAUGCUGUUUAGUAUGUCCUCAUUUGCUUCCAAAACAUUGUUAUUAACACGUUAUCCACAAUUUUGAAGUGCUUCAAUCUUUGCCAAGUAAUAUUGCAGGGUCAGAUUCUCAAAUUUUUCUGCAGAUAAACCAUCGUUUUCGGUCUAUUUUCCUUUUUUGUUUGUCCUUGUUUUCCGUCAAGGGAGUUUUAACUCUUCGUUUCAUGAGUUUUAUUUAUAACUUUAUCCCGGCAUUGAAAAAUAAAUUAGCCAGUGAAAAAUAAGCAGAGUACCUUAUAAAAGAUUGGAUCCUACGUACUUUAGUUCAUGUUCCUAUGAGAUUGGAAGCAAACAGGGAUUAAGUAAUUGUAGAUCACUUGUAAGCGAAAUUCAUAAUAUCACGACUCCUAGCUGUUAAUUAAAAAGGAAUUCAUGAUCUUUUGAAACUUCGUCUACUUUUAUUGAAAUUCUACACACACAAUAAUUACUUAGUUAUACCAGUGACCAUAUAUCAAUUGCAAAUGGUCUCCAAUGGAAAAAGAGCUUGAAAGAUAGUCAAUUGGAAUCUGACUUUCCUAUGUGCCAUGAUAACUCGGGAAGAAAACUUGUUUGGAUUGUAGUUUCCGCAGAAAAUUUUUUACACUUUUCCUGAAUAUCAUUUUUCAACCACUUUUUUAUUUCACAUAUAUUAAAUCUCUACAAUAUAUUUCUCUACAAUGACUGUAAAAGUAUCAAUCCACAUAGGCUCUAACUUGUGUGUGGAAAAUAACAUAUUGAAGCCAUAAGAGAUUCAUGUAGUUGUCUCCUUUUUCUCAUAAAUUGGCUAUAUUAUUUACGAGUUUCUUGAACCAAGCACAGACCUAAAUCUAAGCGAUCAAGAAACAUCUUCUUUUCAGAUUUUACGCAGAGGAAAAUUAAGUUAUGACGGUGACAUUUAUAUGAAGUUAUAUUGCCAAGAUAUUUAGCUGGCCCCUCUAUAAUAGGAAAAAGAACCACAAAAUAAUUCUAUACUCAAAAGCAGAUGACUAGAAAACAAACAACGUGACUCGCUAUGGAGCGACAUUGUCUUUCUGUUUAUUCACGUUAUGAAACAAUUAUUAUUCUUCUUGCAAUAGUAUUAACUAUAUGGAUUAGUUUGUUUUCACUUGAUAUAUAUAUAUAUAUAUGCUAUAAAAACGUCAAUAUUUUAUGUAAACUCUGCAGCAUACAGAUAGAGGGUCAUGCAUGCACGUUCAUGUUUCAUUCCAAAUUCCCUCUGCAGACAGCAUGUCAAGGUGCCACCAGUCUCCUCUCCUCUACAUCAAUCUGUACUCUGUAGCAAUUUUUAGCUGUUUGUUUGAAUAUGAGUAUGAUAAAAUAAGAAUACUGUUUGACCUAUUUCUCCUCAAAUCCUGUUGUUGACAUUUCGGAAGAACCGCUAUUGACUCGGGUUUUUUUUUUUUUUUUUUAUCACUAUAUUAGAGAAUGAAAUUUGUUAGAAUGUAGUUCCACUUUAACUAUUUUAGAGACCUGACAAUGAAGUAAUUCACUAAUAAAAGGCAGACAAGGUUGUCACCAACACAAAAAAAGUCUGAAUGAAAGAUUGAGUAAACAUCACGUAAUUCUUUUUUUCUUCUUUCGGUAAUGAAAAAUCAGUACUACGUAUUAGAGCAUAUACUCUCAAAAUCAUGAAAAGUCGCUGAUAAAGUUUUCACAAAUCGUUCAUUAAUACAACAUUGAUAUCGACACCACAAUUUGAACGUACGAUCUUUUAUGAACAAAUAGUGUAUUAUCACUUAUUACCAACUCACCUAACUUCUCUUGGCUGCCUUAUAUAUGAGUCUACGCAAUGUCAACUAUAGAACUGAUACAUACAAGUCUGCAUAAAAUAAUACCUAAAUAUUACAUCUACAUAUUAUAUAAGAAAGAAAUGAACUUUAGUACUUUGCUUGCUUGCAAGUCACGUGGUUUCCUAAUAGUUUGACAAAUGGCUUGUUAAUAUUUCUUCUACAUUGCUAUUCUUGCCAUUGCACUUUUUUUUUGGGCCUUUUGUUCAUGCAAAAUCAAACAAAUUUGGCUCUUAUGUUUAUGGGUGUUCUUCGGUCGAUAAUCGAAAAUUCGAUAAAUUUUUUUUUUGAUAAUUUGGGAAUUGAUUUUUUAAGACCAAUAUCCAAUUAGCGUCCAAACCUUAGUUUGAUCAAUUGGAUCGGAGAAUCAAUAGCGAGUUAAAAUAUUUUAAUUUUCUCUUAAAAAAUUGUUAUAACAAAAUAAUAUCCCAUAUGUUUUUCAACAAAAUUAAUCGACUUACUCAAACAAAACAUGAUAUGCAAAAAAAAAGGGUUCAUAAUCCUCAGUUCUAACUCAUAACCUCAAUUCUUAAAAAAUAUUGAAAUAAAUAAGAAUUUCAAACUUAAUUGUUAAGCUAAACUCCAAUGUAUCAACUUCCAUUACAAAUUUAUCUCCAAGUAUAGUUAUAGUUAGUUUAACUAAUCAGUAAUUACUAAUUAGUAUUUAGUGAUAGGAUUAAGAUUUACUCUUGUAUUUAGUAAUAUACAUAAGUGGGCAUACGUUCUACUUUUGUCUUCUAUUGAUUUUAUGCCAAAAGAAUGGUUUCCACUUAAUUGUUCUUGAAAUUUUAAGUAGGCUAGCUAAGCACAGCCUGAAGUCUGCUAGUCCUUGUUACAAAAUAGUGUAUGUAGCUUGCGACGGCUUAUAAUCCAUUUAAAAAGUUAUACAGUGUUCAACAAUGGUUAUCCAGCCCUUUCCUUGUAAAUUAACUUUUAAUGAUGAUGAAGCCUUCCAUGGACUAUUUUGAUCUUCCUUCCCUGUAUGAAUAAUUCAGCUCACCUACUCACUACAGGGGCGAAGGUAGUUCAACUGUUCAAGCUUCACUUGUCUACCUGGUUGAUAAUUUAUUUAAUAUAUAUAAAGUAAAAAUGUAAUUAGAAAAUGUGUGUACAAAAAAGGUAAAGUUUUUAUGUGAAAAAUCACAAAUCCAGACAAGGCUGGUCGGCCUUGAAUAUUAGCCCAAUUAACAAAGGGCUGAAACUUGAGCCCGGGUAGGCUCCCCCAAAUACGGCAGUGCCCGUUCAUGUUUCGGACUCUAUUGAUGUUAUAGCUCAACAUCUUGGGUUGCAUCUGUAGCCCAAUUAACAAAGGGCCGAAACGUGAGCCCAGUUAGUUUCCCCCAAGUAUGGAUCGGCCGCCUUUUUGUGUGUGUGUGUGUGUGUGUGUGUGUGUGUUGUGUGAAAAGAUGUGAUUGUGUACUGCCCUCUGUAGUUUCCAACUUAUAUUUGAUGUUUUAGUUCGGUAUCUAAUAUUGCGUUUGUAGAUGGUAUUUUAAAAUGACUAUAUCCACAUGCAAACAAGAACUUGUGCUGAAAUUUCAUUCUAGUUCAAAUAUUUCUAUAUUGAUUCUAAAUAAUUUUAUUUGUUUUGAUGGUUAUGUUAGUAUUUACUAAAACAUGAUCUUUUUGAAAUUUGAAGAACUAAAAAUACUAAAUAUGGGACAAUCAGAUGUUGGCAAUGCAUAACAUACCGAAAAGGGGAUGAUCUUGGACUUAUUCCAUGCUGCCACUUUAGUUAAAGUUCGAUCUUAGCGUAAGAUUGGUAAAAUUUAGGAUUUUUACUGAUCUUUCAUGAAGCAUUAUGCCAUAAAUUAAGGCAGGUUUGAUGGAUGCUUUGGUUGAAUCUGUAGGAGAUAAAAUAUCUAUAACGGUAGUCACUGUUAUAUACUUGUUUAAGGAUACAGAUUCCUUUAAAUGCUCAAUCAUGCAUGAAAUUUAGCCGGCUACGCAAUUGAUUCCUUGUAACCAGAGCAAAUAAGAAAAUAAUUUAUGUUUUGGACGGUUCUCCUACCCAUAUAGGUGUCAAACUAUUGCCAAAAUGUUGCCUGCUGACCUCAUGUGACACUACUAUAAUUUUCUGUAAAAUAUGAAAAUGCACGUUUUGUAUUCCUUUUGGCUUGAGUGAACAAGUGAACUUCUCUAGAGACUUGAUUGGAGAGGGCCAUAUUUCUUCAAGCUCCAGUACCCUUAAGGUAAUUCUUCUUAUUCGAAGUUUGAUCGAAGAAAAGACAUGGAGCAAUCCUUGUUGUGGGUAACUGUAGUACAGAUUUUCUUAGUGAUUGCCUAUCAAGGCAUAGAUGGGGCAUCUGAUCGAGUUGAAAGCAUUCUGGAUUACAUUCCAACCGAGGAACGAGGGAGGACAGCCUAUCACUUCCAGCCUCCCAAAAACUGGAUGAAUGGUAUGUCUUUAACGUUCUUGGUUUCUUUCUUGCAAUUAAUUUCUUGGCAGUUCUUGUCUAUAAUAUUGUCACUUACUAUAUGUUUUCUUCUUGUGCUGGCAUAUGUUUAUGCAUACUUCUGUCAUUUGGCACUCUGGAAUCUUCUUCUUCUGCUGCCUUCUGUCCUUGGCUUCUUUCUUCUGUCAUUUGGCAUUUAUGAUGGUGAAAAUGGCAAUUGGGUGACAUGGAAUGGAACCGGUAGAUCCAAAUGGUAAGUAUUAUAUGUUUUCCAUUUCUAUUACGCAGUCUUUUGAUCUAUUUUCAAUCUCUGGAAGUCCAAAAUUUGUUUUAUUUUUGUUUCUUUGCCCGUUGAUCAAGUACAAUUAGACAGAUAGCUUCCCCUAUGACUUCAGGAUUUGCAUAUCAGAUUAUGAAGCAGCAAUUGGUAUAGAUACAUGGACGCUCCCAUCUCGGUGAUCACAUGGAGUUUCAGUCCAGUGGUUCAGUGAUUUGCUUUCGUUGAAACUAUCCUCCACAUUUUGAUCUGACAUUUUUCCAUUUUGUAUCAUGCAGGUCCAAUGUACUAUAAAGGAAUUUACCAUCUGUUCUACCAGUACAAUCCAUAUGCUGCAGUGUGGGGUGAAGGUAUUCUCUCCUGGGGACAUUCUAUAUCUUAUAAUCUGGUUGAUUGGAUUCAUCUUGAAGACGCUCUUGAUCCAACGGAUCCCUAUGACAUUAGAGGUUGCUGGUCUGGCUCUGCAACAAUUCUUCCAGGUGGAGAUCCUGCCAUCAUGUACACAGGAGUGGAAUCUACGAACCGUCAAGUCCAAAAUAUAGCAGUGCCCAAAAAUCUAUCUGAUCCGUUCCUUUUAGAAUGGGCGAAAUUGGAUCAAAAUCCUCUGAUGACUCCAGUUGAUGCCAUUGGUUCAGAAUUUUUCAGAGAUCCAACAACUGCCUGGCUGGGGAAGGACAAAAGAUGGCGAGUGGUCAUUGGAAGUGAAAUUAAUGGUCAUGGGACAGCACUUCUCUAUCAAAGUGAGGAUUUUGUACACUGGGCUAAGAGUCAUAAACCCCUUCAUUUCUCAAAUAAAACAGAUAUGUGGGAGUGUCCAGAUUUUUACCCUGUCAGUACCAAUGAUACAAAGGGAAUUGACACUUCUGGUCUAGGUAGAACUACCAAGCAUGUGUUGAAGGCAAGCUUUUUCGGUCAUGAUCACUACAUAAUAGGGACCUAUGAUUCAGAAACAGAUGAUUUCUUUCCUGAUACUGACUUCAUGGAUAGCAAUGUGAAACUGAGAUAUGAUUAUGGUAUAUACUAUGCUUCUAAAACGUUUUUCGAUGGAGCCAAGAGAAGGAGAAUAUUGUGGGGAUGGGUAAAAGAGGCAGAUGAUCAAUCAGAUGACAUCAGCAAAGGAUGGUCUGGACUUCAGGUAGUUUAUAGCUUUGACUUCUAUUCUUUGCAGUUAGCCGACUUGAUUCACUCUUCUUUCUGCAUUUUCUGGCUAUCCUCUUCUAUUGUUUUGUUUUAGAAUUUCGGGAGCAUAUCAUUAAUCUGUUUCUCUAGAAGUUCAGGUUCUUCUCUCAGAUUCUCUAUUAGGUUGCUACUAUACAGUUUUCUUGAAAAGAAAAUCUAAAUUUGAGUUUUGAAACAGUAGCCUUAAAGUCCUUAGACGCUAUAAUUUGAUUAAAUAACUUCUCAAGACACGCUUUAAAUCUGUGCAUAUCUCUAAACUUCAGCACGAGUGACCCAAACUGUGUUGUAGUCAUUCCCUAGAACUAUCUUGCUUGACAAAAGUGGAAAGCAACUAUCACAAUGGCCAAUCGAAGAAAUUGAGGGUUUGCGCAAAGAUGAAGUUAAUCUUCAGAAUAAGGAGAUAGAGGGAGGUAACAUAUUCGAAGUUACAGGCAUCACAGCCUCACAGGUAAAAGAAUUCAUCCAUCUAAACUUUCUGUUAUCUGGUUGAGUUGACUCGUUGCUGAAGAAAUAACAGAAACUUUUGCUGCACAGGCUGACAUAGAAGUCUCAUUUCACCUGCCAAAUCUUGAUGAUGCUGAGUUAACACAUCCCGAAUGGCUUGAUCCUCAACUUCUUUGCAGCGAAAAGAAUGCAUCAACAGGAGGAGUUAUCGGUCCAUUUGGCUUGCUGAUCUUGGCUUCAGAAAACUUGACUGAAUAUACUGCGGUCUUUUUUCAAGUAUUCAAAGGCCAUGACAAGUAUGCUGUGCUCAUGUGCAGUGAUCAAAGCAGGUAAGCAUGUAAUUCAAGUCCACCUAAAGUCAUGCAAAUCAUAGUUUGUUCCAUCAUAUGUUACAUAAUUUUACAGGUCAUCUUUGAGAGAGGAGGUCGACAUAUCCACCUUUGGGGCAUUUGUCGAUGUAGAUCCUGCAGAAAAAAUAUCACUAAGAAGCCUGGUAUGCUGCCCAUGCUCCAGAAAUUUUCUUUUGCUAAUAAAGUUGAACCAAAGAACACAUAGAUCCCUAUUACUGUCAGGUUUUCUUUACUCUCUGAUCUUGUAAUAUUGUGGGCAAAACUAUAUCUAUACUUCAACAUGAUCGGCAUAGACCCGGAAAUGGUUUACUUUAUCUGCAAUUCAUGAACUGAAACAUCUUUUUCUCGGGGUCCCUUUCCUGAGAUUUUUCCUGGGCUAGACAAAAAACACUCAAGGGAUAGAUGUUUCUGCGUUUGCUACCAAGAAGUGGAAAACUGAACAUGUUUCUGUUCUUCAGAGUCAGAUUUAUGCUUCACCUUUUCUUUUUUCUUUUUUUUUUUUCUUUUCUAUAGAUUGACCAUUCGAUCAUUGAAAGUUUUGGAGGUGAAGGAAAGACUUGCAUCACUUCUAGAGUCUAUCCAACGUUGGCAAUUGGUCAGGAAUCCCAUCUUUAUGUAUUCAACUAUGGCACAGAAAGUAUCAGAAUCGCCAAUUUAAGUGCUUGGAGCAUGAGGAGAGCUCAAUUUUUCCAGUCGUCCACAAAGGAAGAAAAGCCGAAAUUGAUUGAGGAAUAGAUUUUUGGCGAUCAAAUUCAAGAAAUGCUUCUGAGCUCCUGUUGCUUUAUGAUUCUUUCCAAUAUUAUCAAUCGCAUCUUUGGUAGGAUACCAGUAUGUAGCCAAGGCAUGAUGAAAUUAAUUAAUCCAGGGCAGGUUUGCUAAUAGAUACAUUGCAAUCCGCCACUGGUCUGUAAUGACCUCCUUUGUUACUUUUUCUGUUUUAUUUUUUUUUAAAAUGAAUCAUUUAUAUAUGGCCCUACUCAUAGGUAGGGUUUGGAUUGGAUUUAUUUGAUUUAACUUCAUAUCAGACUUAGAUUAUAUAUAUAUAGCAUGAAAAAAAAUAACAUAAACAUAAAAGAAUUAUCAUUUUUAAAUAACAAAACUAAUAUUUUUAGAAUGUUGCAUGCAGUAAUUAGGGAGUAAAAGCAUGAGCCUCUAUCAACUAAUUCUAUCUAACGAAAAAUUUCAUUAAUUCCAAUAUUCUCUUCUUUUUCUUUUUCUUUUUUUUCUUCCAAUAACUUUGUUCCAGUCUAUGUUUUUGUUCACUUAUAGUAUCUGUGAUUUUUCUCCAUCGGCUUUUUUUUGCUGAUUUAUAUGUGCUUGCACUUUUGCAUGUGUGAUGGCAAAAACGGCGAUUGGUUGAUGUUGAACCUGUAGAUCCAAAUGGUAAGAAUUUAACAUUGGAAAUUAUGUUCCUUGGUUAAUUAUAAAGCUACAAUUGUUGUGGGAUAGACGGAACCAAAAAACUCUUAUCCAGCAGAAAAAUUUUUGUAUUAUAAAUGUUCAAAUUAACUAUCAUGCCAACUUUGAAAUAAUUUUAUACAUCAAUGGAUAAUAAUUAAUGUGAUAAAAUUCAUCAAGCAUUUCAUGAAUACAAAAUUAGACCUAAUAACUAAACAAACGUUAUGUAUUUACUUCAAAUUCGACGUGACACUUUGUCAUGGAGCCCUGUUUGGAUUGCCAUUUUCUGCCGGAAAUUGCAUCGUUUUCCAUGAUCACAUUUCCUUAUUAUUUUUUCUCUCAAAUGCAUCAAAUCGUUACAGUAAUUUUUUCAUGAAAAAUGACGGAAAAUACAAUCCAAACGGGAAGUCAAAUAAAUUACUUAUCUAACAAUGAAAACUACGCUAAACAAAGUUACUCUAUUCUUAUACUGAAGACAUAAUUCAAAUUUAUUAAAAGAGUAAAGGCCAUUAUUAGGAGGGAUAGAAACCAUAACAAAAAAAUAAUUUGAUAAGAAGUUAGAAAAAGAAAACGGUAAGACCGAGAUAUCUUUUUCUUUGCUCCUUUUCGAAAAAGUGACCCAAAUAUCUAGUUGACGCAUAAAUUCUCUUCAAUUAGACAUAUUGUUAAGAGGGAGGAAAGAAAAGUUGAUUAAAUUUACAGUUUUAGCAUUCUCUUUUUCUUAUCAUUCUAUCACUCAUAUGAAGUGCAUGUUACAUAAGGAUGUCAACUAAAAUGCUCUGAAUUCUAAUCUGAAACUUUGAUAAUUUACGCACAGUGGAAUAGUACAAGAUUUAAUCCGGUUAGCAAGUAAAUGGCAUGCAAAAAAUAAGUAAAUAAAUUAAAAAAAAAAAACACAUGCUAUAUGGAUGCUUUGGGCUAUGCUAAUUGUAAUCUGCAAAAAAAAAAAGAAAAAGAAAAUUAAAGAUGUUGUUUGCUUUUGGACUAUGCUAAAUGUACUUUACCGAUUUAGAGGAGAAUUGGGUUGAAUGGUAAAGUAGGAGGGAUUGUAAAUAGAGGGAAUUGAAUUGAAAAUCUCCCAUUCACCCAAUAUAUGUAUGUAUACACACACACACACUAGAGUCUAGAUUGCUUGAUACAGAAUCCGUUUGAUUUGGAGUUUUUUUUUUUUUUUUAAAAUACAUAAACAUUCUAUAAACAUGAUAUGUGUGAGGUAAAAAGAUAAUUCAUAAACAUUUCAAAAAAAUUCUAAAAACUUUUUGAGGAAAACUCACAAUCUACAGUGCUCUUAAUCUGGAUUAGCGAAUUUUUUUUUUUGUUACAUCAUAAACAUGUUUCUAAUCACCAUUUUAAAAAAAAUUUUCAAUCACAUUUUUAUUUCACAUACGUUACAUUCCAAAAGUACUACAUUUUUAUUCCCAAAAAAUCUUCAAUCCAAACAUUAAUGUAAUGUGAAAUGAAGAUAUAUGGAUGCUUUGCUUUGCAAUCUAUUUUCUGUAAAGUAAAUAUUGCAAUAUGUCUAUUUAUACUGACAACUUAAUCAUGACUUUUUUUUUGGUUGCGUUUUUUUGUUUUGGUGGUGCUGGGGGGGGGGGGGGUGUUCCAGGCUUCUUUGAGCUUUUGGGAAGCCAGAAAGGAUACUGUAGCAUGGAUUAUUUUACACGCUUGACCAUGCAUUCAACUUAUUGCUAACUGCCAAUUUGAGGCCUAGUUAUUCAUCCUAAUUUAAACAAUUCUACAAUCAGUUUGACCGUCCUUGGAACCAUGUGGAGGUUAAUUAUUAGUCAAAUCUUGAACUUUAUUUUAGGUUGCAAGUUGCAACUUGAUUGGCUAAUUAGCUCAUCGAGUAUGAUAUACUAUUAAUAUCUGAUUUUAUUUUAUUUUUACUUUGCUGGAAGACAGAGAAUGCAAGUUUUGACCAACAGAGGAUGGCUGGUUUUCAGUUUACACCUUAAUUAAACUAUUUCUUUGCCAUUACAGGAAGAAACCAUGGAGGGGUACUUGUUUUGGAUACUGAUACUGCAGAUUUUCUUCAUUGCUUAUCGAGGCCGAGUUGGUUAUUCUCAUGGAGUUCAAAAGGAUCUCCAGUACAAUCCCAAGAACCAGCCCCAUAGGACAGCCUACCACUUCCAACCUCCUAAAAACUGGAUGAAUGGUAUGUACUCUUAAUCAUGAUUGGGUCCUGAUAACGUUUUUCAACUCUAUGUUAGUCUAAUCUUGUUAAUUCUGGUUUUUUCUUGUGCUUAUUUUAUAUGAUUUGCAUUUGUUAUGGCAAACAUGGUGACUGGUCAAAAACGAACCUGCAGAUCCAAAUGGUAAAGAUUUCCAAGUUCUUUACUGUGUUCCUUCUUGCUGAUCUCAAAAAGAAAUGAUCACAUGAAUUAUCAGUCAAGUGGUUUUUCCGAUAUUGAAUCAGGUGAAACUAGCAUAUUUUGGUCUGACAUUUUUCAUUGUACAUCACACAGGUCCGAUGUACUACAAGGGAAUUUACCAUCUUUUCUACCAGUAUAAUCCUUAUUCUGCAGUAUGGGGUAAUAUAUCCUGGGGACAUUCUAUAUCUUAUAAUCUGGUAGAUUGGAUUCAUAUAGAGCAAGCUAUUAAUCCAACUGAGCCUUAUGACAUCAAUGGUUGCUGGUCUGGUUCUGCAUCAAUUCUUCCUGGGGGAAAUCCUGUAAUUCUUUACACUGGAUCAGACUUUAGAAACCGUCAAGUUCAGAACAUAGCAGUGCCCAAAAAUCUAUCUGACCCUUACCUUAGAGAAUGGAUAAAAUCCGAUCACAAUCCUUUGAUGACUCCAAUGAAUGGCAUUGAUCCACAAUUCUUCAGAGACCCUACAACUGCCUGGGAAGGCCCAGACAAAAUUUGGCGAGUUGUCGUUGGGAGCCAAAUUAAAGGUCACGGGACAGCUCUUUUGUAUCAGAGCAGAGAUUUUGUGAAUUGGACUAGGAGUCAUAGACCCCUUCAUUUCUCAAAUAAAACAGCAAUGUGGGAGUGUCCUGAUUUCUACCCUGUUAGUGUUGAUGGCAUAAAUGGACUUGACACAUCCGUGCAGGGUACAGGUACCAAGCAUGUGCUCAAGGCAAGUUUUAAUGAUCGUGACUACUACAUAAUAGGAACCUAUGAACCAGAAACAGACACAUUUACUGUUAAUCCUGAUUUCAUGGAUAGCAAUGUCAAACUGAGAUACGAUUAUGGAAUAUUUUAUGCUUCUAAAACUUUUUAUGAUAGCGCGAAGAGGAGGAGAAUACUGUGGGGAUGGGUAUUGGAGGCGGAUGGUGAACCAGAUGACAUCAACAAAGGAUGGUCUGGACUUCAAGUAAUAUAGCACAAUACACUAUUUUCUUCAUGUUUGCCGAUGACUCGAUUACUUGGCUUCUUGAUUUGCAUUUUUCUCGCAUUGGUUUUUGCUUAUCAUUUUACUUUCUAGAAGGGUGUUGCUCAUGGUUGAGGCAAGUUGCUAUUAUGCCAAUUCUUUACUAGUUUUUCUAAAGAAAGCAUAUUUCGUUCAUUACGUAGGAACAAACAACAAAUGAAUGUUAAGGAACCAAUAGAUGGUUAGAGUCCUAGCUGCUCAAAAAUCCAUCAACUGAUAUGCUACAUUUAUUCUGCAGUCGCUCCCCAGAAGUAUCUUUCUAGACAAAACUGGAAAGCAAUUAUCGCAAUGGCCUAUUGAAGAGAUAGAGACAUUGCGCAGAAAAGAAGUAAAUCUUCAGAAUAAAGAGAUAAAGGGAGGUACUAUGUUUGAAAUUACAGGUAUCACAGCUUCACAGGUAAGAUAUCAUACUGUUUGUUUCUUUUAUGGGUUAAUAGUUAUUAGAUGGAGUCUGCUGGAGACCUAAUGAAAGAUUUUCUACAUAGGCUGACAUAGAAGUCUCAUUUCACUUGCCAAAUCUUGAUGAAGUUGAAUUGAUGCAUCCCGAAUGGCUGGACCCUCAAUUCCUUUGCAGUGAAAAGAAUGCAGCAACAGGAGGAGUAAUUGGGCCAUUUGGUAUUUUGGCCUUGGCUUCAAAAGACUUGACUGAACAUACUGCUGUCUUCUUUCGAGUAUUCAGAGGCCAUGAUAAUUAUGUCGUGCUUAUGUGCAGUGAUCAAAACAGGUGUGCUUUUCAGCAAUAAUCAACUUCUUCAAAUCAUGUCAAUGAUAGUCGUCGUUCAAGUUUUGAUACCAUUUACAGGUCAUCUUUGAGAGAGGAGGUUAAGAAAUCCACUUUCGGGGCUUUUGUUGACGUCGAUCCUGUAGAGAUGAUUUCGUUGAGAAGCUUGGUACUUACUCAUGGUCCUUCAGUUUACGUUGGCUAUAAUUGUUAACUGAAUUGACCAAUAAAUCGCUUAUGCUAUCUGGUUUUCUUACACUAUUCUAUCCCAGCAAUCAUGCCUGCAUCUAUAAACUUAUGUUAUUCUUUAGCUUCCAAGGCGAGAUGAAAUGGUUAAUCUGCAAUUGACAAACUGAAACAUUCCAUCAUUUCCGUUCUCUUUGUAACAGUGUUACAGUCCAGACAAUAUUCUGACUAGAUGUUUAUGCUCUUUCCACCAAGAAAGACAAAGGGGAAGAUUUUUCUGUUCUUAGAAAUAAAAAAUUUCGGUUUAUACUUUACAGUAAUGUUUCUCCCUUUUUUGGCAGAUCGACCACUCAAUCAUCGAAAGUUUUGGAGGUGAAGGAAAGACCUGCAUCACUGCUAGAGUCUACCCAAAGUUGGCUAUUGGCAAUGAAUCACAUGUUUAUGUAUUCAACAAUGGGACAGAAAGUAUUAGAAUCUCCAAUUUAAGUGCUUGGAGUAUGAAAAGAGCUCAAAUUUUUGCAUUGCAUAAAAGAAGAAAGCCUGAAAUUGAUUAAGAAAUAUGUUUCGUUGGAAAUACACUUGAUUGAUUUGUUACUAUCCAAUUCAAGCUUCUUCGAUCUUCCGUUGUUUUCUGCUCCUUACAUAUUUUUUUAUUAAUCUGCAACUGAAAUAUUCGUACAUAGUACUGUUUAAGUCCAGGCAAAAAUGGGGAAAAAUGUUGCUGUUCUUGGAAGUUUACAGUAAUGUUUCUCCCUCGUUUUUGCAGAUUGACCAUUCAAUCAUUGAAAGUUUUGGAGGUGAAGGAAAGAUCUGCAUCACUGCCAUAGUCUACCCAAAGUUGGCUAUUGGCAAUGAAUCACAUGUUUACGUAUUUGACAAUAGGACAGUAAGUAUUAGAAUCUCCAGCACAGUGCUCGGAGUAUGAAGAGAGCUCAAAUCUACCCAAAGCCGGCUUUGCCUUGAUAAAAGAAUGUUACACAAUGGUGUCAGAUUUCGGUUACUAUUUAAUGAUUACCAUACAUAUGCACGUAUGUAGCUGUGGUAAAUGUGGAAGUACAACAUAUAACCAAAAUAGAGCCUAAACGAGCCGAGUGGAGAUUGCACAACUCGAGCUCUAGGCCUCUUUGAAUUACCAUUUUCUAGAGUUUUUGUUAAAAAAAUGUACUAUAGUGAUUUGAUACAUAUGAGAUAAAAGGAUGAUUGAAAAAUAUAUUUACAAAAAACGUAGAUAUUUAGUUUUAAGUUUCUUGGCCUUUACUUCGUCCUUAAGUAAUAUAAAAUUAGUAUUUUAUAUAAUUUUAAAAUUAAUAUAAAUUAAUAUUUUAUAACAUUUCAAACAAGAGACACAGUAUAUAUUUCAUGCUAAUAUACAUAAAACUUUAAAAUAGACAUUCUCAAUGAGAUUUCAAACUUUAUAUAUGAGGUUUGAACUCAAACUAGUCAACCAAUUUAAAUUGCUCGAAUUCAAACUAUUCGGGAAAAUAUCUAAAUGUAAUGGUGUAAUAAUUGUGAUGGUCUGUUUUUAUGUGGUAAUUCAUGCCUAUAAGAUACCGUUAGAAAAAAAAUCCAAAUUUAAAUUGUAAAUACAAAAUACUAUACCUUCCAUUACAAUAUGGAUGAAAGGGAUGAUUAAGAACUAGAUAAUAGACACCCACAUAUUAACUUUCAGUGUUUAUUAUAAAUAAUGUCAAUUGUAGUCUUGUUUUGUGAGAACCCGUAAUUUUCUUAAUUGCUAGGUUUUAUUUUCUUUUAAUUGCACGUUUUUCCACAUUUUCUUAUUUGGAAAAUCUUAAAAAUAAUUUUUAUGAGUAAAUAUGAUUUUUAAAUAAUUUAUCUAGUAUCGCAUAGUUUUUGAAGAAUUAAGAGCAUAUACCGGACGUGGGAUCCACUAGGGCGAAAAGUUCGGAAAAUUCGGCCAACUAGGUUAAGUUUCGGAUAUUGGUUUAAAUUACCGGGUGUUGUGAGAUAAUUAGAGGUUGCUAUGUGGAUUGAUGUGAGAGGGAACAAAGGGAUAGAGAUACAUUAAUAGAGUGACAAGUGUCACUUGGCCAUUGGUUGCACUUUUUGACUACUAUUCACACUUUUACCAUUUGGUUAAAAUAACUCAAAAAUUGACCAAAAAUUCACUCAAAAUUUGCUCUUCAUAGCCGGCCCUCUCCUCCAAGAAAGAAAGGAAGAAAACUCUUCAAAUUCUUGCCUCCAUCUUGCUCAAAUUCAACUAAUCAACCACUUAAUCUUGCUUUUGUUCCAUAGAAACCUUUAAGUGAGUGAUUGUGAGGUGUUUGGUGAAGUUGUUUGGAAAGCUAAGGUGACAAGUUGCUCUCUCUCUUGUUUUACUAAGGUGAGUAGUGAAGGAACCCCUCUCCUCCACCUAAUGAAGUUAAAUUUUUGACUUGUGGUAGUUGAAGUAAUGAUUUUUGGUGUUAUUCCUUGAUUUUUGGUUGAAUUGGUGAAAUUUUCCAUUUAUGGGUGAUUUUUCUGUUUUAAUAUGAUUGUUAUGGUGUGGCUAUGUAUGAUGAUUGGAAAUGAUCUAGAAUAAAGUUAGAAGGUGGAAAAAGUGGUUAAUUGCAGGAAAUUUUUGUUUUGGAAGAAAAUUGGAAAAGUUAGGGUUUCAUUACUCUACAUUCUGCCCGGCACUGUAGCUCAUAGUUAGAGGCCGAAUUGGCCUUGGGUUAAAACAUGAAAGUUGUAGGGAAUGAUAUUUUAGAGAUGCCUACAAAAUUUUAGGUCAAUCGGAGUAGCGUAUCUUAUGAAAAGACCAAAAUACCCCUGCUACCCUGGUUUCACCUGAACUUGAGAAUUGCUUCUGUAAUUGGUUAUUUUGGCUGGGAAUACUUCUGAACUGAUUGUUGAGGUCUUCUGAAGAAAUGUAACCUGAUGUCUUAGCUUUCGGAUGGCUUUGGAAUCACCUGAUUUGGACUUAGGUAGCCUAACUUAUGAUGUUUGAACCAGAAUGUGGUUUGUCCAGCAGGUUUUGCGGUUCUGGUCUAGUAUCUUGCAUUUUUGACCUAGUUGUGAUAUGAACUGGACUGAGUGACCUUUUGCAAUAUUGUAUCCCUAUCUCUUAUCUUCGAAACGAUGGGUCUUGUACCUCCAUCCGAUAAUCGUAGUGCCAAUGGUGCCAAAACCGCAAAAUGACGUCAAAAACUGUUUUUAUGGUGUAGAGCUUAAUUCCAUUUCCGGAAAUGUUUCUAGCUUGAUUUUUGUAUUUAUAUGACUUUUAGCCUAGUGAACGGCUUUUGGAAAUGAGAUUAUUCUGUAUGAGAUAUUGGGACUGAUUUGAGGAAAAUAAUGAAGCCAUUAGUGGUUGGAAAAAUAGGUAAACACAAAGGGCAUGCUGCCCAAAAUUUUAGGACUAUGUGAUUUCCUUCAAUUGAAUUGAUCUUAGUACAAAUGAGGGGUUUUAGGGGUUGUUUAUAACCCUAGGACCAACUGUUAUCUUUUGCUCUAUAUUAGUACUUAACCUAGGAAAGCAUACGACAUCUAGUCGAGCCUUACUUAUGCAUUCCGUUUACUCGAUUUUAGAUGUGAAACCUUCAAUUGGUUUACUUUGAUGAUUUUAGGAUUUCUUGGCGAUUAAAGCCAAUCCGAAGUGAAAACUUUUGAAGUGUUUGUAUUUGAACCGGUGAGUGUACCACUCCCCUCCAUUGCUGUUUAACUUGAUUUCUGCCCUGCAAUCUGUGAUUUAAAUGACUGCACUAUCUGUUUAAUUUGUUAGAGACGAUGGUGUACUUUAUCACACUCAUUCUCUUGUCUGUUCAUAUGCCAAUUUUGGUGCGAAUCUGAAUCUGUAUCUGUAUCUGAUAUCUGUAUCUGUAUCUGUUCGGACGUCGUUUGGAAACUUGUAUCCAACGACCUUUCUGUGACCUCUGAACUCAACCCCUGUGGCAAGUUACUCGAGUCUGGCCGGCAAGGGCCUGGCCGAUUAGAAAACGAACCACGGUAGUCUGUUUUGAGAUCUUUGGGUAUUGAGACCCUUGAUUCCGGGUAUACUCGAGUAUUACCGCUUCUGUUCUGUUCGAUGUUGGGGCCCGGUAGGGGUAUGUGAAGUGGAAGGAGUCGGAGAAAGUGGAGUCUAUGGUAUUGGUUACUUCUUUAACGUUGACGGAGUGUCAACUAUUAUUUCGAUCAAAUCGGUGAAGCAAAUGGGAAUUUAGCUCCUGAGAGCCACCCAUAUCCUUUCUGUCUAUGGUGUUUGUUCUGUUUGUUCACUUCUUUAUUUGAUUCGCAUAUGUGAUUAAUUGACUGUGAAAUUCCAUGUUUCUUACUUGCUUUUGGUACCUCAUUGAGCGUAAGCUCACCCCCUUCCCGUUAUCUUUGUUUUCCUUACAGGGAACCACUUUUGGGGCUAAGAUGUUUUGAAGCACAAGUCGAACUAGUUUUAAUAUCUUUUGUAAAGCUCCUCAAUAGUUGGAAAAAUUUAAAUGUAUUUUCAUCCAAUGUUUUCUUUUGGUUGGUAAACUUAUUAAUAUGUACAUAUUAAAGUGUUUCCUCAUGUUUAUGUGAAAUUUGUAUUUCGGAAUGUACAUCCUCUCAUGUCAUAAUGGGUACUUGUACCUGGUUGGAUGAUGACGUGGUAGCGGCCCGUCCAAUUCGAUUUGAUUCUUAUAGUUUUAUUCCGAUUUUGUUUGAGUGAACGAAUGAGUUCCGACGAGAGUUGGGCAAGCAGUCCGCUAAUCUCUUUAGUUCGCCUUAGGGGAAAGUGGGGCUGUCACAUGUUUAUUGUAUUUUAUAUUAACUAGUAAUACUUCACGUACUUUUGCGCAUGAUUUUAUCAUCCAAAAAUGUAGUAUUGUUAGAUGCUAAAUUUUUUUUAUAAUUUUGAUUGUCAAUUGCAUAAUAUAAUAUUCCAGUAUUUUUCAUUUUCAUUAACCAAUUCUUUUGAAUGCAUUAGGUCAUAAGCUUUCUCUUUUUGUUUUUUAAAGCCUUUAGAGAAUUUAUAUCUUUUAACGCUAACAAACAAAUGUCAAUACAGUCAUGUUUUAUCAAAGUCAUUGCACACUUUUAAUAUCAUUAUACUUAAACCACAAAGGUUAAAAUGUAACAUCAAUUUUAAAAAGGAUAAAUGUAAAUGAAUUAGUUUAUAUUAGUUUUAUAAUUCCAACUCAACUAUCAUAUUAUAUGUUUAUCUCAGUCCUUUCUUCCUUCUGUUCCUAACAAACUCAUUUUCUUGCCGAAGUGUAAAUCAGAACCAUCAAACUAUAAUCCUUAAAAACCAGUAAGAUUUGACAAAGAUACAAAAUGCUUUAACAUAAUCAUUAAUAUUUCAAAUAAUAUGGCAAUAUCAACACCUUAGCUUACAUACCUUUUUUUUUAAGACAAAGAAAUUGUAAUAGUAGAGUUAGAAUAGGUUGAUUAAUUUAUAGAUUUUGACAUAGUAUCAAUACUUGAAACAAUAUGCAUAAUAUGUUGCUUGCCAUUUUUUUUUAAGGACUAAAGUAAACAGAUUGUUAUAGUAGACAUUGUAGAGUAAAUCUUAAGUCUUGCAUAAAUGUUUCCAUGUUCUACCUUUAUUAUUUUCAAGUAAUAUGAGCUAAAUUUGUAAGUGAUGUAAUAACAUGGUUCAAUACGAAAUCAGAUGCAUGUUUCUUAAUUUGAAUAGAUAUAAAUUAUCUUCAUAUUAUUCUUUUUUUAGUGUUAUUUUUGUUAAUAACGAAAUAUAAAUUGUCCACCAUAUUCAAUUGUUUCUCUGUUCCUUUUUGUUAAUUGAAAUUUUAUUAGGAGAGAUAUUUGGACAUACUUUUUUCUUCAUUUUUAAUGCUGUUUUUACUUCACUUGUAUGUUAUUUUUUUUUUAGCUGACUCUAUUAAAAAGAGUUAAUUACACUUUACUUGCCUGUACUUGGCCGUGAGUAGCAUUUGGCCCCCUAUACUAAGAAAUAUACACUUUAUCCCUCCAUGUUAACAUCUUGAGGGUUCUAAAUCAUAUCAUCAAUUCUCAUUCCAAGACUAACCCUAAUUGAAAUUUUUACACAUGGAGUACAAUUUGUAACACUAUCCCAAUGGUCACAUUGUUAUCUGUUGCUCGAUAUUCUCUGCAAAUUUGGCUAUAAAAAAGCAAAUUGAACUCUUGCACAUUCCAAACUAAAAAAGCACUUUAUUUAGCCACCAUACCAUUUGAUAAACAUCCAGAAACCCAACCAAAAUACAUCAACUAGAAAAGCAACUAGAAAGCAGAAGAUGCAUAAAGCCUCAUGCUCAUCUCAUUGUUCAUUACAAUGCUUAAUCAAGAAAGGAAAUACUUUGACAGAUAGGUUACACUCCCACCUUAAUUCUCCCUGUCACUUCAUCAAUUAAAGGGCCAUCAAUUAUAAUAGAGCAAAUUAUCCGGUUAGCCCAUUAAAUUUUUGUAAUCGUCGAGUUUUGGCCAUUCAACUAUUAAAAAUCUGGUUUUGACCACUAAAAUGUAUAAAGUUAAGACGUGAGACCAUUCUGUUAUAUUUAGCCAUUAAAUUCGCCGAUCUGUCUAUCCACGCGAUUUCCAAGACAAAAGGCAGGGUCAAUUUAGGAACACUACGCCAAUCAGCAUUUCCAUCCGGAUAACUCUCAUUUCUCAGGUCACAAUUUCGGUCCCCUUUGCUGUUGUUCCUUUUCACAUCCCAAUUCUUUAGCGAAUCUCCUCCGUCACCCAUAUUGUAGCGGUCAUCGUCUUCUUCGUCCACGUCUUGUUCUUCAUCUUCUUGAGUUUUGAAGUUGUCGUCGUCAGAGUCGUCGGGGGAGUGAAGAACAGAGGCAUCUUCGGCGUGGCAGAUGGAGCCGAGAAGGUUGAGUAAGCAGUUGGCGGUGACGCGUUGGAUCAGAUCGGAGAAGUUGGAGACCUUGGUUGUGGUGGCGGGCAUUUUGUUGAUCCUGACUGAGUUUGUGCGACUCGGGCUGCCAGUCACUCAAGAGUGGGCAGUGGCAUCAGUAAAAUGUGUGAGUAGUAGUAACUAGUAGGAUUGUAGGAUUAGUCAACGAGUUAAAGCAUUUGUUUGGUAUAGAACAUUUUUUUUUCUUCUCUUCUCGGUAGAGGCUCGGUUUAGAUUUAUGGUUAUUUUAUCUUGGUUAUUUUGUCUGUUAUAUAUUUUUUUUAAGAGAUUUUCUUGGUUACCACUCACUAGGAUUCAGUUAGCAAAUAUACGAGUGUUACCAUGCCAAAGUGGAGUCUUGCAAAAAAUAUUUUUUAAGGGAAGCACUCACUGCUACCGGUAGCGGUGGAUGUGAGGGGUGAACAUAGUGAGACUGGGAUGUUUCCUCCGUCUCCUCUAGGAUGGUGAUCUUGGAAUUUGCAAGCACAACGAAGAAUUUGACGCUCGGAAAUCUACUAGUGGCGUUGGAGGAGUGAUGUUUGAAGUGGAUGAAAAGGGUUUGACAAAGAUUUGAGGAUGGGAGGAAGAAGAGCGACAAUUUUUGAGAGAAGCAUUGAAUGCUAUGUCGAACUUCCUAAAUUGACCUUGUCUUUUGUUUUGGAAAUCGCGCGGACAAACAGAUUGACGAACUUAACGGCUAAAUCUAACAGAAUAGCCUCGCGUCUUAACUUUAUACAUUUUAGUGGUGAAAACCAGACUUUUAAUAUUUGAAUAACCAAAACUCGACGAUUGCAAAAAUUUAGUGGCCAACCGGAUAAUUUGCUCAUUAUAAUAUUACGAGAGGAAUCAUGAUGGCGCAAGAUAGGAGUAGUAGUUUUGGAAGAAUUUUAAAUGUUUUUAACUUGUUACUGAUGACAAUUAAGAUUAUUUAGUCUUUUUUUGUUUUCUUUUUUAAACGUCACAUGAGGUUUUAUUUUUUAGACGCUACUAUUCUUGGCUAGUGGAUAAAAUUGUCUAUACAAAUAAUAUAUAUGGGCAUUAAUAUCAGCUCACUAAUUUUUUUUUUACGAAAUUCUAAAAUCUAAUGUCAGUAUGAAGUAAAAUGUAUAUAUUCUAAGUUUAAGGGAGUAAAGUGUUACUUAACCCUAACUUCAGGAGGGUAAAGUUUAAUUGGCCCUAUUAGAAAGCAUACGCAAAGCAUAAGUAAGGACUCCUGUGUCCUAAGAGUACUUUUUUUAAAAUAAAGGUUAUGAAAUUUAUAUUAAAUAACAUAUAUAUAUAUAUGUUAUAUAUACACAUACACAUGCACAAAGCCAAAUUUGAGACGGAUUGCAGUAGUAGUCAAAGAGUUUUAUAUUCAGCAACCAUUAUUAUUUAUCAUAAUUCAAAAUUAAUGUUUCAUUUUUGUAAAUGUUAUCACAAUUUAAAUAUAGUGAAUAUGAUUAAUGGACAAUAGGUAGUUUGGAUAUAAUGAAAAGGACAAACUUCAAUUUGUAUCUUAGAACUUGUAUCACUUUCCUAUUUUAUACCCUAAAUUUUAAAUUUGAACACUUUGCUCUCUAAACUCUCAAUUUUAGAUACUUUGCACUCUAAAUUCUCAAGUUUUUCAUAUUUAAAUCCAAUCAAUAACAUCUUUUGCCAAAUUAAUGGCAUAAAGGAUCCAACAAACUAAUAAUAAUGUGCCAAAAGUAAUCAAAAGGUGUCAAGGUAUCAGAACAAAAAUAAAACAAUGCAUCAUCAUUAUUUUGCACCAUCUUUUAUCUUAUUAAUUUGGCUAACAAUAUUAGUAAUUGAAACCAUAUAAAUAAAGAAUAAUAUGCUAAAAAUGUUCAAAAAAAAACUAAGAGAUCGUAGUUGGAAUAAACUAGUACCUUGUUAUUAAUUUUUAUUGUCAUUUAUCUUGUUAAUUUUGUGAAUGUCAUCAUUGAUUAGAUUUAGAUGGGACAAAUUUAAGAGACUAAGGUGCUGAGUGUCUCAAAAUGAAGUUUAUGAUGUAAAGAAAGACUGAUAUAAGUUUAGGGGUACAUAGUGACAUAAAUCCUAAUGAAAACUAAGACAAUUUUGUGCUUGCAUCCAAAAUAUCAAGUCUCACGGUACUUUAUGUAUAAAUAGAUAAUUUUUUUAAAAUUAGACGGCAACAACUAAUCUUAUCUACUUCUAGUCCUACUCUAGCUCACACUAGGGAAGGAGAAGCCCAACAGUAACUAGCUUAAUUUAUUUCUAGUCCUAUUUUAGCCUACACUAGGGGAGGAAAGGCCAACGAAGUUUAAAGAAAUCGACGGAACUGAACUACCAUUGAACCAGCUAGCGUAGUCUACUUCUAAUCCUACUCUAACCUACACUAUGGAAGAAAAGGCCCAACAGAGCCUAGAGAAAUCGACAGGAGAUGGCAACAACUAAUCUAAUCUACAUCUAGUCCUACUCUAGCUUGCACUAGGGAAGGAGAAGCCCAACAGCAACUAGCCUAGUCUACUUCUAGUCUUAUUCUAGCCUACACUAGGGGAGGAGAGGCCAACGAAGUUUAAAGAAAUCGACGUGACUGAAGUACCAUCGGACCAGCUAGCGUAGAAAUCGACGGGAUUGAACUACCAUCGGAUUAGACGAAUGUAUUAUGUACCCGUAUAGAUUUAGAAGAAACCACACAUAGUGACACAUUAAUAGUAGGUAAGGUUUAAACCCUUGAUCUUCCAUUCUACCAAAAUUUAAAAUCUUUAGUGGUUGCCAACGGUCCAAAGGGCUGUUAGUUAUGUAUAAAUAGAUAGAUAGACUGGUAUUUUACUUCAGUUAGGAAGCUAGAGAUUGGAAACUCUAUAUUAAUUAUGUUAAUUGGUGUCUUUAGUUACAUAGAAGUCUCAUUUCACUUGCCAAAUCUUGAUGAAGCGGAGUUGAUGUAUCGCAAACAACUGGAUCCUCAAUUUCUUUGCACUGAAAAGAAUGCAGCAACUGGAGGCCAUUUGGUAUGUUGGCCUUGGCUUCAACGCAGUUGACUAAACAUACUGCCGUCUUCUGUUGCGUACUCAGAGCCCGGAGGCCAUGAUAACUUCGUCGUGCUCCUGUGCAGUGAUCAAAGCAGGUGUGUCUUUCAGCAUUAAUCAACUCCUUCAAGUCAUGUCAGUGAUAGUCAAAGUCCAAGUUAUCUUUGAGAAAGGAGGUUGACAAAUAUGCUUUUGAGGUUUUAGACUUUCUGUAGAGAAGAUUUCACUGAAAAGCUCGGCACUUACUCAUGGUCCAUCAUCUUACUUUGGCUAUGUAUCUGAAUUAACCGGUAAAUCGCUAUUUCUUUUACGGAAAAAAAUUGCUAUUUCUUCCAGGUUUUGUUACGCUAUUGCAUCCAAGCAAUCUUGUCUGCAUCCAUAAACUGGACAUUUUCCCUUUGGCUUCCAAGGCGAUAUGAGAUAUUUUAUCUGCAAUUGACAAAUUGGACAUUCAUGAUAUUAUUCAGGUUUUCUUAUAUUUUUUGUGCUCUUUCCACUAGGAAGGAAAACUGAAAAAAAAUGUCUAAGUUCUUGGAAGUUUGAUUCUCAGUUUGAAGUAAUAUUUCUCCCUUUUUUUGGCAGAUUGACCAUUAAAUCAUAGAAAGUUUUGGAGGUGAAGGAAAGGCCUGCAUCACUGCUCGAGUCUACCCAAAUUUGGCUAUUAACAAUGAAUCACGUGUUUAUGUAGUCAACAAUGGAACAGAAAAGUGUUAGACUCUCCAAUUUAAGUGCUUGGAGUAUGAAGAGAGCUAAAAUUUUUCCAUUGCAUUAAAGAAGAAAACCUGAAAUUGAUUAAGAAACAUAUACCACAUGAAAUAUAGUUCAUUGAUUUGUAGAUAUUGAAUCCAAGCUUGUUGGGUUUUUCAUUGUUUUCUGUUUCCUUGAUUUUUUUUUAUAUCCAUUUCUUUUUGUAUGAUUACCAUUAACUCAGCUUCAAGACUUCAAAAAAAAGUGGUCUAGCUACUUAGGGUUGGCAAUUUUCGACACGACCUGAAAAUACGACACGAACCUAACACGAAAUUAAUGGGUUUGGGUUGAGGUUUCGGGAAUUCGGGUCAGAAUCGGGUUGAACCCGAUGAACCCGAAAAGAAAACAGGUCGAUUUCGGGUCAACCCGUGGUGACCUGAUAUGACCCGUUUACGAAUUAAAAAUAAUUUUAUCUAACUAAACUAAGUUAUUCUUUUUUUCAAAGGCAUUAAUUACUUAAUCCUAAAUGAAUUUAUUUAAUUUGUGUGAAGUUGAAAUUAUUAUAUUUGGACAAAUAAUAUAUUAUAUUAUUUUUUACUUUUAUACUGUUUUAAUUUAUUUUAUAUUUUGUUUGGGAUAAAACAAUUUUACGGUGUUUAAUUUAUUUUAGAUUUGGUUUGGAAUUAUUUAUUUAAAUUUUUAUUACUUGAUUAUGUAAUUAGUUUUGUGAGAAAUUAAUUUUAUUAGAAAUUACAGUGAUAAAUUAAUAAAUUAAAAUUAAAUUUCGGCUCAUUUCGAGUCGACCCGCCAACCCGUCAACCUGAAAUUUUCGGGUUCAGGUCAAUAUACCUGACCCGUCACGGGUUGGCGGGUCGGAUUCGGGUCAAUAGAUUUUCUGAUGGGUCGGGUCAGACCCGACCUGUCAACCUGAUUUGGACCCGAAUUGCCACCCCUAUAGCUACCGUAGUUGGCCUUGAACUCAAACUAUAAUACGAGAUUUAAAAUAAGAUUAAGUUUUUAUAUAUUGACAGUGUAUACAUUGUUAUAUUUGAAUAAGUGCCACAUAUGUCGAAUUUGAAUUUCAAAACUAAAAUUUACUUAUGUGGCAUUUAUUUAAUCGUGAUAGUAUAUAUACUGUCAGUGUAUACAAAAUUUACUCUCUAAAAUAUAUAUUGCAAAAAUGAUAGAGCAAUUAUUGGGCAUAUUUUGCGCUGUUAUUCUAUCUUCAUUUUGGUUACUUACUGUGCUAUAUUGAGAUUUUGCUUAUAUUUGAUGUUUGUGUAAAUUGUAGGUGGUCGGUAUCAAAAGUGAUCUCCCGAGAUAAAUUUUCAGAAGACUCUUUAUUUCAUAGCGUGCCCAGGUCAAAAACUGAAGGAAGACAUCUAAAAGACGGACCCCGCGGGAUUGGUAAAGGAACAAAAGAACUAGGAUGCAGCUACUCUCUAAAAGCUUUUGAGCUUUGACGUUUUCGUAAAGCAAGAAGGGAGACGGCCAAUAAAAACAAAGUCAGAUUCACGUCAAAUAAGGAGAUUAGCCUUUGCUUUGCUGGAGAGACGCUUCUUCCUUUCUUGGCGGCGGCUAUUGUGAGGGAUUUGGCUAAAAAUCCAGAUUCACGUGGGAUUGAUCAGUUUAGCUUUUAGUUUUCCUUGUUAGACAAUUUACUCUUUCUUACAUUUUCUUACAGAAAGUAAGAUUUUCGAGAAAUAAAUCUAAUUCCCAACAGCACCUCCAAAAGCCGGCAACUUUUGGAGACGUGCUGGGGACUUAUAACCCUAAACCCAACCCCCCCAGUACCGAUGUUGGAACUAGCACAUCCCCACAGGGGCACCCCGCUGCUAAGACCUAAAGAGACCCCAGACACCCACUGACACAGGAAUUUGCUCUUUCUUACAUUUUCUUACAGAAAGUAAGAUUUUCGAGAAAUUUUCUUACAUUUUCUUACAGAGACAAUUUACUCUAUGCUUUAGGUUUUGUACGAUUUUGGUUAGACUUUUGCUUUUACCUUUCUUUGGUCCUAGUAUGAACACGAAACCCAGAGAUAAGAAAGACUUUUCGUCUGUCUCCUCGUUCUCUCUUCUUUCUCAACUUGUUGAUAAUUGAUUGAAUGAUUUCAAUUAAAUCACGUGAGAUUGAUAUGAUGAGAAGCGGUUAGGUUUUUCCUUUACCCAAAGGUCGACGCGAAGGCGUGGUCCAUAACAUCUGUGAGAUUUAAUCGAAUUUUCAUUAUUUCUUCCAAUUCGUUACUAUUCGUGCGUUUCUUGGGUUAAUUGUUCAUGGGUAUUUUAUUAAUUGAGUAUCAACGGCCGGAUAUUUAAUUUAAUUUAAUAGCUUAUUGUCACGUUAACUAAAUUGAAUCCCUAAUUAUUCAUUUAGUUGACAACUAAUGACAACCAUCAUAAUUGGCUUUGUGUUGGGGAAACAUAAGAUUUAGUUUAAAUAAACCCUCUUAGCGUGUUUAUUGGUUAGGAUUGAGUUCUUCUAGCAGCCAACGGUCGUACCUUUGCUGUUGAAAAAGUGAGGAAGAAUUGGCUGUCAGAGAUUGUUUAUGGCUAUAACCAAUCUAAUGAUGAAUGAAUGAAAUAUUUUUGCAUGAUGAUCAGUUAAUUGGACCGUGCCUGAAAAGUUGAUCUUUUGAGUAGACUUUUAUUAAUUGCUAUUUUUAGUAAAUUGUAUUUGGUGAGUUAGCUUUUGAAUUUUGUUUAUUUUAUUUUUAUUUUCACUUCAUUAAAUAUCCCCCAAUUUUGUUCUAUUGAUUUGGAAAGAAACAACUUCCUACCCGUUCCCUGUGGAAUCGACUCUACUUGCCAUUAUACGCAAAUUUAAUACUUUUAUAGGCAAUUCUGGUAUAUCGAAUCAAGCAAACUUUUCGGGGACAGGGUGAAUCAAGUAACCCAUUGCACACCUAAGGUUCCUGCUUCAGUACUUGAAUUUAUUCUAUAAUUAAUUGUGGUGGUAACUAAGACUUUUUAAUAAUAAUUAUUGCACAGAUUCGACACCUGUCAAAAAAGUUUAAUAAGGGAAAGGAAACUCGAGUAUGGCUGCCUUUGAGCAGCGUUAUACAUCCCGUUUGGAUAAGGACUCCAAUUACUCUCCUACUGUGCCUAAGUUUAAUGUUCUUGCCAUGGAAUACAUAAUUCCCGUACUCUUUUAUCUUAGCUUCAAAUUUAUCUUCAACUCUUAUAUGGGACGAGGGCCGUCAAUGAAGUCGAAUGUCCUUAGAUCUGUUAGAAAAAGAAAAUUGACAUCUUAUAGAUUAUAUUAGGUUGGGCAAAGUAUGUGUCUGGAUAUAAGACAUAAUUUUAUUUUCGAGCUUCAUUAGACUUGACCCAAUUAAAGUCAGGUCCAAAAAAUUACACAUUUUUUUAAAGCAAGGGCAGGGAAGGGGACUCUAAAUUCUAGUGUUUCAAUUUUAACCACUAAUCACUAUCAACGCCUUCUUAGCACCUAAAAAUUAUACGUGUAAGUAUAGAGAGUAUAUGCAUUGUCACAUAUAUAUAUAUAUAUAUAUAUAUAAUAAUACGUAUUACAUAUAAAAAGACAUAUGAAUAUUAAAUGCAUAUUAUAUAUAAUUAUGUAUUAAUUUUGAGUUCAGGCUGAGUGCAAUAUUUUUGUGAGUUGAAUUCUUUUAUGAUUUGAGUUUGGACAUGUCAAAACUCAUCUCAAGAAUUCGGAUUGAUAGACCUAUGUAAUAGGAAAACAAAGUAUCAUAACCUCAAAUUAUUAUCUUUUCCAUGAGCAGUAAAUGACAAUUAAGAGAGUUGUAAAACUCCAGUUAUAAAAUGCAGUAUCGAAUAAUAGCAUAGACAAAAGUUUGUCACAAGUCCUACUGGCUUAGUCCAGAUCUGAUUGUUGUGCAUGGGAAAUGAAGUUGAACGGGCAUAUCCAAGCCAGUUUUACUACUACUAAACUGAUAUGUAUAUAUCAACGGUUGGAAAGUGUGCAGAUCCUUCUGAACGCUCAACCAAUUGGCAUAUUUUUAGCUAGGUAGCUAGCUAGCUUCCAAUUUUAGUUAUAGUCAUGGGAGCUGAUGAGGAAAUUCUUAUGCCCAUAUGGAGUUUAAAUUUUAUCAGAUUUGUCAUUACAUGUACUUUUGAAUUCCGGGUCAAUUUUACAAGCUGCAAGUUGACUGUUUGAUAGAAUACGAUGCUAUGUACCUAUUUUGGCGGGACGCAUAGGGGAUAACUUCUUUACAGAUUAAACAGAGAGUACAAGCCUCCUAAAACUCCAUCCUUUUCCAGCAGUUUCGCCCCUUCUCAGUUCAUCAUCUGAAGAAAACAUGGAGGGAUCUUUGAUCUGGAUUCUCGUUGUACACAUUUUGGUGAUUGCCUAUCAAGGUGAAGUCGGUGCCUCUGAGCGAAUUCAGAAGAAUUUCCAAUACAAUCCCAAGCAGCCGUACAGAACAGCCUACCACUUCCAACCUUCUAAAAACUGGAUGAAUGGUGCCAUGUCUUUCCAUUUUCACGAAUGCUAUAUUCUACCACUGUUUUUUUUCAAAUUUAUGUGUACCAUUUUGGUUUCUUCUUGUGCUAAUGUAUACAAAUUUGCUUGUGCCAUUUUGCAUGCGUCAUGGCGAAAAUGGUGAUUGUGCCACAAUUUGAACAUGUAGAUCCAAAUGGUAAGAUAUCUAGGUUCAUCUUUUACCUCUACUUGCUAAGAGCUUCAUUUCCACGACUUGGGAGAACCUUUCAAUUAGUGAAACUAAGAUGUAUGUAUAUGGCGCAGGUCCAAUGUACUACAAGGGAAUUUACCAUCUCUUCUACCAGUACAAUCCUUAUGCUGCAGUGUGGGGUAAUAUUACCUGGGGGCAUGCUGUAUCACAUAAUCUGAUUGAUUGGAUCGAUCUUGAGCGUGCUAUUGAGCCAACUGAGCCUUAUGACAUCAACGGUUGCUGGUCUGGCUCUGCAACAAUCCUUCCAGGAGGAAAUCCUGUAAUUCUGUACACUGGAGCUGACUUUAAAAACCGUCAAGUUCAAAACCUGGCUGAGCCCAAGAAUCCAAGUGACCCGUAUCUGAAAGAGUGGAUAAAAGCAAAAAAUAAUCCUUUGAUGACUCCAAUUAAUGGGAUUGAUCCACAAUUUUUCAGAGAUCCAACGACAGCCUGGCAGGGGCCGGAUAAAAGAUGGCGAGUGGUUGUUGGGAGCCAAAUUGAUGGUCAUGGGACAGCACUUCUAUAUCGCAGCAAAGAUUUUGUAACGUGGACUAAGAGCGAAAAACCCCUGCAUUUUUCGAAUAAAACAAAAAUGUGGGAGUGUCCUGAUUUCUAUCCUGUGAUUGUUAGUCGCAGAAAUGGACUUGACACUUCUGUGCAUUCGAAGAAUAGUAAGCAUGUGUUGAAAGCAAGUUUUAAUGAUCAGGACUACUACAUUAUUGGAACCUACAAUCCAGAAACUGACAAAUUUAUCCCUGAUGUCGACUUCAUGGAGAGCUAUUUGAAACUGAGGUAUGAUUAUGGGAUAUUCUAUGCAUCUAAGACAUUUUAUGAUAGUGCCAAGAGAAGAAGAAUAUUAUGGGGAUGGGUAACUGAGGCGGAUGAUAAAUUAGACGACAUCAAGAAAGGGUGGUCAGGACUUCAGGUAAUUUGGCACAUUACUGUUUUACAUUUUGCAAUCUGACUUUUCUGUCUCCUAGUCCUAGCCCAGUCCAUUUACCAGUUUUCUUGCAAUGAAAUUGGAGAUUUUCAUUUCGAAACAAUAUCUUCCUGCUCAAUAUCUGCUUUGCACAGAUCUGUCAUUAUGCUCUACUGAAAAGCACUUAGUUAGCAAAGACAUUCUGUUUAUUUUGCAGUCAAUUCCUAGAAGUAUCGUGCUAGACAAAAAUGGCAAGCAAUUAACGCAGUGGCCAAUCAAAGAAAUUGAGAGAUUGCGCCGAAAAGAGGUUAGCCUUCAGAAUAAGGGGGUCAAGGGAGGAACGGCUUUCGAAAUCACAGGCAUCACAGCUUCGCAGGUAAAACAUGCCCAAGCUAGUACUUCUUCUUCUUUACCCAUUUGUUGUUUGGUCAGGGGAUCAGUGUAAAAUUUCCUUCAUAUAUAGGCUGAUGUAGAAGUCUCAUUCCACCUGCCAAAUCUUCAUGAUGCUGAGUUGAUGCAUCCGGAAAAAGUUGAUCCCAAAAUUCUUUGCAGCGAGAAGAAUGCCUCCACAAAAGGAGUUAUCGGGCCAUUUGGCUUGAUGGUCUUGGCUUCGAAAAACUUGACUGAACGAACUGCUGUUUUCUUUCGGGUAUUCAAAAGCCAUGAUGAUAAAUACGCUGUGCUCAUGUGCAGCGAUCAAAGCAGGUAAGCCUUCUCAAUCCACUCUGCUUCAACAGUAUGACUUACAUAAUAAAAAAAUAUAUCUACUUAAUCUGUAAGCUUUGGUGGUAUUUUACAGGUCUUCUUUGCGAAAAGAGGUUAACAAAUCCAGCUUCGGGGCUUUUGUUGAUGUAGACCCCAAAGAAAACAUUUCACUGAGAAGCUUGGUAAGUUGCUACUCCAUCAAUUAACUUUACCUCUCAAAUGUCAAGUGAAUUAGCUUACUAUGACUAAUGAUUCUCUGUUACAACAACAUUACGUUCAAGUUAGACUUGCUCUGAUAACUAUCACGUAUGAUCAUCACUAUCUGAUUAGAUUAGAGAUUCUUUUUCUUUUUUACAGAAAAAGUUUGUUAAUUGUAAUGCAUUCUUGAUGUUUGCAGAUUGACCAUUCAAUUGUUGAAAGUUUUGGAGGUGGUGGAAAGACUUGCAUUACUUCUAGAGUCUAUCCAGAAUUAGCUGUUGGUCAAGAAGCCCACCUUUAUGUCUUUAACUAUGGGACGAAAAGCGUUACUAUCUCAAAGUUACAUGGUUGGAGCAUGGGAAGAGCUAAAAUUUUUCCAGCACAUGGAAAAAGAAUGUUCCCUAUUCCAAAUUAGUUGUCAUAAAGUUUACCCAUGGCAUCGGUUUUUAUUUGCUGGGAAUCAAACUUAGGUUUCUUUCUCUUCUCUGUGUCAGUAAUUCGCAUUAGUUUGCUUUGCUUUUCAAUUAUGUACCAGUUAUCCAGAAGCAAAUCAAGUCAACCAAAACUUUCAGUAAAUGAUAUUGGGCUUUGAAUCCAACUAUUGUUUCAUAUUGUUUCUUCCUCUUCUUUCUUCAUCUUAGGUCGUUGUCAUUUCUUACAGAUUCGAUUUUAUUUUUAUCUUUAUUUUUUUGACUUUGACUUUGCAUUCUUAUCUUCUACAAAUGUAUUGGAUACAUAUUCCUAUUAACACAUGGUAACAUUUUUCCCCAAUAGCAGUAUGGGAUUGUCAAGAAAUUUCAGAGAAUUCCACAAAUUGUCUCAGACGUCAAGGCAAACAUCACAAACCAGAUGAUCAUUCAUCAGCCUAAGUCAACUCUCUGUAUAAGAUCAUGAUGGAAGCAAUGAGACAGCCUUAGGAAUCUUUUGAAUUUAAAAAUUGCUGAUUGUUUUUUCUUUGGAACUCCAAUGUUGACUUUUCUGAUUUUAGGCCUAAUGGAAUUCUUUCCACAAAGUAUAAACUUAGUAGUUACUGAGAAAGGCUUAUAAAUGCUUACCAUGUCCCUCGCAAAAAUACAAGACCAGAAGCGCUGAAAUUAGAUAUACCUACUCAAGUUGAAGUUGAAGCUUGAAAAUGAGGGAGGCCAACAGUAGCUCUGUGGUGGUGGUUGACUUUUGGGGUAAUGGUUUUGGCAUGAGGGUGAGGAUAGCUUUGGAAGAGAAAGGGAUCAAAUAUGAAUACAGGGAAGAAGAUCUUACAAACCCUCAAAGAAGCCAACUAGUUUUGGACAUGAACCCAGUGAGAAAAUCAGUGCCUAUCCUGAUUCAUCAAGGACAACCGGUUUGUGAUUCUGCAGCAAUACUUGGAUAUAUUGAUGAAACAUGGAAAGAUGGUUUCCCUUCAUUGCUUCCACGUGAUCCUUAUGACAGAGCCAUUGCAAGAUUCUGGACUCAUUUUCUUGACAAUAAGGUUAGACUGCUGUGCUUUUCUAAUGCAAUUUUUUUUAAUAAAAAAGAAACGAAUAUAGCUAUUCUUGAUGGGAUGCUUGUUAAUUGAAAUUGGAACAAUAUCGAAGUAUUUAUGUGUUUUCAUCCAGUAAAAUGAUUUCCACCUUUUUGGUGCUCAGUUUUCGUUUAUUUUCAUUUUUUUUUUUUUGGUAACGGACCGAGUAGUCGAUCAAUUAUUAUUAUUAUUUUUUUUAGAUAAGUUUAUUGACUCUUCCAUUGAUACUCAAGAAGCUGUACACAAGUGAAGGGGCAUACCCUUGAGCAACUUCAGAUAUCAUCAAAUCUUGCUACUUAGUACAAUAAUGUGUUGGGCUUGAGAGUUGAGCCCUGCUACUCCUCCCAUCAAGAGGGAAAAAAAAAAAAGAAGAAGAAUAUUUGUUUUCCAUGUUUAAAGUUUUUUUUUUUUUUGGGGGUAGGUUUUUAGCACACAAGCUAUGUUCUUGAAGAGCAAAAGUGAUCGAGCAAAAGAAGAAAGCAAGAACGAACUGAUUGGAGAGUUGAAGCAACUGGAGGCAGUGUUAGGAGAUGAACAGUACUUCGGAGGUGCAAAUUUCGGAUACCUGGAUGUUGUCCUCAUUCCCUUCUCAAGCAUGUUUUAUGGAUAUGAGAGUCACGGCAACUUCAAACUGGAGGAGGAGUGCCCAAAAUUAUCAGCUUGGGUCAAAAGAUGUUUAGCAAGGGAUAGCGUUCGAAAAGUUCUUCCUGAUUCUGUGGAGAUGUACGAGUUACAUAAAAAAUUCUAUGGAAUUGAGUAGAUUGGCAUCUCUUAGCACAUAUGUUUAAGGAGUGAAGUUCAGAACACUUUCUGAAUCUGGUUCCAUUUUUCAAGAAAUUGUUGAACUUUGCUACAUAUGUUUCAGUUUUCACAGGUGGUUCUGUUUUUGGUUCUCUUAAUAAACCAAAAAGGAAAAAGGAGAAGCGUACUUCAAUAUAUAAAAAUUCUUCGGUGUUUGGUUUUGUACUUCAAAGUUUUAGUAUGCGUUUUUGCUGUUUCGUUUAUUAACCAUUCAAUGAUCCAAAAAGUUUUGGAGGUGGGGAAAAGAAAAGCAUCGAUGCUCAAGCUUUUCCUUGUUUAAUGAUAAAUCCCUACCUUUUGACUCUCUCCUUUUUAGAGGACAAAUAAUUGCUUGGACGGCGAUGUCGUGUUUAUCUGGUGAAGGAAAGCUCAAAGUAGAGUGUCCCAAACUCAAAGGGCACUGACAGAUGAAAGUAACUGGCUAACAUAUUCUGUUAGUUGGAAUUGGAUGGUCACUUAUUAUGGUUUUCUCCAAUUUACUCUUCUCUCAUCUCAUUGUCAUGGGACUAGGGAUAAAAUGAAUCAACUAGUGGGUAUUCCAAUUAGGUUCAAAUUAAGUUCAGUUCAUUAACAGUUUAUUUCACAUCAACUAAUUAAACUAAGGUGCAACAGUAUUUUAUACUCGAUAAACUUUUGAAAUCGGCUUAGCUCGGCCUUAACUUGAUCAAGAUAAAAUUGAAAUUUAUAAAUAAAAAAAAAUUCAAAUUGCUUGAACUUAAUUCAACUCUGAGUGCUGCUCCAUAAAAGUUCGUUUGAUUUCAACCUGAUAAAUAAACAAAUCAAUUCGAACUCGUUAAAAUAAUCAUACAAAAUGAAUAUUAGGAUGUUCAGUUUGAUCAUAUUUGUUUACAUCCUUAGCCUCACGUACUCAUUCAUUUUUCUUCCUUUUUUUCCUUUAUUAUCGUUUGCUUCCAUGGUACUAGGAAAUAAGAUCUUGCCCCUUGAAUAGUUGAAUUAGAUCAUCACAGUCAAUUUCAUCUUCUAGGGUUAGCAAUAACUUCACAUCAACCAUGUGUUCUCAAUAAGAAAAAAAAAAAAACAACUCACAUUGUAAAUAAACUUUCAAGAAUAUAGAGAUGAAACACGUUCACCUCUUCUUCUCUCAGGAAAGGGGGAAAAACGAGAAAUAACAUGUGCUAUCUAUCAAAACAACAUUUAUAUCGUAUUUACACAUCCAAAUUUUUAUUUUUCCAAUCAAAACUUGAAUUAAUGAUACAUGUAUAACUACAUAAUUAUCAACUUAAUCAUGAACUAACUUGAUAGAACAAAAUUAGAUGUACAUAUACAUUUCAAUCAAUAAAAAGCACACAUGCCUAGCUCAUGAUUAAGUUGAUCAUAAUUAGGUACCUCAUGAUUAGUGCUACAUAAUUAUACUAUAUGAUUGUUAUAUCAAGUGAGCUAUUACCACUUUCGACAAAUAAAAGGUCAAGAAAAAUGUAAAAGUCCAUAGAUAACACCUAUGAAACAUUACCACCGAGCUACAGCUUGCGAGCCUUGUUUUUCCUUGGUCGUGUCGAGCUCGAGCUCAAUUUUCUUGAUGAGUCGAGCUCGAGCCCACUUGUUAUUAAGUCGAGUUCGGCUCGACAAGUCCAAAAUUCGACUCGGUUCGGCUCGUUUGCAGCCCGACCACCGACUACGUUACGUACUGUCUUGAAAAAACGCAGACAUAUUUAAAUAUCUAUUAGGCUAAAGAUUGUCAUUGUAUAAUUUUGAGUUAUUGAGUUAUAUUCAUUGGCAUGUAAAUAAGUGAUUUUGAUAUCUAGGUCCUGUUUGGAUUAAGAUUUUUUAUAGUUUUUGGCAGAAAAAAUAUUAUAGCGAUAUAAUAUAGGUAAGAUAAAAAUAUGUCAGAAAUUUUUAAAAAUUUUUUUGCUAAAGCAGAAUUUAGAUAGUAACAAUUUUUUAAUUUGGAAUAUAGAUAACAAUCAUUCUUUGAAAAAAAAAAAAAAACUAUCACUCUUAGGAAAUACAAAUUGAAGGGAGGGUUACCAUAAAAUUUUUCGAAAUGGUUGUUAUAAGCCCCGAGAAUCCUUUAGUUUGGUUUACGGUAAAGUAAUGGGUGAGGGUUCCCUCCGUUUAGGGUUAAGGACACGUGGGACAAAACAGGGCUUGUAUGACGUGGACAAACAUCCGUACUAAAUCCAAUCCAAUCCCUCCCUUCUUCCGACUUCUAUAAAUUCCGCUUUUAUUCCCUUUAAUUAAUAUUUUCCAACCGUGACUUUGUCUCAGUCUCAACAAACGCAUUCGGAAAUGGAAAUUGGUGUACUAAGGCUACCAUUCUCUUCAAAAUUCUGUUAAAUCACCAACCUGACUCGAACGCACGGAGAGCCGAGCCCAACCAAAAGAAAAGCAACAAUCUUGACGGAGAAAAAGUGAGGUACUGAUGAGAAUUAAGAGUAGCCCAGAAGUUAUAUAUUGGCUUGUCUUUUUCAAACAACAAUCGUAGUGGAAAUUUUUCAAGCAUGAACAAAACCCGUUUCCAGGGAAGGCAUAUAUGCUGAUUUAAACAAUCAUAUAUGCAUAUUGUUUUAAAGGGGAGGUGGGUUUUUGAGGGAUUUUAGUUUGGUGCCUAGAUUAAAGAGGGAUGAUGGUGGAGGAUGGUGGUGGUGAGGCAGAAGAGAAAAGUGGCAGUGGUAGUGGUGUUCGGUUUUCAUCGAAGGCGAAGGCUUUGGGUUUAAGAGAAUCAGGGCAAUCAAAUUGGUUGACUAAUUUUCACAGAGAUCUGUUGGCAGGCGCAGUGAUGGGGGGCGUCGUGCACACGAUUGUAGCCCCGAUUGAGAGGGCUAAGCUGUUGUUACAAACCCAGGAGAGUAAUAUUGCUAUUUUAUCUGGGCCGCAUAGGAGGUUUCAGGGGAUGUUUGAUUGCAUAGCCAGGACAAUUAGAGAAGAAGGGAUUCUUUCUCUGUGGAGAGGCAAUGGGAGCAGUGUUCUGAGAUAUUACCCUUCUGUUGCUCUCAAUUUUUCUCUCAAGGUACCACCACUCUUACCCUACUAUCUUGCACUUUCGUUGUGUUUAAAGAUGUAAUUUUAUUCGUGGGUUUUGUUUAAAUUUCAAAGAAAUGGUGAUAUUUUCCGUAAAAGGAAUGAUCCCUUUGGAAUAGAGCACUGUCACAUUUAGUUUUCUGCUAUCUGUUUCUUUGUACCCGUGCACUGUUGCAUCUCAGAUUGUUGUACUUGUUUCUGUUUUGCGGCAUUGAGCAAGUGUUUAUAUUUGGCUUUUCCAGCCAUGUGUCAAUCUUUGUGCCUUAUGGUUUAACAUAUUUCCAGAAAUGAUGAUCUUUAUGAUAAUUUCUUUUGUUGUGGAAAUUGGUUGUGGCUCAAAUUAACAAGAAAAAAAGUUCAUCUUUCUGUGUAUUAUGAUGUUUAGUCACGCAAAAGUUGCUUUUCACUCAAAAUUUGUACUUUAUGUGCCAGUUGUUGGGUUUCUGCGUUUGACCCUGUGGUGAAGAUAGAGCAGGAAACAUAAACUUCUUCUCACUGUUAGUGGUGGUGAGAGUUGUUUUUGUAAGUUGCGACUGAAAAGUAUUUCUUCCUCCUAGUGUUCCAGGGAGAUAUUGAUUCCUGUUGUACAGUAAUGAUGGGUAGGACUGGGAUAUGUUGUUCAUUUAAAGUGUUUUGGUUAUCAAAGCAACUUUUGCAGAUUGGUUAAUUGAUAUGUAGGAUACGCUUAGUUGAUAGAGAAGUUUGAAUGGCUUUGUUAUGAGGAUGUCAAAUUGUCUGAAAAAUUGGCAUUUGUGGUGAAGACAGUUAAUGAACUAGAAUUCUUAAGUCAUUCAAGUUUGAUUCUGUCCUUUUGAAUCUAAUUAGGUAAUCCAGCUCUUGAUGUGCAUCUGUGUCUAUGUCUACUAUAGAUUAUGUGCAUUUGGCCAACUUUCUUCUCAACCUAAUGAUAAAGUGGUGUUGGCCAAGUAAACCAAUACAUAUAGUUCAACAUACUUGUGCAUUUUCUUAAAAUUUAACCCACAAGCUUGACUCUCGGUUUGAAGAUUUUUCACCUCCUCUUUAUGACAAACGCUGAGUGAAGUUAAUACAGUAUUGAAGAUAGCUUGUGCAGAUUUUGGGUUGUUUAAUUCAAAGCUCCACAUGCUAGAAUUUGUUUGUGAAUCAUGCAUAACUGCUACACUGCACCCUGGUAAAAAACACAGCUGGCUAUCAAAGUCAUAAUGUUAUCCCUUACUACUGCUUUAGGGGUCAUUACUGUGUCCGUCUGCACCAACUAAAUAUGGCAAAAAACAUAACGCCUUCGUACAAUGAUAUAUCACAUAAAGACAAAUGGAAGCAAGGGUUGGAACAGGGUACUGUGCUUAAGGCUGCACCUUUGGAGUUUUGGGUGGCAUGCCCUCACAUGUGUAUGCAAAUGUUAGAUAACUGAUAUUGGAAAAAUAAGCAUGUUAAUGGCUUAUUCAGAAUGUGGUUUUAGCAUUGCAAGAAGUCCUUAGAUUCGCAUUCUUGAUUUUUCUUUUGGUGCAAGCUUGUGAAGAUAUUGUUUCUGAGUGCCAAUUCAGCUUAUAAAAGUAUGAUGUUGUGCUGUUUUUUAAUAGCCAUCACAGUGUUUUUAUAAGUUUUGAUGCCAUUUUGUAGGACAAUAACCAUAUGUGCUUGCCUCAAAAUUUUAGGGGCCAUUUGGUAGGGAAUCUGCUUAGCUGAAAGUGGAUUUUGUUUCCUUACCUAAUUCUUAAAUUUGUUGUGCGAUAGGUACAAAUUAAGGUUACUGGCCUAUCAUGUUUUAAAUUUCCCAUGCACAGAUUAAUUCGUGUACAGUUGUUGUAAUCUUAAGGAUUCAAUGGUUUUUUAUCUCCCGCUUAUUCCAUAUUCAGUUCUUACCUGGAAGAAACAACUAGCAGGAUAUGUGAGUUACCGUAUGUCUUUUUCUUUCUUGAAAAUUUGAUGUGUAGGUGGGGACAUAAAGUUAUACCUAGAUCGUCACCAUUUAGCUAUUUUUUUCAAUCAAAAAGUGCAGGAAACCCUGAACUUUGUUACUUCUUCCGUGGCGAAAACCCAGAUAACUUGCUUAUUUGAAAUGGAAAACAUGUAUAAACUGUAUUUAAGCCAACCUCCUGGAGGAAAUCUUGAGUAAACUGCCUUAGGAAAUCUUGCUAUCAACUACUCUGCAAUAAGGUAUUCUAGGCUAAGCGUGCUCAUUGCCUAUUUUUUCUCGUUUUCAGGAUAGCAAUGUAAAAUUCCACCAUUUAGAUCUCAUCCAGCUAGUUCCAGUACCAGGAACUGAAUUUCCCAUGUUGUCCUUGCAUGAAUCCUCAGCCCUUUCAAGACUUGGGCAUUUAUGAACAUCCGUUCUGAUGCUGUUCCCUGAAAGAAGAUUACUCUUGUUUAGGUGAGUCAUAUCAGUUUUUCAAGCGUAUGGGUGGAUAGUGGGUAGUGACUAAAAGAUUUCUUCUAGUGGCCUGAACAAACUUCUUAUUAGAGUAUUAGUGGUUCUUUUCCUUAAACAAAAAAGCCAGAGAAGAGAUAACAUCUUAAAUUUCAGAAAAAUUACUUUCUUAUUAUGAGACCAGGUUGCAAUCAGAUGAAAGAUGACUUUUCAAAGUAAAAAUCUUGAAAAUUUUCUGCUUAUAGAAUCCAGUAGUUGUCCUACAAGGAUAAUGGAUAAAUGGACGAACUCAGAUGUUUUCAAGCUUGAGUUUUCUUAUAACAACCAUGCAUGAUGACAGCAAAAUACUGUAUAUGUCGAUGAUAACAAUGAUUAUGAAAGACUUCUGGGUUCCUGCACUUGAUAUUGCAUCAAUGACAUUGUAUGAAAUAAAUUUGAUGAUUAUUGUCACCUUUGUUAGGAUGCCUCAGUUUCACGCUGGAGGAGCCUUGUUGGUGUUACCUUCUCCUGUCUUCUGAGUUCAAAUACUUUUUGCUGAGUUUAACAAGGAGGAAAGAAAAUAAAAAUAAUCAUAAAUUAUCAUCUUAAUGGUCCUUCAGUUAGUGAUUAAAGUUUGAGCCUGUAGGAUUUGUUAGUUCUUACAUGAUAAGUAGGGAAAAUGUGCAAAUUCAGGUGUUCCUAAAAUCCAGCUAUGGUAAUUGGACACGCAUAAUGCAGCGCUAAGGCUUGAUAUACACUAAUGAAGAUGUCAAGCUGCCAUGCCAUGGGUUACCGGUUGUUGGCUCUUUCUGUAUGAAGGGCUCUUAAAUAUAGGUCAAGAAUGCUUGAUUUUGGUGUUUUAAGUUUAACAACGAUCAAAGAGAGAAAACUAUUAUUAAUCUAUAAUUCCUACUAUAGAUUUCCAUUCAUAGGUUUGUUUGAUCGGGGAUACAUUCAUUUGAAGGUGAAUUUUUCUCAGGGAAAAGCAAAGGGUGGUCUUAGCCCCUAUCCUCUACAGAUGGAAAUUCUUCAUUCUCAUCGUAUUGGACUUUCAAAUUUUUGAUACUUUUUAUCUUGCGUGAGGAAGUUCCAAGGCAGUUAACUUUUCUACUAGUAAUAAACAUGUUACCUAAAUUUUAAAUGCCUCAAGCCAUCAUGAAUGUAUCCUAUAUACCAAGAAGUGUGAUUUUAAAUUCCAACAUGGUAAGGAUAAAUCUGUCCAACUGUUAUCUCUUACCCUUUAUUAUUACUCUUGAACAUUUUCAAAAUGUUAGAAGAGUGCGAAAGGCAAUCAAAUAUCCAUUGCUUGAAACCCUUUUCCAUAGAUCAAGUAGAGAGUUGGGGUGUUUUGGCUGUCGGUAAUCUAAUUUAGGUUGGAACGGUAAGUCGUAACAGCCAUUAUAGCCUUUUGAUAUCUUGAAUGCUGUUUUGUCAUAUGUUUGGAGGGUGAGGAGUAGUGGCUGAUAUAUGAGCCAUGAAGAUGUUAGAACAUGAGGCCUUCCUGCCCAUUCUGUCCAUGCCAUGUGUACCUUUAAUAGGUUCUGAAGUGGUUGGGACAUUCUGACUUCAUGUUUCCCUAAAGAUAGAUGUGUUGAUCUUUCUGGUAUUUUGUCUUUGUUUGCAGCCAUAGAUGUGGCUUGGAUGGAAGUUUCUUGUGUCAAAAAUAAUCUGAUGAUCUAUUUUCCUUGUUACAGUAUCUUGGCUUCCAAUGCCUCGUUAGAUUGUAAAAUGAAUUAGGCUAACAGAUCAUCAGAUUGCCCAAAAUUCAGAAGUCCUCUGCCUCUAUGCCAAUUAUAGAAUAUAUUCUCAUAAUCACAAAGAUGUGCCCGAAAGACUAAGCGCAACUUGGCUGGCUGAUCUUAUCCCUGUCUGGUCAGCUAAAAUGAAUCAUGAUCGUCUUCUCACCUUAUGGUUUAGAUUCUUUAUGGACGUAUCAGAUGUUGUCUCAUUUAAAUUUCUGUCUAUAUAUGUCUUUCCACUGUACUGCUCCUUUAUUGUGGGUUUAAGUCCAUUAAGUCCACUGUCGAUAUGUGACUUUCAUUGACGGUAGUUAGCUUUGCAUUGUCCCUGCUUUUUAACAAUGCAUUGACUGUUUUACUUUGGGAGCAGGAUCUCUAUAAGAACAUCUUACGUGGUCAAGGCAAUCCUCUUAUAUCUGGGCCAUCUGCUAAUUUCAUUGCUGGAUCUACAGCUGGUUGUACGACCUUGGUCAUCAUCUACCCACUUGAUAUUGCACAUACACGCCUUGCUGCUGAUCUUGGAAGGACAGGUACCCGUCAAUUCAGGGGAGUUAGCCACUUCCUCAGUACCAUUUAUGAAAAAGAUGGAAUAAAAGGAAUUUACCGGGGGCUUCCAGCCUCUCUACAGGGGAUGAUUGUGCACCGGGGCCUUUACUUUGGUGGUUUUGACACGAUUAAAGAGAUUAUGUCAGAAGAAACUAAACCAGAUGUGGCCCUUUGGAAGCGUUGGAUAGCAGCUCAAGCAGUUACAACAUCUGCUGGGUUGAUAUCUUAUCCAUUGGACACUGUUCGGAGGCGGAUGAUGAUGCAAUCUGGCUUGGAGCAGCCAAUGUACAGAAGUACAUUGGAUUGCUGGAGAAAGAUUUACAGGACAGAAGGGUUCUCAUCAUUUUAUCGUGGAGCCCUUUCAAAUAUUUUCAGAAGCACUGGUGCAGCUGCUGUUUUAGUUUUGUACGAUGAAAUUAAGAAGCUCAUGGAUUGGACUGGCUUAUAGCAGCACAAAAUUUUUGUAUUCCUCUUUGUUCAUCUCAAGAGUAGGUUUUAGACUAGAGUGCAGGAGUGAUACUGCCCAGCACAGAGAAAGCAGAAACUGAACAUUGAAUGCAGUCGAUACUUGAGCUAUCUUGAGGACCUAAUCAGAUUGAUGUCGAGUUCAAAUUUGAUUUCUUCAUCUCAUAGUAAAUAAAGAGCCGAGUUUUUUGGUAAUUCCUUGACAUCUUUGCUCUCUCUUUUUGGGUUUUUUUUUUCCGUUCAGAAAACAUUGCCAAGGCUUCAUACCGCUAUGGCAACUUAAUAGUUGCUGCCUGUGUACCAAUUCGACCUUUUCAUAUGCUCUUAAUUUCCAUACAUCCGUGGCAGCAAAAUUGGCCGCUACAUGGUAAUAUCCAUCAACACAAAAAUUAUCUCGUCUGUUGUCUUGCAGCCCAUUAGAGGUGAGCUUGUCCCCAAGACGCCCCCACCCUUCCAACCCUGGCGCCCGGGGCCGGGGGGGGCGCCUCCGUAUUACCAUUGUAAGGUUUAGAAUCUCUUCUUGACCAAAAGUUUGUACCCACUUAAGAGUUAAAACUGGAGCAUGGAGGCGACUGGAGGUAGAGGGUAAUUCCUCACAUAUCAGACCAUACUUGUACGUCUGUCUGUCAUCGAAAAAGAAGACUGGAAAUAACCGCACAAAGAAUGGUUUCUAUAUAUAUAUAUAUAAUGUAAGGAUUUGAUGUAUGUGAGAUAAAAGGACAAUUGAGAGAUGCGAUUUGAUGUAUAUGAGAUAAAAAAAUAAUUGAGAGACGCGUUCACAGAAAAUGUUAAAAUUUUUCUGUGGAAAAUGCAAUCCAAAAUUUGCUUGUUUCCUUGUCUAAGGUAGAAGGUUUGGGGAAUUUAGUGCAAGGAAUUAAAGUGCCAAUUUUAUAGUACUGCUCAUUAGAAAAUUGCUUAGGGGACCUCAUCAUCAUUAUUUCAAAGAGUUGUUUUAGUGAAAAAGAAAAAAGAAAAAAGAGUUGUUUUAGGGGACUUGGCAUUAGGAUUUGUAUAAUAUCAUCCGUUCCUCAAUCAAAGUAUACCUUUGGGAUUCAGACUUGACCUUGUUUCUAGAUAAAGAAAAAGUAAAACAAGUGUGCUUACUUUUAUGGCUUUGGAAAAAAAAAAUUUCUUUGCUUUUUGAUACUUUAUUCUCUUGACCUUUUCUAACAAAAGUUAGAAAUUCGGCUUUUAUAAAUCUAGAUUCCGGAAGAAACCUCAAAAACCGGCAACUUUUGAGGUCCUCCCAAGGACUUAUAAACCCAAACCCAACCCCCCCUCGGAACUGAUGUGGGAUGGCAACCCCAGAAGGGUAAGCCAGUAGGUCCGCUGCUGCUAAGAAGUAAAGACCCCGAGAAGUAAAGAUACUUUACUCGAAAAAUAUGCGAAUGCUUCGGCUAACAAGGCUCCCUCAUGACUGGGCCAUGGAGGAAUCCGGCGGAGGCGUGGACCGGUGAUUAAAAAAAAGAGCUUAAACAUUAAGUUAAAACUACCAAAGCCUUGAAUUGAUUAGACCAUGGAGAAAUUAAGCCCCAAUACAUGACGUCACCCCCAGAGGUUUGGAAAAAUUUGACUAAUAUCCUUAAUUUAUAAUCAUCGUCUUUUCUUGUUAAUAAUCUACGUUGCUUUGCUUUUAAUCAUAACUCAGGUCAGGGCUUGCUUUCGAAGAUUUAAAUUAUUUUUUUUUAUUUUGCAAUUUUUUUAAAUUAAAAGUUGUUGUUUUCAAGUAUCCUCAAUUGCUUUGGACUUGUGUUGAACUUUAGCAUAUUAAUGUAAACCAAAAAUGGGUGAUUAUGAUAAGCUGUUUUGAGGUGCUUUUAAAAGUAGAUAAAUUUCGACUUUUACGUCACUUUGAAAACACAUUUUUAUAUUCUUUCAAUUAUUUUUCAUGGGUUUUUAAAAACACCAACCCCCCCCCCCCCGGCCCCCGCCCGCAUUCUUCAUAAUGAGUUCGAGAAAAGAAACAAGAAAAUGAGAGGUAAAUGAUUUGAAGUCUGAUUUAACACCUUUACAUAACUAAAACCCAAAACAAAUGCUACUACAGCAAUAUACGAAGCAGGACGACUCAAGAAAAAUCUCGUAACCGAAUGCUUGGUUCUUUUAUACAUGUUAGGGUUAAAUACCAAAAACCCCCAUGUGGUUUGACUAAUGUUCACUUUACCUCCUUAUAGUUUGGAAACCUACAAUUUGACUCCCCGUCGUUUCAACUAAAGUAAUAGUCUGACGGAAAACAUCUAAACUAACGUCUGAAAGGAAAAUGUCAAAAUUGCCCCUCUAUAUGGGUUUUGGGUUAAGUACCAAAAACCUCCCUGUGGUUUGUCAAAUGUACACUUUACCUCCCUAUAGUUUGAAAACAUACAAUUUAACUCCCUGUCUUUUCACCUAAAGUGAAAAUCUAACAGAAAUUCCGUUAAAUACACUUUAGUUGAAACGACAGGGAGUCAAAUUGUAGGUUUCCAAAUCAUAGGGAGUUAAAGUGAACAUUAGGCAAAUCACAGAGGGGUUUUUGGUAUUUAACCCUACAUGUUAUCAAGCAUCUUUGUAGCUAGUAUUUUGACCCGUGUUAUGCAUGUAUAGGUUUUACAUUUUAAACAAAUAAUCUAGUGCCUUGAAAGGACCACCAUGGGAAGGAAUGGCAUAAAACAAGUACGACCCAAAAGUUAGGUUUAGGCAGGCUAAAAGAAGAACCAAGAGUAGAAAGUAAAUAAAAGGACCUUGGAUGCCAUAAGUGUACACAUGACAUCACAUGUGGAAAGAAGUGGGAAACGAAAUUGUAGUUUAGGAGCUAAAAGACGCUUUUGGGAAACUUUAGACUAAGUUAGAGACAAAAUAUAAACCAAAGCUUCCAAUUAAAAUGAGUUUGAGUGGCACUUGUGGGGUGCAUGAAUUUAACAUAAUCAAUUCCCAUUUCAUUUCCUAAAGAAUUUUGUAAAGAAAGAAACAUCGUAUCCGGGUUCUUCUUUAAUUUUUUUUUUCUCCCCAUUGAAUGAUGUAUUAGUGUUGAAAGUGGUGUUAAAUUAUGGGGGGGGGAUUUCUUUUGAUAGAUUCAGUUGUAGAUUCUCCCAGGUUAAGGUGUGAAAAGAUUCUCAGAAGGGUCCUACAAAAUUGUGUGCCAUCCUAUGGGUGCAUAGCGGGUGUGAUUCCACAGAAAUUGAUUCCCAGACACACAGUUUUGGGGAUCAGUGGGUGAAGUGAUGAUCAGUGGUGAGUGGGUGCAGUUGUAGGGCUCAAGUUGCAAUUUACCACUGCUCUUCUUUGAUGCUGUCAUCACUGACCUGUCCAUUCCAAAUCCAAGGGAAAACCUUGGACAUGUAGACACCCCUCCAUCCCUCCUCCUCCAAUAAUUAAUGGUUUCAUCUUCUCCUGCAUUUCCUUCCUGCUUUUUUCCUUAAAUGGGAAAUAUUUUAUAUGUGAGUUUGGAUAGUUCUUAUUUGCCAAAAGAAAAAAAAAACAAUAGAAUAUUUACGUGCAUCACAAACACAUUUUUCAACAUACAUUUUUAUUUUCGCAACCAUCGAUCUCUUUAAUUAUCUCACAUACAGCACAUCGUAAAAAACGCUACAGCAGUUAUUCCAAAUAAUAUCCGCUCCAAACACAAGUGUGCCACUCUUCAUCGACGCACAAACAUAUUUCACGUUAAAAAAAAAAAAAAACUAAAAGCAAAUCUUAAGCGACUAAUUAAUUCAGAACUUGAUAUCUGAUUGUGCAUCGAUCAACAUGUUUAGAGAAUUGAAUCUUAUAUUGUUGACUGUGUAUUUGCAGAAAUAAGUGCUCCUAUAUAUAUAUAUAUGUAUGUAUAUCCCUGCACGUUCGUGCUCGUACUUCAACUGAAGACUUGUUUAUAAUUCCACUCGUUUCCAUUUUGUCCAGUUUUCUGAACUGUUUACGUACGUAGCCAGCAAUAUUAUAGUUCAGCGAGUUUUAGCAGUAUAAUAAUUUCUUUGCUUUAUCUCACUUCAAACUUCUUGUUGGAAAACAAUAGCGAAGAAUAUGUUGAUAUACCCGAUUAAUCCUACGUAUGCAUUGCGCUGAAGAAUACACCCAAUUCCAGACAAUAGCAAAAGCCAAAAGGUCGAAACAUUUACACACUUAAACUAAACACAUUUUCUGUAAACACUUUCUUGAGGGCUUAUUUUUUAAGAAUAUUUUUCAAUCAUUCUUUUCUCGUGCUCGUCACAUCUCUAAAAAGUGCUACAAUAAUCGUUUUUCCAUGAAAACUCUCAGGAAAAAAAAAAUGCAAUCCAAACCCAACCAGUUGUUUGGGAUAUAUAGCUGCAAAUGUUGAAGAAGGUAAAGCUUGCUCCCAUUGGUGAGGUGAGUAUCAAAGCCUUGAAUAUAUGAAGCACGCAGAUAUUAUGGAAGAAGCAUCCUGUGCAAACUAACCACGUUUGCUGAUGACCAGCCAAAGGAGUGGUUGGCAGAUUCAGGCAUAAAUUUCAAUCUUAAUCACAUCAAUGAACAAUUUUCUUUUCUGGUUCUUUUUCACUAUUUUUAAAAAAAUUCUGGGAAUCUUUAUUACAAUAAUUCCCCGCCAACUUCUUUCCACCUUUUCUUUUAUGGCCACCACACCAGUCAUUGCUGCUGUUGUCCCCCAGAUUCUUUCUUUUGUGUUGCUUCAUCUUCCAUGUAUGCAGCUGCAUUUACGUGUAUUUGUCUUUGUCUCCCCACUCUUCCUUUUCUGAGGUGUAUUAUUCAGGGAGAAAACAUUAUACAUUAUACUAGCUUUUGUCUCUUUCUCUUCGGACACCACAAAUUCCGUCAAACCCAACAAAACUACACUUGAAGACACUCCUCGUCUUUGGCACUUGGCAAUAUGAGAUUAGUGCCAAUUCAUAUACGACUUAGCGCAUACGCUGUCACGGACGAUUGGAUGAUUGGCAACUGUACAAAAUUUGAAUUUUAAUUUAAAAUUCGGAUUAGCUGUCUGUCAAAUACUCAACGGCGAUAGCGUAUGUAUAAGAUUAAUUAUUAAUAUUUUAUGUAUAUAUCCUGAUGUUUAGCCUUGGUUAUCUUCUUAUUAAAAAUGCCAAUUAACCACAAAUUGAUUGUACGUAGUUCAACAACUUCAACUAGUUGGCAAUAGUAUCUAGAUUAACAAUUACAAAUGAAGUUUCAUUUUACUAAUGGAACGACCCUUUAAUUCAACAAGACAAGAUGACCGAACAAGUCCACAUGGGAUAUCAUGAUCAUAUAUAAUUAUUAGAGCCUAUAUAUAUUCAUAUAUAGCAGCAGAGCAGCAAACAAAACUAGUCAUCAAGGGGGGCUGUUGGAGAAAGAGCUGUGAAUUAAUUCAAGCAACACCCUCGAAUUUUUAAUACGAAUAUGGUACGCAGCGAACUGAAAUGAAUCAUGCAACGAUCUUCCCCACCAAUUUUCAUGGUUCAGGAUUCAAAGCUUCUUGGGAUCUGAUAAAUUUCAGUAGUAAAAGAUACUUAAUUAGUCAAGGCUAACAACUUGCGGUGUUCCAAGAUGUAUUAUACAAAUUGAUUGAGCAAAACUUGGGUGGAUGGAGCAGGCAUCAAUCAAAUUCGUUCGUAACCCAACAAAAUAAAGAUGGAUGGUUGAUUCCCUUUUGGUACAUUUUUAGUCAGAAAAAGAAAGUGUGAGCUGCUGAUCUGAUGCAAAAGCAAAGGCACCACAGAAAAGAAGAAAUUGUGAUUCCAAAAUUGUCCAUGAAACAAUGUCCAAGUUCUAUAUGAGAAGAUCAAGAAUAUUCCUUCACUCACACAUUGAUUGGGGAUUGGGAUAUUCACAUUCAGUGACUGGCCUCACCUUUAAUUAAAAUACUAGCUGCUGCUGCUACUACAACUCCAUGUGCUUUUGCAAGUUUAAUCACUGCAAAAAACUAGAAACCCCCUCUGGUCCCUUUCAAUUAUAUAUAAAGCCACGGAAUAAUUAAUCACGCAUCAUUGGAAAGUAAAAGAUUUCUAAAAUUAUUAUGGCAAAGUGGAAACCUUCCCCCCCCCCCUCCAUAGUCCUUGGGACCUUUUAAAUUUAAGGUCUUUAAUUGCGUGAAAUGAAGAAGAUUAUAAAGCCGGAAAAAGCCACUCCAUUAUCACAAAAUAAAAGGUCUGACACGUAUCUAACUAGUUAGCAUCAAUUGAAUUCAUCUCAUCAUACCACAACAAAAAAAAAAAAAAAAGCUGCAGCCAAGCUCUACCACAAUACUCCAAUUCAGGAACCAAUAAUACAACAACCUCAUACUAAUAAUUUCUGCUAAAUUUAGUACACAAAUUUGAUUGAACCCACACAAGUACUACGUACUUAGUACACAUGACAAUUGCCACCUCAUUAACUGGAAUAUGUUUUUCCUCAUUAACUAUUGUCCUUUCAACUAAAAACCUAGUACUACACUUAAGCACAAUCAUGGGAAAACAUCAAACUAUGAACCAAUUAUUAUGUUUUUUUUUCCCCUAAUUUUUCUUCUUUUUUUUUUUUUUUUUUUU
rnacentral:lncRNA from 1 species